UUUCAGGAAUAGUACCCUCCAAACUAUUUUUUGAGAAGUCAAUUGCUGUUACGGUAGUCAGCAUCCUUCCAAAUGGCAUAUCUGCCCCCUUGUACAUGAUCUCAACAGAAUAUUGAUAUGAAUGUUCUCUGUCAUUGACAUUUAUAGUGUUUAGAAUUUCGAGAGUUUUCCCAGAACUAUUAAACUCUGCCAUCAUUGACUUUAACUGCUUGAACCAUUGUGGCCUCAAAGUACCAGAGAAAUUGUUUGAGGCAAGAUCGAUAAUUUGCAAGCUAGGGAAACAUUCCUCACGUUUUGUGUCCCCAACAAUAUCACCUAUGGUGCCAUACAUUUGGUUUGAUCUCAGGACGAGUACAGAAAGCUUGGGAAGCCCCCUCAACCAAGAAGGAAAAGCAUCAGCUAUUUUGUUGCUUCCAAAGUCUAUAACCUCCAAGUCUGUACAGUUAGAAAGGCCCCUAGGAAGCCUCCCUUCGAUCUUAUUGCCAUGUAAAUCUAUCAUCUGUAAAGCACAUCUUGUUGUUAUAUUGGAAGGCAGCAUCCCUUUCAAGCGAUUCUCCCUCAAAUUUAAAACACCGCUGGGGAUAUUUUCUAUAAAACAAGGUGGAAUCGGGCCAUUAAAGUAGUUAUAUGAUAGAUCAAGGACAUCCAGGUAUAUUAUUUUUGGACAUGCUGAGAUACAUGGUGUCCCGAAGAUAGGUGGUCCAAUUUGGCAGAAGGGAAGAGAACAUGUUGUUGGAAUAAUCCAAGAUUUCUCCUGAUAAUUUUGGCAUAGGGAUCAUCCCUGAAAGUCUAUUGAAACUAAGAUCAAGCACUUCCAUUGAUGUAUUGAAAGGGACAACAUCCGAAUUAAGUUGCAUGCCCGUGAACAUGUUAUGUGAAAAAUUCAAAUGAGAUUCCAUAUCAUUCCAUGUCGUCUCCCAGAUCCAAUUUGGUAUAUCCCCACUGAUUUUAUUACAUGAAAGAUCCAAAUACGAUAUAUGGUCAACAUGCCUCAAAAAUCUUGGAAACUGAGUUAUCUUGCAAGAUGCGAGCCUUAAUUCUCGUAGUCCAGCCAAAUAGCUGGUUUCCACUGGAUUAUUAUCUUCUGAGGCCAUGACAUGCAACUUAUUGUAGGAAAGAUUCAAAACAGCGAAGUAAGUUAAUCUCCGAAAAUGUGCAAGGUCCACGGAACCUAUCAAGUUGUUUGAGCUAACAUCUAUAUAUACUAAACUUGUUAGUUGAAAGAUGGCUUUGGGAAUAAAACCUGACAAUUCAUUGUUCUUGAACCUCACGGUCUCCAACUGUGGACCUGCCUUGUCAAAGCCUUGUAUAGGGCCAGAAAGCUGGUUGAAAGAGAGAUCAAGGCGAUUUAAUAUAGGAAGACUGAAAAUAGAUGGUGGAAUCUCCCCUGGAAGGACAAUAGAAAACAUUAAGUUAGAAAGUGUUUCCCCUUCUACAAAUUGAAAUCAGAAGAUGCUACCUCCUAUUUUGUUCAGAACAUGAAUACUUGACCCUUUCUCGAGAAAAGUAAAAGUUGAUAUCGUACCAUAGAAAUAUAUAUCCCAAAUUUAUUUAUUUUAUUUUGAGAAAAUUGCAUUACUAGUCUCAAAAUAAAAGGCCAAAACUUGUGUGGUAACCUCGCCGACCCUUGCACUUGUUGCAAAUUACUUUCCCCAGCCCCCUCGUCUUUGUUGUGCCACGUGUUAGGCAAUGGUUUGAUGCUGGUUCAACACAUUAAUUUGCUAAUAGUGGGGUGGGUGAGAUUAGUGUGCAAGUUUAAGGACUAUCGGGAGAAUUUAGUGCACCUACGGACCAUAGAAUUUCAUAAUCCUAGGACCCAUGAAGCUGAAAUGAUCCGGACCCAUCAUGGAUCAUGAAAUAAUCCGGACCCAUCAUGGAUCAUAAUUUUAUGGUAUUAUGAUUUAUGAUACCUGGUGUAUAGUCCUGUACCAUCAAAAAGAAUUGGUAAGAUCACUUAUAUAGAAUCCCGAUCCUAACAUCAAAAUUUGUUAAUAUCUGAAAUUAAAUCCAUGAGUAAUUAUAUAUGUUUCUUCAGUUUAAUUCGACAUCUUUUACUCUUUGCAUGACAUCUGACCAUUAAAUUGUUUUAAAUUAUGAUUAGAUAAUGUUUGGAGUUAAGUUGAAAUGUCGAAUUGACAUUGACAUGAAUAAGUAGACUCGAGUUUACAAGAAUUAAUAAAUUUAUAAAAAUAGCAUUGUAGAUUUCUUUUCAAGACCUUGUUUAACUUUUUAAUACAUGCAUUUUUUUACUCAUUACGCUGCAAAAUCCCCCCCCCCUUCAAUUCUUGACACAGUGUCAAACUCAUUUGUUGUGUUUAAGCUCUUGCAAUGAUCUAUAUAAGCUGCCAGCUUUUGUAUAAGAGGGCCGGGUUAGAGAAGUAUAUCGUGUCAACUGCGCCAAUGAAAUCCUUUUAGAGUAAACUAGAGCAAAUGAGAAGCUUUAUGAGCCCUAAUACCAUUUAAGAUUUCCAUUGUCCUUCCUACCCUGUCAAAUGAACACUCAAGCUCAUAUAGAAGUGACAUGUGUGGUUGUUGCAUCAAGAAGCAACCUUAAGGGAGGAUUUUGCAACAGGGUUAGGCUUGUGGGUUCGUUAGGCCCUUCACACAACGUGUGCUUGGAGUAUUGCUUGAAAUGGAGAGAGGAGGUUUGGGCAUCAAUCACUCCCCCAAGUGGCCAAGUUGAAACCAGGAGCAGCACUGUGACAGAACAAAACAGAUGCCAACUUUUCUGACAUGGGCCUCAACUUUUUUUCCUAGAGUCACUCCACAUAGUAGAGGCCUUAAUGUAACUAUUUUUCUUUUAGGGGAUAAUUGCAACUCAAGAUGACUACUAGGAGCUUGAGCCGUGCACACAUGCGUUAGUGGCAAGCUUGCACCUACUCUGAGCAGAGGAGGGCACAGUUGGAGCUUGCAAGGACCACGGUGUGGAGCACUGACGCUUAGGGAUGCAAACAGGCUAACCCAGAUAUAGGGCUGAAUCAUGUUGGCAACUGUAGCAUAGACUAUAAGUGGGUUCGCAGGCUAGCCUGCUUGAUUUGCAGCAAUAUAUUAUGGUGGAGGGAUGCCAUUGACCUUGUUGACGCCGGAUUUCGUCAUCAGUAGAAUCGGCGCCAAAGAAGAAAGAAAUCGAAGGAAUACGAGUGGGGAUCGGCCAAAAGGUGCUACAAUGCGGAAUCGGUCAAGUGGCUUUUACUUCGCUUCAGGGUGAAUGCGCCAGGUUCCCAAUCGGCAAUCCUUUAAGAAAUCGGCCGAUCGGGAAGGUGGAUUAAGGUGGGCCUGUAUGGGCUUGGAAAGAUGGAGGGAUAAGGUGGAGUUCAGCCCACGGAGUGUGGGGUAAUUAGUUUAGUACGGAUUGUGCUUGUAGAUAUUUGUUUUCUGUUUGAAUUAGAGAUAGAGUCCUAGUCGGUUAAGAAGAUUAUUUGUACGGGGCUAUAAAUAGCUACCUUUGUAAAUCUGUAAACACAACAAUCAAUCAAUACAACAAGUUACUUUCUUCUGCGCAUCUACUUUUGAGCAGGCGACUUCGCCAUCAAUUUUCUUUCUCACGAGUUCGUACGGGUUGGCAGGGCUGCAUCGUCUUGAUCUCCGGCCGAUUCUGUAAGUUCCGUUUAUCGAGUAAUAUCUAGGCUUUGACUUCCGGCGUAUCGCUGUUGUUUCGUCUAGAUUUAUUCACCAGUUAUCGAUAUUGACUAGAUUCAUAGGUUUUUACCUGCCUUCCUAGUUUUUAUCACCAGUUAUCCCGCUAGGAAUCGGUAGUAUCGGCUUUCAUUACUUCCUGUUGCCAGAUCCAUCUGUUGCCGAUUAGAUCUUUUCCUAGUGCUGUUAUUACGUGCCUUGUACCGAUUACUUUAAUAUUUUUCUAUCUACAAGGCUACGGGGAUCGUGCUGUCUCGUGGCCGAUUUCUUUACCAUAGUAAAUCGGCUGAUCUGCCGAUAAACUCUCUCGAUCGGAAACUUAGCCGAUCGUAGUUACUGAAUUUGACACGUGUUCUUCCUUGCCAAUCAACAGGUCAGAUUGGCUGGCACGCCGCGUGAACCGCACCAGGGCAUUCACCCGAACAGGAGCUAAGCAGAUUCUCCCGGGUCGUGUGUCGGUCGCUGGGAUUCGGUUGACCGAGUUCUAGCGCCAACACACUUUUGGCACGCCCGGUGGGACCAAUACAACCGCUAUCAUGUCGAAAGCUGCUGAAGUCUCCGAAGAUAACGUCAUCGAAGUGACGGAAGCAGAUCUAAAGGACGACCAAAAAGAAGAUCUGAAUCAGUAUUUGGAGCAAGUCCGGAAAACUUGCUUGAAAUCCUUCAGUCGUUCCAGGAGCGGGGAAACUGUUAAAAAGUCUCCUUUCCCUACUCCCCGCCAGAUCACGAUUUCAGAAGAUUCGGACAAAAUGUCCGAUAUGAUUCAGCAAUCUCUUCAUCACGCCUUCAUCAACCAAUCCCCGGUACUUUCAAACAUGGUGCACAAUGCUGUUGUCAACUCCUUCGCCGGAGGUAUACCACAAGGGUACAGGGGGCCUACGUAUUUUCAGCCGAUUCCACCAAAUCAGGCUUAUCGGGCUUCACAGCCGAUCCAAUCCUCUGUCGGAGGAUCGGUGCUUCUACGUCAUCAACUCCUUUGGGAUACGGCUCCAUCCAGCCGUCCACUGCACCACUCCCUCCAGUCAUCCCUUUACCCUGGGGGGCACCCUUAAACACGACCGGUUUGAAUCAAUCGGUCAGCCAAGGAAAUCCUCCGUUCCAGACACCCUCCCAAACGGCCACUCGGCCGAUCAUACCACCAUACCAGCCUAUCGCUCCGGAGGUCAACAAGACGUCAGAGCUCAUGCUAUAUGAUGAAACGAGUGGUGCCUACAAGCAGCCGUCCUUUACUACACCGCCGGCUUAUACUCAGAUACCACCUUUUCAUCAACCUCCUUUUAUUCAACCUCCGAUUUAUCAACAUGUGCCGAUUCCGCCGCCGAUUAUUCCCCAACAACAACCGGAUUGGACGGCGCAAAUCGCGGAGGUAAUGCAAGAACAAUUCGGCCUGAAGCCGAAGGUGCAAACUUAUACCUACAGGACACCAUACCCAUCCACGUACGACUUGUUGCCGUUUCCCCAUCGGUACAAAGUUCCGGAUUUCACUAAAUUCUCCGGAAUGGAUGAUACUUCUACCGUGGAACAUGUGAAUAGAUUCAUCAUCCAAUGCGGAGAAGCAGCUACGCAAGAUGCCCUGCGGGUACGGUUGUUCUCGUCAUCUUUGUCUGGAUCGGCUUUCCAGUGGUUCACCACUUUGCCACCAAACUCGAUUAUCACAUGGGCCGAUCUAGAGAGGCAGUUCCACAAGUACUUCUAUGCUGGAGUCCACGAAAUGAAGUUGUCUGAUUUAACUAGCCUCCGGCAACGAAGUGAUGAGCCGAUACCCUUGUACAUACAGAGGUUUCGGGAAAUCAGAAACAAAUGUUACUCCUUGGCUCUAACCGAUGCACAGUUGGCCGAUAUAGCUUUCCAAGGCCUGCUGCCACACAUUAAAGAAAAAUAUGCUUCACACGAGUUCGAGAGCUUGAGCCAGAUCGUCCACCGAUUGUCCGGGCAAGAGGUGCGUCCAUUUGAUCCAAGGAGGAAUUUCUAGAAGAAAGUAGCAUUCCUGGAAGAAGUAGAGGAUGAAGAAGACGCCGAAAUCGGACUUGCAGAGUGGAUUAAGGGAAAGAAGCCAAUAUCAUGCCCGUUCGGCAAAAAGGAGCCGGAGGCAUUCGGUUUCGAUACUACUAAAGCUGACAAAAUAUUCGACCUUCUACUCCAGGAAGGACAGAUUAAACUCUCGCCUUACCACACGAUACCCUCUGCCGAACAGUUGAAGAAGAUGAAGUAUUGCAAAUGGCACAAGGCCACGUCACAUGAUACCAAUGAGUGCAAAAUCUUCAGACAACAAAUACAGUCGGCCAUUGAGCAGGGCAGACUCAAAUUUGAAGUGCCGGCAAAACCGGCCAAACCAAUGAAGAUUGAUCAGCAUCCUUUUCCUACCAACAUGGUGGAUACGGGUAAGAAUCCCCUCCAGACAAAAGUGCUGACAUCCGAAUCGGCAAAAAGGAGUGGCGCUGUCGAUCCCAGGAAUCAAGUCACGUCUGAAGACAUCAAGGGGAAGCGACGGAUGAAGGCCGACGAUGGUGAACCAGAAGGACCACGCAUUACUUCCCAGUUCCUGCUCCAAAAAUACCAACGCCAACAUGAACGAUCAAGGUCCCGAGAGGAAGCAAUGCGUCGGCACGAGGAACACUGGAGAUGCCCAUUCUUCAUCCAUUGUUGGGAAAAUAACCUCAGACUUCCAUCAGCCGAUACUUGCCCAGAGUGCAACGGCCCCUAUCGAAGCAAUCGGCCGUUCACAAGGUCUCGCUCCAGAGACGGAAGGCCAGAACCGAUCAGCAGGAAUCGGCGUAACCCAGAUGAUCAGCGCCCUUCCAUACGUGAUCGGCUGGGGGGCAGAAGUGACCGAUAUGAUCGGUCAGAAGGCAGAAGCCAUAAUAGGCAGGGGGGCAGGACCGAUCAACACGAUCAAUCAAAUAGCAAAGCCAGCGUUCACAGCCGGCUCGAAGACAUGGCCGAUGCUCGGGUAACGGACGAGAACCCGUUAGGACGCGAACCAGAAUGGGAACGCGCCGGGAAAGAAGGGAGGCCAAUAAACCCCAGAUGGUGCCCCGACGGUUUAACCAAAUCACAAAAACGGAGAGUCCAACGCCUCCACCAAUGGGAGCAGCAAGAAGAAGAGGGCACGAUGGACAAAAAGCAAGAAAGGCCUCAGGUGUGGCGCCCCAAAAGAAACGACAAGGGCAACGAUGAGUCGGCGGGCGACGAAUCGGCAGCCGAAAUCGGUAUGGUCUUCAUAUUGCCGAUGGAGUUUAUGACCCCUGCCGAUCAACAGGAUGUGUCGGCGAUAGAGGAACAAACAGCACGGUUGACUUUAGAACCGAUGAUGGCCACGUUCGAAAAGCCCGAAGACGACGAACGACAACAUAUGAAGGCAUUGUUCCUUAAAGGGCAUGUUGACGGACGCCCCCUCACUAAAUUGAUGGUCGACGGGGGAGCCGCCGUCAAUAUCAUGCCGUAUGUCGUACUUCGGAAACUAGGAAAGAGCGACGACGACCUGACCAGGACGGACAUGAUGCUCAAGGACUUCGAAGGCAAGGUGUCAAACGCUCGUGGUGCCCUCUGCGUCGACCUCACCAUCGGCAGUAAGACCCUUCCUACCACGUUUUUCAUCAUUAAUGGCAAAGGGUCCUAUAAUAUGCUUCUUGGACGAGACUGGAUACACGCAAACUGCUGCAUACCGUCAACUAUGCAUCAAUGCCUGGUACAAUGGGUCGGCGACAACGUCGAGGUGGUCAAAGCCGACUCCGCGUACAGCAUCGCAGCAGCCGACGCACAGCAAUGGAGCUGCGAAACCGUCAGGUGCAUAUUAGGUAGGGUGUGGGAAACUGAUUUCCUGAAGGUCACCGAUUUUGGCCUACAGCCGAUCCGAGCAGUCGGCUCUGAAGAAGCGCAAUAAAUGGAUCAGUUCGCCCGAGAAGACGGGAAGCUGGGACACGGAUUCACGUCGGCCGAUUCAUUAGAAAUGGUAGAUUUAGGUGACGGGACCAAGCCAAGGCCGACUUUUAUUAGUGCAAAUUUAGAUCCAGAGUACAAGUGUAAAUUGACAAAUUUAUUAAGAGAAUUCAAGGAUUGUUUUGCGUGGGAGUAUCACGAGAUGCCCGGAUUAGAUCGAUCUAUUGUUGAACAUCGGCUACCCAUAAAACCAGGGUAUCAGCCGUACCAACAACCCGCACGGCGAUGCAAUCCUAAAAUUUUACCAGACAUAAAAGCCGAAAUAACUCGGCUAAUUGAAGCAAAAUUUAUUCGGCAAUGUCGUUACGCCGAGUGGAUUUCUAAUAUCGUACCGGUGUAUAAGAAAAAUGGGAAGCUGCGCGUUUGCGUCGAUUUCAGAAACCUUAAUCAGGCCACACCAAUGGAUGGCUACCCCAUGCCUACGGCCGAUGUACUGAUCGACGCUGCCGCGGGGCACAAAAUUAUUAGCUUCAUGGAUGGGAACGCCGGAUACAAUCAAAUACUUAUGGCCGAAGAGGACAUACCCAAAACGGCUUUCAGAUGUCCAGGCCAUCUUGGUCUAUUCGAGUGGGUGGUGAUGACUUUCGGUUUGAAGAAUGCUGGUGCUACGUAUCAGAGGGCCAUGAACUAUAUUUUCCACAAACUCAUCGGCCUCCUGGUGGAGAUCUACAUCGACGACGUUGUGGUCAAGUCCAAAAGCCACGAGGAACACCUAGCCGAUUUGCGAAGGGUCCUAGAGUGUACCAAAAAACAUGGUCUUAAGAUGAAUCCCAACAAAUGCGCUUUCGGCGUCUCCGCCGGACAGUUCUUAGGAUUCAUGGUGCACGAACGAGGCAUUGAAGUCAAUCAGAAGACCAUAGCGGCUAUCAACAAAGUCGUCGCCCCACAGAACAAAACUGAGCUACAGUCUCUAAUCGGCAAGGUAAACUUCAUCAGAAGAUUUAUAUCUAAUCUAUCUGGACGGAUCCAGGCGUUCACACCACUUCUGAAGUUGAAGCCAGACCAAGAAUUUAUUUGGGGAGAAGAACAGCGCGAGGCGUUAGAAGACAUCAAGCGAUACUUGGUCUCACCCUCGGUCCUGGUUCCCCCUCAAACGGGUAAGCCGUUUAAACUAUAUUUAUCAGCCGGCGAAAAAGCUAUUGGGUCGGCUCUAGUCCAAGAGUUUGAAGGCAAAGAACGGGUGAUUUAUUACGUUAGUAGAAGACUCCUGGAUGCCGAAACAAGAUAUCCUCCAGUGGAGCGUUUGUGUUUGUGCCUUUACUUCUCGUGCACCAAACUCAGACACUAUCUACUGUCGGCAGAGUGUAUAGUCGUAUGCAAAGAUGAUGUAGUGAAAUACAUGCUGUCACUGCCGAUAUUGAAAGGGCGAAUCGGAAAAUGGAUUUUAGCUCUAUCAGAAUUUGACCUACGGUACGAAUCGGCAAAAGCCGUCAAAGGUCAAGUCAUGGCCGAUUUCGUUGCCCAGCACUGUGGGCCAGAGAUUGCCUUCGUGGAACUAGCUCCUUGGCAGUUAUUUUUUGAUGGAUCAUCAUGCGGAGUCGGAUCGGGAAUCGGCAUCGUUCUCAUAUCGCCUCGGGGGGCAAGAUAUGAUUUUUCUCUGCCGAUAGAAACCGCCGCCACAAACAAUCAAGCGGAGUACAGAGCCGUAUUAAAAGGCUUACGAUUAUUGAGGGAAGUCAAGGCCGAUUCUGUUGAAGUCUUCGGAGAUUCGAUGCUAAUUGUGGAUCAACUAACCGGAAGGGCUGAGUGCAAAGAUGACAUAUUACGAAUUCAUCACGAAGAUUGCUUACAGCUUUUAAAAGAAUUCAGAUCGGCAGUAAUCGAGCACGUCCCAAGAGACCGCAACGAGGAAGCAAACAAACUCGCUCAACACGCAUCAGGGUAUCGGCCGAUUCCAGGCGCCAUGGCCUUAGAGCUUGCAGCCGACGAUUGGCGUAAGGAAAUUGCCGAUUACCUGAAGGAUCCAUCUAAAAAGGUGGAGCGACGAGUGCGCUUUCACGCUACCAAGUACGUACUGCUCGAAGAUGAUCUGUUCUACCGAACGAUCGAUGGUGUUCUUCUUAAAUGCCUUGGGACAGAAGAAGCCAAGACUCUAAUGGGAGAAAUCCAUGAAGGGGUAUGCGGAGCUCACCAAUCGGCACAUAAGAUGAAGUGGAUGAUCAGAAACAACGGGUACUAUUGGCCUACGAUCCUCGAAGACUGUUUUAAAUAUUAUAAGGGUUGUCAGGAGUGUCAAAAGUUUGGAAAUGUCCAACGUGCACCCGCGUCGGCCAUGAAUCCCAUCAUCAAACCAUGGCCGUUCAGAGGAUGGGGAAUAGAUCUUAUCGGCCAAAUUUAUCCACCAUCAAGCAAGGGGCACAAGUUUAUUCUGGUUGCUACCGAUUACUUCACCAAAUGGGUGGAGGCAAUCCCACUAAGGACUGUGACUUCAGCUAUCAUGGCCGAUUUCGUAAGGGAUCAUAUCGUCUACCGAUUCGGCAUCCCUCAAACUAUAACAACCGAUCAAGGAACAAUGUUCACAUCGGGGGAAUUUGAGGAAUUUACGACCGAUAUGGGCAUCAAGUUGUUAAAUUCUUCUCCAUAUUACGCUCAGGCCAAUGGUCAAGCAGAAUCUUCCAACAAAGGAAUAAUCAAGUUGAUCAAAAGGAAGAUUGAAGAAUACCCGAAGAAGUGGCACCUAUGUUUGACCGAAGCCCUAUGGGCAUACAGAAUGGCCUGUCAUGGGGCCACCAAGUUAUCUCCCUAUCAGUUGGUAUACGGUCAGGAUGCAGUACUUCCGUGGGAGUCAAGGGCAGGAUCAAGGCGCAUUUUACUUCAAGACCAGUUGUCAGCCAAUGACUACUCGUCUCUUAUGAAGGAAGAACUUGAUGAUUUGGCCGGCCAACGACUAAGGGCUCUGAUAAGUAUCGAAGAGAAUAAAAAGAGAGUGGCCAGGUGGUACGAUAAAAAGGUCAAAGUCAAGCAGUUCUCCCCCGGAGAUUUGGUAUGGAAGUUGGUACUACCGAUCGGGUCGAAAGAUCCUAAAUUCGGCAAAUGGUCUCCUACCUGGGAGGGGCCGUAUAAAAUCGGCAAAUGCGCUCCAGGGAAUGCCUAUAUCUUGGAAACAAUAGAAGGAGAAGAAUUCACUAGAGCUCUGAAUGGGAGGUACUUAAAAAGAUAUUACCCAAGUAUAUGGGUCGGUGCCUAAGGAAUCAACACGAUCAUACAUGACCGACACGAUUCGGUCUUGAGACACACAUAAAGUCGACCGGAACGGCCGAUUACAUUCAUUCGGUAUGGGCGACGGGUCACAUGGCCGACAAAAUGUUUAGUCGCCCUUAGAACAAAAAAUACAGCAACUAAUUAUUCUUUUUCUUACGCUCCCUCUCAGCCCGACCUAACUCUAUCAUGAGUCGGAUGUAUUCUUCUUCUAUGGCCUUCAUUGAAAUCUCCGCCUCGACUUGACGGGGGAGAUCUACGGGAGGGCGUGAAGUCCCCGCUCCCGCAUCUUCAAGAACGACUUGCCGAGGGAGUGGAUGACUCCUGCCGAUGGGAGGUCGCCGGCUGCCGUUCCUCUCCACGAAGUCCAGGAUCGUUCGGGCCUCCGUGGCAAUGUCGUCUUCAAGAUCGCCACAACGAUUGCUCCUGACAGGUGGAGAUUGAUGGUUACUUUCACUCACCACGGAAUCCAAGACUACGCGAGCCUCCGUGGUAACGUGGUCCUGGAGCUCCUCUCGGUGAGCCACGAUCAGCAUCUUGUCCUCCGAUGUUAAUGGAUCUUCGAAAUGAAUGCGCUCAAUGGCGCGCACGAGCUCGGGGCUAAGACGUUGAUGCUGAAACAAAGAAGGAAUGAGGGGGAUAUCCUUCCCCUUAGGGUCUAAGAAAGAAAGGAAGGUAGAGGUCAAAGACUUCACCUGGUUAACAGAGGAAGAAGAAGACGACGAGGCCAUGGCAGAGAAAUUGCGCCGAUGAGAAGGGGCAGAAAAGUUAAACCGAGGGCCAAGAUUGGUGCUACCAGGAGUAAGCGCCGAGGUUGGUAUUUAUAAAAGAAUGCGUGGAAAUCUGGUAAAGCUACGUCCCAUUGGUAAUAAGAAGGCAAUAAAUAGAAAGGGCGUCGCGAGGGGCGGUCAAAGAAGAUAGUAAAUGAUUCGUACAAAACGGUCAGUGUUUUUACAGAUUACCCAGAAGGGUAUCGAUAGUCGUGAUGGCCCGGCGCCGGAUCUGAUCGGCAGAGUCAAGAACCCGUUGGUCUUCUUCCGCCGAUCCAGGAACCUCCGAUGCGCUGCGAUGAAGUCUCAGUGCCUCGUGAGCAAAGCGUUGCCUCUCCCGUGUUAAAUCGGCAAUAACAGAAGGAAGCUCUUGGAGUUUGUUCUCUUCGGCACUGAUUGCCUUGGUCACUUGCUCCAUUUCCUUGGCAAGCUCCGCCCUCCGACGUUUGAGACGGUCUAUCUCACCUAUGAUCGCCGGGCGGGAGUCUUCUAGAACAUGGAUACGCCGAUUCGCCUCUUGAGCCUGACGCUUGAAAGCGUCUUCCUCUUCGCGAGCCUUGGUCAGCUUGGCGCGAUCGGCCAUGUGACGAAGGGCUCUGAAGACCGGGAUCCUCAUAGACUCGAUGAAGGCUGCCGGCGCCAGGGCCUCCUCCGCCUCUUCUGGUACUCGUCCGCUGACGUCAUUGAAGAGCUGCCGAAUCGGUGAAGCGUCUUCUACUAAUCGGCCGAUGUCCCCUUGAAGGAGGGAUCGGAUGCUGGAAAGUUUGGCUCGGACGUCAUCAGGAACAGAACUCAAGGCGACUUGGCGAGAAGCAACUUCUUCGUCGUCAGAGAGGGCGACCGCAAAAGAAAAGAGGCUGUUGUCGGGGGUAUCCUGUUCCUGAUGAUAAUAAAGAAAAGAAAUAAACCAGCUGUAAGAAAGAGCAAAUCGGCUGAGAUAGAAGCAGAAGCAGAAAAGUUACCAUUUUGAAGCGAAUCUCCUCAUGUUGCACUUGAGAAGCCGCCAUGCCUUGCUCGGGGGCCUGCGUCAUGGGUUCAUCAGAUGAAGAGGACUCCACGAUAAUCGGCGCCGUGCUUGGACCAGCCCCCUGAAAGGAAAUCGGCGAUCGAGGAGCGAUUGAUGUGCCGAUGGCCUGUGUCAGAAGUUUGAAUAAAUACGGUACGUGAAUGCCCAAAGGAAAUCGGUACGAGAAGUUCUAUACCGUAACGGAAGGAAACGGGGGCGCGUCAAUAGCUGGAGGGGCUGCUGCCGAUUGUGGUACUUCUGUAGGAAUGCUCUGUGCAGUUUAAAGAUAAAAGAAAAGUUAAUAUCAAAAAUAAUAAUCGGAGGCAUGCGCAACUCAGUUUUACCUGUAUGGCCUCCAACAACAACGAUGCGGCGGCCGCCCCAGCUUGCGUCAUAGCUUGAGUAUCGGCACCUUGAAUGACUUGAGGAGGUGGUACGGCCGAAGUUUCUGCCGAUACGCUCACAGGAGGAUCCGCCGAUCCCGUACGAGCCCGGACUCGGCGACUGGUCUUCUUGGUAGUCCUUUUAUGAACUUGUUUCGAUCGGCCAGUAAUCACGUCAACAGACGGGGCGUUAUAGCCGAUAAGGGGAUAAGUAGUGUAUGGAUGACUCUCUAUCAGUCGUCCGCUGCGGCUGUGUGUUGGAGGGAUCCGAUUCUCGGCCUAAAAUAAUAAAAUCAUUAGUACUCGAUCGUGCUAAGAGGAAUAAAAGGGAAUAAAAAUCGGCUAUGUGAAGUACCUCGGCGUUUGGAUCAAUGUUGGUCGGGUCCAGAAGAUUGCAGUAUGCCGAUGCUGAGUUGCAGAAGAGGAAUUGCUUCCAAUCAGCCCACCAGAGUUUGAACGGCUGGACAGCAAAUGGAGCUACUAGCCAGUCGUUCAAGUUAAUUGUACUGGAGUCUGGAAUUCGGUCUCGCAACCGACCGUAAUCUAGGCCAGAUGUGAGAUCAUCUCUAAACUUGAUUUUGCCAGCAAAGUACACCUGAAUCGGCAGCUGAACCAUGCCGAAUUGUCGUGCUGCAGCAGAAGGGUUGUAGAAUUCGUACGUAGGGGCAUCCUUCCCUGAGAAGAAGUUGGCCGGUAGGAUCCCUGGCUUGAUCAACCCUUCAUAGAGAUCUUCAUCAAACCGGCCAGAAGUUGAAUCAAAGCAGGAAGGGAGCUCGAAGAUGGGAAUGUCUCGCUGAUAUGGAAACCAGAUAGUUGCGUCCUCAUUAAAUCCAUUAUAAAAAGACCGAAAGUACUCGGCUACCUUUGUAGCGGAAUACGCACAACCUGGAAAAGCUGAUGCUGCUUCACCAUAAGACAUGCAUCGGCGGCGCUCGGUAGGGUCUUCUGCCGAUUCAAUAUUGGGAAAUGUCAUGCGGUCCACUGGCUGCCGAGUGAUCCUGUUCAUAUAAAGGUUCAACCAUAAAUUGACAAACCACCAAGGCCCACCUGGGUUGCCGAUUGGUUCUCCCUUGGAAAGUUUUGUGCCGAUUUGGUGGAGCAUGUGGUACACAGCACCCAGAAGAUGUUUCCCGAGAGGAAUAUGGCUUCCUUUGGACAGUGCCUCGGCUAAAGAUUGGGUGUUGGUUGUUGGGCCGGCGGCUCUUCCACAGAAGAGGUGUUUUUCGAGCCACAUCAUCAGGAAAGCGGUGUGCUCCCUGUUAUCAACAGUACCGGUCUUCUUAUUAUCAUUAAUAAAGCCCUUCCAGCCGCCGAUUCUUCUUGUGUCCAGCCGAUGCGAUGGUACGGUCAGAAGUUGGAAAGGCGUGUCAGGGGAAGAUACAUCUAGGCCGGUCAAGAGGACCACAUCGGCCAGAGUGGGGGUCAUGGGACCGUGGCCAAAUAAGAAUGCAUUAAGUGCGUCAGACCAAAAAUAGGAAGCCGCCAUCACUAGCGGUUCGUUUUUUUCCAUUUGCGACAGGGAAAGGUUGAUACAUUGGCCGAUUUUGAGCUCAUCCCACGAGACGCUCCUUGAUGCGGCUACCCGUUGGUACCAUUCCCUCCAACCUGGGGUUUCAUUCGGCCAAGAUCUAAAAGUGCUGGCCCAUUGAUCUAAGUUCAUAUCAGAUCGUUUGAAAGGUAUCCGAUCAGUUUCCAAGUUUAUGAGGUCUGCUGGAUCCGGGUCUCCCAUGGGACCAAGACAAACAAGGCCAGGACUACCCAUGAGAUGAAUAGUAAUUCUAUGUCUAACCGCCUAAAAAAGGAAAAGGGGCAUAAGAAAUAUAAAGAGUAGAUCUAAGAUAAAUACGUUACCGAUAGAGGAAAGAUUCGGUAUUUACCUCCGGUAUAAAAUUCUGAGUAAUCGGUGUAGUCGUCGAUGCAGAUGCGGAUGAUGGAGUCGCAAUGGGGAUCGCCAUUGGGAUCUCUGAUGAAGCUCCUUCAUCUGUGGAUGGAGUGACGGUUGUCGCCACCGUUACCGAAGGCGCUACCUCUACCGGGGGCAUUAUUCCUGGAGCAUCGCGUGCUGGGGAAUUACCGGAGGGAGUCGCCAUUGAAGGGAAAGGGGAAGAAGUGAUUGGAGCUGAAACUGGAAGACUUCGAUGGCAAGAUUGAAGAAAGAAGGAGAUGCGCGCGCUGGAAAAGGAGAUGCGAGCUUGAAGAUGAGUUGCGGUGAAAUGAUAUUUAUAGGGUGCCUGAAGAAAGGGUAAAGAUGGAAUUUUCACCGCGCCGGCGCAUCGAGAUUUUUGGGGUAGUGGCUGUCGUGGGCGCCCGUUUCAAAAAAUUGCAAUGAUCAGCCGGGAGACCGCGAAACGGAUAUUUUCACUGCGGCCGUUUCGGAGGAGAGGUUAUAAAGAAUUUCGAAGUAAAAGAUUAUGUUUUACUCCGAAACUGGGGGGCAUGUGUUGACGCCGGAUUUCGUCAUCAGUAGAAUCGGUGCCUAAGAAGAAAGAAAUCGAAGGAAUACGGGUGGGGAUCGGCCAAAAGGUGCUACAAUGCGGAAUCGGUCAAGUGGCUUUUACUUCGCUUCAGGGUGAAUGCGCCAGGUUCCCAAUCGGCAAUCCUUUAAGAAAUCGGCCGAUCGGGAAGGUGGAUUAAGGUGGGCCUGUAUGGGCUUGGAAAGAUGGAGGGAUAAGGUGGAGUUCAGCCCACGGAGUGUGGGGUAAUUAGUUUAGUACGGAUUGUGCUUGUAGAUAUUUGUUUUCUGUUUGAAUUAGAGAUAGAGUCCUAGUCGGUUAAGAAGAUUAUUUGUACGGGGCUAUAAAUAGCUACCUUUGUAAAUCUGUAAACACAACAAUCAAUCAAUACAACAAGUUACUUUCUUCUGCGCAUCUACUUUUGAGCAGGCGACUUCGCCAUCAAUUUUCUUUCUCACGAGUUCGUACGGGUUGGCAGGGCUGCAUCGUCUUGAUCUCCGGCCGAUUCUGUAAGUUCCGUUUAUCGAGUAAUAUCUAGGCUUUGACUUCCGGCGUAUCGCUAUUGUUUCGUCUAGAUUUAUUCACCAGUUAUCGAUAUUGACUAGAUUCAUAGGUUUUUACCUGCCUUCCUAGUUUUUAUCACCAGUUAUCCCGCUAGGAAUCGGUAGUAUCGGCUUUCAUUACUUCCUGUUGCCAGAUCCAUCUGUUGCCGAUUAGAUCUUUUCCUAGUGCUGUUAUUACGUGCCUUGUACCGAUUACUUUAAUAUUUUUCUAUCUACAAGGCUACGGGGAUCGUGCUGUCUCGUGGCCGAUUUCUUUACCAUAGUAAAUCGGCUGAUCUGCCAAUAAACUCUCUCGAUCGGAAACUUAGCCGAUCGUAGUUACUGAAUUUGACACGUGUUCUUCCUUGCCAAUCAACAGGUCAGAUUGGCUGGCACGCCGCGUGAACCGCACCAGGGCAUUCACCCGAACAGGAGCUAAGCAGAUUCUCCCGGGUCGUGUGUCGGUUGCUGGGAUUCGGUUGACCGAGUUCUAGCGCCAACAGACCUGUUACAUGCCUUUACAAAGUAAGAGCAUGUUAGCAGAUCCUUACUCCCCAAUCCAACUACCAUAUUGGGAGGGUUAACGAAAAAUAGUGUUCCAGCAGAUUCUUUUUUACUUUUUUCCAUUUCACAAUAGUUAUUGGGACAAACUAAUAAUCCACCCUAACUUAUCCUAAAAAAAGAGUAUCUCAAUACGGUAGUUUGGAUUGUGAUUAUUGGGGAACUGCAAAAACAACUUUUCCGAUAACCAUAAAAGAAAUAUUGGGACAUUUCCAUUAGCUUGUUAUUAGGAAAAAUUGAUUGGAAAACUGUUGAAGAUGCUCUAAGGGAUUCUCAAGUUGGCGUGCGACUGCGCACGCGGUGGGGGGAGCACAAGCAACCCAAUAUGACCUAAUUUUAGCCCAAGUUAGGUUUAGUUGUGGCCGAACUAACAUCCAUGUUCUAUUUUUUUUCCCUUUCUUCAUUCUUUUGGGUUUUACAUUUUCUUGUCCUUUUCUUUAAUUAUUUCCUUUUAUAUUAUUCUGCAUAUUAUUUUUAUUUCCUUUAUAUUUAUUAUUUGUUUCUAUUAUUUGUUUUGUUUUCUUUUCUGUUUUUUGACACCCGGCCCAAUUUGGUUGGCCCAGUGUGGCCCAUUAGCGCAGGUGCGCAUGUUUAGUACCACAUUGCUAGUUUAGCAAGGGUGGAGGCAACUUAUAAGCCUUCGUCAACCAGCCAUAGUACCUUCGGGUUAACCCUUUUACACGAAGCGAGGACGAAAGUGUAAGCAGGGUGCUAUGUGUACGUGUGCCCGCCCCUCGGAAGGGUUGGGCGGUGCGGCUUUGGAGGACGGGGUGUUACAGUUUUCCUUUUCUACUAGGAAAUUCUAACUUUUCAUUUAUUUUAUUGUUUCCAUUUUUAUUAUCUUUUAUGCUUCUUUUCUUUUUUAUUUUUAGUAACAAUUUUUUUGUAUAUUUUGUUUGCUAGUAAGAAUAAUUUAUUCAAUUAGUUUUCUUUAUUGUUUCACUCUAGCACUACUUUAAAAAUCAUUUGUGCAUACGAUCAUUCUAUUUUUUUUUUACAACGGUGCUUAAUAACAACCGUCUCUAGCAAGGGUUCCAAAAAUACAAGUAUCUAUAGAGGUGGGCCACAUAAUUAAGUAAUUGUCUGAAAAUCAAUUCGAAAGGCACGCCACCUAAGCUACCACUACUAGAAAUUGACUUCUAGAGGCAGGCCUAAUAAGCAACUGCCUCUAAAAAUGUAAACAACCAAUUUUACAUAAAAAUAAUAGCCUUUAUUUAAUGAAGAAGAAUGAAGACAAAUUUACUAGCAUAACUAUAGAGCUCGAUGACAUCUAAAACUUCAUAGUUCAUAACCUUUUCAUUUAAGACUAUUUACAGGCCCAAAUAAAAUUCAUCACCAUUUCUUAUAUUUAUUUUUAAAAAUAAAUUAUGAUUUCCAAAAUGGCCUUGGAAGGAGAUGUGCUCUUCACAAAAGUUGUAGUGCAUGACGAGAUCUAAAAAUUUGUAAUUGAUAUUUUUUUUUCAAAUUUAUGAUCGUUAGAGUGUCAAAUGCAUAGUACAAUAUUCAGAGAAGUGAAAUCAAAAGAAUCCCUCAUAUAGUUAAUAUGUGUUUCGUAAAGAGAGCUACGCGUGAAGAGAGCUGUCAUACCAUGAAUUUUUUGGAAUUCAGGAUCUGACUAGAAAUAAUAAUUAAACAAUAAUUUUCUAAUAAUUUAAUUUUUUCAACAUUUAUUUUCUUGAGAGGAAAUUUAGUACUGGAAAAUGAUUGGUUGUUUUUUCUAAAUUAAAUAAAUUAGUUCUUUGUGUGUUGGAUUCAUGCCGAGGCAUCUUGGUGUUUCAUGAGUGCAGACAUUUUAAAAAUGCGUUUCUAUAACAUUUAGGUUCUUCUAAGAAUUUUCCAAAUUUUUCUAGGAUCUAUUCUCAUUUUCCUAGAGUUAAAUAUUUUUAUUAUUUUCUUGAGCUCCAAGUAUAUUAUUUGGAUUCAUCAUUUGGAUUCAUCGUGUCCCAAACUAUCUCUAGAAAUUUUCCUAGGAUUUUAGCUUUUUAGAGUAUUUUUUGUGGUUUCAUUGAUUUAUCUAGAAUUUUCUAGAUUUAUCUUUGCACGGGAAACAUCUCUAAAAAUGAAAUAGAAAGAAAUCCCCUUUCCUUCAGGCCGGGCUCGUGGGACUGACGUGCUCUAGCCCAGCAGCCGGCCUGCCAGGCCCAUCUGAGCCCUGCAGCUCUUGGUGUCCAUGCCGGACACAGUGUGGCACCGCCGCCUCCCCAGCUAACUUGGGUGUGCGUGCCACGGCUCCACCCCUGGCCCUAUAAAUAGCAAAGCCGCAUCCCCUGCUUGCCAUGCUGCCCCAGCUCGUGCAUGUGCUGUGCCUCACCCUUGCUCGCGCAAGCGCUGCCAACCGCCGGAGCCGAGCUGCACCGCCACCUCGAUCUGCCAGACCCCGGCGUCCCAAGACCAAGCCGCCACCUCCCAAAGUUGCACCACGACAGGCCGCCUCCAACCAAGGCAUCCGCUACACCAAAAAGGCCAUUGGAGCAGCACCGCCUCGCCUCACAAUGCCAAUCCGGCCGCCGUCUGUUGUCCGCUGCCAGCCAAAAUUCCAGCUGGAAUCUGUCCACCCCUGUGGCGGAACCGCCCAGCUUAAGCUGGUUUAAGUGCGCCUAAUUGCUGUCGGAGCAGCAAUUAUCCGAAACGCACCUAAAACAGCAUAAGUCCGGUAGUCCGUCGAGUGUCCCUAGGACUCCUCGAAAGAUCCACGGCGUGUUUCAUCACCAUACAUCAGGAUAAUAUCCGCGAUGGGAUAACAUCAACAAACAUUACAUUUUUACAUACAUAAUUAAGAGGUACGAGUUAUUACAAGACUUCAAGUUGAAACAAACUUAGUGAUGCAUAGUUAGACAAGCUCUAAGAUUAAACAUAAGUAGUUUAGGAGAAGAUGCGUUGAUAAACGGUUUGCUAGAGUAUUGAGAGACUCAGGUCAAUACUCUAGGUCUUCGGGGUCUCCUCCUCGACAGCUUCUUGGGUAGCUUCUGAAAGAUAACCACAAGGGGAAAACCCUGAGUACGGGGUACUCAGCAAGUCUUACCCGACUAACCACUAUAAUAGUUUUUCUUUUGGAAUGCAUGUCGGCCUUUAGGUGUGCUUGGUUGACACAAUUUUUGCCGAAAAGCUUACUACGAGUGAAGCCUUAGUUUUGUCUUUUAGUUUAGUUAAGUUAUUACCUAACCGUUCUAGAUGGUAACAGAAGUAAAAGCAAUCACAGCUGUUGAUUCAUACAAUACUUGGCAACAAAAAUUUUAUAUCACAUGAGUUCAUGCUACGAAGCUCAACGGUGAUCAAGUGCAUUCAUAACCGAGAAUUGCAGCGAUCCGGAUCAGAUUACAUCCUGCAGGAGAGCACCCGAUCACCCGCAUCAUACGACUGUCCAGGUCGUACUAGCAACCUCUCGAUUAGUAAAGUCAAUGAUUAGGAACACAACUACCCGGACCCAGGGAUGCACCCCCACAUGGGACCCCACGUCUGGCCUGAUCCCCAUGUGAGUUUCAGGCUACACCCCUGCCAAUCUCCAGCACGUCAAAUGCGGGUACGAAGCAUUCCUGAUCAUAGAAUUUACUAACCUACUGGGCUUUACUGGUCCCAUACCCAGUAAGUGAUCAGAUGUUAUCACUUGAUCAGCGGUUAAGACACGGCCCGGUCCUUAAGCAGAUUAAUGAGCAGACAGAACUACAUCUCUAGCUUCUGUCUGGUUCUAUACUUCAAACUAUCCUUCAUAAACAGCAUGUAUGAUUAAGAGUUUUCCCUAAGGUUGGUAAACCAAGCAUGUAAGCAAGUAAGCAAUUCUAGACUUGGGUGGUUUCUAGGAUUUGAACAAGUGGCAAAGAUGUCCUUAAUUCAAGGCAUGAUCAUACACAAGAAUAGGUUUCAUCCAACUCCUAGACCUAGUGCAUACAAUAACCAAGUAACCUAUAACUAGUCACAUGAAAUAACGAUUCCAAAAUAGAUAGGUAUAAAUGCACCGGGGCUUGCCUUGAUCGUUAAAAAGAUUAGCAGACGCCGACGGAUUCACUUCACAGGGGACAAAUUCAAACACCUCCUCGGACUCCAAAGGUCCUUCUGAAAAUUCCCAGUAAUCUUCUUCCGGCGCUUCUGGAUCUACGGUAUAUAUGCAGGGGUUAGAAUGCAAACUUUUUAAACAACAGACUAUACAACUUUCCUUCAUGAUAAAGUUGCAAGCCAACAAGGACUAUACGACUUAUCAUGGGUAAGUUGUAAGUCAACACACAAAAGAAAUCUAAAAAGAUUAACCUAUAUUUUUAUUUUCUUAUUUAACCCUUCCUAUAGCUUUUUCUUUUAUUUUUAGAAAAAGUGGUAAUUAUUUUCUAACUUGAAAUUCUAAUUUCCUAUGAGUUAUGGAUUAUUUGUGAUUAAUAAAGUGUUAUUUAUAUUUUAUACAUUUUAUAAAUAUUAAGUAUUUAUUUAAUUACCUUAAAAGGAAGGCAUUAAAUAAAUACCUAAAUUUUUAUUAUUUUCCUAGGGUGUAAAAAUUUUAAUGCAUAAAGGAAAAUAAAACAAGCCUAACGAAAUUGGUUUCACUAAUUUUGGACAUUCCUACAAAUUUCUGUGAUUAAAAUGGUGUAAAAAGAUUUUAAACGGAUUAUUUUAUUAAAGAAAUCUAACUUUUUCCCGAAAAUUCCCUCGGAAAACUUUUCUUACGCAGCUCAACUCUACCCCCCUCUCAUGCGUACCGGGCCCCACGACGCGGACCCACCUAUCCUCCUAUUCCCCCUACCCGCCGGCCCUUUACUCCUUCUGACGGGCUCCGUGGGCCGCUUCUCCUUCCCUUUCUCCUGUUAGCCCAACACCGGCCCAUGGCCCCUUUUUCUUUUUCCUUCCUUUCUCACGCGACGCCGGCCUGCAUCCGCUGGGCCCCCGGCCCUUUUCCUUUCCGGCCGACCGCACGCGCGUUACUGGGCCGCGAAACGCCGGCCCAAGACGACCGCACCGCUCUGGCCCGCGCCUUCCUCCCCCUUCUCUUACUGACAUGCGGGCCCGGUGCACAACACCUUCUUCCUCCUCCCGCCAAAACGCAACCGGAACAGGGGGCGGCGCGGCUCGCCGGCCGGCGCCCUCCCGGCGGCGGGUCUCGACGACAACACCAACCCUAACCCUACACGACCUCGCGCGCGGCGACAGCUUCCCUGGAGGUGACCGGAGCUACCUCCUCCACGGUGACGGGCGGCGACACCCCCGGCCGGCCAUCGUUACCCGCGACUACGGCACAACCUAGCCAAACGACUACCCCGACACCAUCCUAGGACUCUAGGGACUCGACUACGACUGCUCAAGAAGAAAGAGAGACAGCGCGAGAGGGUUCUCACCGAGAGCGGGCGGUGCGGCGGCGGCGGACAGAAGCGGCGGCGAUACAAGGUGUUGCGGUGAGGAAGCUGAGCAACAAGUUGCUGGGGUUAUUGGUGGGAUGUAGGCGGAGGUGCGGACGGAAGGAAUCGAUGAGAGCUGUUCGGAGGUGGUCGAAUUUUGCUUGGCGGCGGUGGUUGACAGAAGAGGCACGGGCGGCGGUAAAAAGAGAGGCAGUGAAACGGCGGCGCGGGAGCAGUAGAUAUUCAAGGGUUUCACCGCGCGCAUGGGUGACACCGUGGUCUAGCCGUAGGUGUAUGUGGCGAGGAGGUGGCUUAGCUUAGCUGCGCUGGCGGAUGACCGACGACGGCGGCGGCGCCACGUCUCGGUGCUCAGUCACCGCCCGUGACCUUCAGAGCUUCUCCACGGUUGAUCCUUGAUCCGAUGGCCUCUCGUGUUUUAACAGAACUUGAAGAUAAACUCAAGACCUUCAUCUUUUAUUUUGGCGUCAACUUGAGAUAAAGAUCGAAUUCACUGAAUUUUUGAAGUUUAGCUCGGGUUAGCUCUGAAUGUCGAUUGAAUUGCACUUGCUGUUCGUCAGUUCGACAGUGAUAUGGACUUUAAAUUGGGAACCAAUUUAAGGACUUAAGUCUUGUUUUUCCAGUCCAAUUUCUUCUCAAAGGUGUACUAUGAUCUCCCAAGUUUCCAUUUUGCACAAGAACAAGUACCUCUUUUGAUUUAAAUGGCUCUGAGUUCAAUCCCAAAGUUGAGACCACACUGUCAUUCAGACUUAGCAAAAGUUUCAGAGUUUCAGUCAUUUGUGAUCUUGUGCUGACUUUGAGCUCGAGGUUGACUUCCUUCCUUUUACUAUUCCUGGCCAACAACACAUGAUUAUUGCAGUCCAAAGUUUAUAUUUCAACAUGGUAUAGUUGUUCUAGUACACUUGGUUGGAAAAUUCUUCAGAAUUGAAUUUUGAAAACAGACUCUGGAACUGCUUUCUCUGAACCUAUUGUCGGACGAGGAACAGUAAACGGGAUUUCCCUUUUCUUCUUCUUUCUCUGAUUCUUUUGAGAUAUUUAGCACCAACUCAGCUCCAAAUUUCGAUUCCUUGCUUCCAAAUAAUCCCAUACUUGUAUUCCACAUGUUGGACAACUUUUUCUGAAUUUCAAAUUUGAAAUUCAAAUUUUUGGUCAAAAUUUGGCCGAAUUUGAUCUUUUUGCCAUUUUUCUUCUCUUUUCUUUUGGAUUUCUUUCUGAAUUUUUCAUAGUCACUAUGUUACUUAAAAUGGCACUUAUUACAGCCUCUCCCCCUUAACAGAAUCUCGUCCCGAGAUUCCUGGGGUUAAAUCCUUGGGUUUUGGAAUGGAAAGGAAACUGCGUCAGGUUAUUUACUCUUUCUUUUUCUGUACAAGGUUAGUGGGGUGGUGGUCCUUGUUCAUCUGUCCCUGACGGUUUCGAAUAACUCCGGAUAUUUAGACUCUAGGUCUUCUGCUUUUUCCCAAGUAGCUUCGUCCGGAGUAUGAUUUUUCCAUUGCACUUUAUAAAACGUGAUACUCCGAGUUCGGGUAUCGCGGGUCUUUUGAUCCAGAAUUCUAAUAGGUUUCUCUUCAUAUGUUAGAUCCGGUUCGAGCUUAAUUUCUGGAUCCUCCAAAAUUUCUUCUGGAACUCUUAGGCAUUUCUUAAGCUGGGAUACAUGAAAUACAUCAUGUAUAGAAGUAAGUUGAUCAGGUAAUGACAACUUAUAUGCCACGGGACCCUUUUGUUCCAGAAUUUCAUAGGGACCAAUGUACCUCGGGGCUAGCUUACCUUUUACUCCAAAGCGCUGUACGCCUUUCAUUGGGGAUACCUUUAAGUAUACAAAAUCUCCGACAGAAAAUUCCAAGGACCGUCUUCUUUUAUCUGAAUAACUCUUCUGCCGGGAUUGAGCUAUUUCUAAGUGCUUGCGAAUUUUCUGAACCUUCUCCUCGGUUUCCAUGACCAAGUCCGAUCCCAACUGUGUCCUUUCUCCUACUCCUGACCAAUUUAGAGGAGUUCGGCAUCUUCGACCAUACAAGGCUUCGAACGGUGCCAUCUUAAUACUAGCUUGAUAGCUAUUAUUAUAAGAGAACUCGGCUAGGGGCAAACAUUCAUCCCAUAGCUUAGAGAAGGUAAGGACACAGGCUCUUAACAUGUCUUCUAAAAUUUGAUUAACCCUCUCUGUCUGUCCUCCAGUUUGAGGAUGAUAAGCAGAACUUCUAAUGAGGGUAGUACCCAUGUCCUUUUGCAGUUGCUCCCAGAAUCUGGAAACAAACUGGGAACCUCGAUCGGAAAUAAUAGUUUUUGGCACUCCGUGCAAGGAUACAAUCCGGGCUAUAUAGAGUUUGGCAUAUGCCGACACCUGGUAUUUAGUCUUAACUGGAAUAAAGUGAGCUGAUUUAGUAAGGCGGUCGACAAUAACCCAAAUGGAGUCAUACCCCUUUGAAGUGGUAGGUAAUCCUACUAUGAAAUCCAUAGAAAUAUCUUCCCACUUCCAGACAGGAAUUCCUGAGGGUUGUAACAGACCUGCUGACUUCUGUAAUAUGGGUUUAACUCUUUGGCACGUGUCACAUUCUGACACAUAUCUUGCAAUUUCCGGUUUCAUUUUGGCCCACCAAAAUCUUUGCUUUAAAUCUUGGUACAUUUUAUUGGUUCCGGGAUGAAUGGAGAACUUGGAUGAAUGUGCUUCUUCUAGAAUUAAUCUUCUCAGGUUUUUAUCCUCCGGAACUACUAUCCGGUUCUUGAAGUAUAGUCCUCCUUCUUCUUCUUGAUGAAGUUCAGGAACCUUCCCCUCGGCUUUUUGCUGGUAAAGUGCUUUAAUCCAUGGGUCUUCUUUUUGGGCCGCUAUGAUUCUUUCUUUUAGGGUAUCUUGAAUCAUAACAUUCUGGAGGGUACCUUGUUUUACUAUUUCCAAAUUUAAUUCUCCCAUUUCUUCGCACAAGGUCUUCAAGUUAGACUGGAUGGUCAUGCAGUGGCAUUGGGCCUUUCUGCUUAAGGCGUCGGCCACCACAUUAGCUUUACCAGGAUGGUAAUGAAUUUCCAGUUUAUAGUCUUUAAUCAGCUCUAGCCACCGCCUUUGCCUCAUAUUUAGAUCCAUCUGAGUGAAUAUAUACUUCAAGCUCUUGUGGUCAGUAAAGAUACGACAUUCACUACCUAAAAGAUAGUGUCGCCAUAUCUUUAGUGCAUGCACUACGGCAGCAAGCUCUAAGUCAUGAGUAGGGUAGUGUUCUUCAUGACGCUUCAACUGGCGAGAAGCAUAAGCAAUAACCCUGCCUUCUUGCAUUAGAACACACCCGAUGCCUGUUCCUGAGGCAUCGCAAUAUACAUCAAAGGGUUUUUCUAUAUCAGGUUGAGCUAGCACUGGGGCUGUAGUCAAUAAUUUCUUCAAGAUUUGGAAGGAUUCCUCACACUCAGGUUUCCAUUCAAAUUUUGUAUCCUUCUUUAAUAACUCGGUGAUUGGUUUAGAAACCUUAGAGAAAUUGGGAAUGAAUCUACGGUAAUAACCAGCCAUUCCCAAGAAACUUCUUACUUCAUGAACAGAAGUUGGUGAUUUCCAAUCCAAUAUAUCCUUGACUUUUCCGGGAUCUACUUCAAUUCCUUUUUCGGAUAGUAUAUGCCCAAGGAAUGGAACUUUCUUUAACCAAAAUUCACACUUACUAAAUUUGGCAUAAAGCUGGUGUUCCCGGAGUCUAUUUAGAACAAUGCGCAAAUGUUGCGCAUGUUCCUUUUCGUUUUUAGAAAAGACAAGGAUAUCGUCUAUAAAGACAACCACAAAUUUGUCCAGUUCCGGCAUGAAUACUGAAUUCAUGAGAUACAUAAAAUGCGCUGGGGCAUUUGUUAAUCCGAAUGACAUAACCAAAUACUCAUAUAGUCCAUAUCGGGUGGAAAAAGCUGUUUUUGGUAUGUCUUCGGGUUUUAUCUUAAUCUGGUGGUAUCCUGACCGAAGGUCGAUUUUUGAAAAAACCUUGGCUCCAGACAAUUGGUCGAACAACAAGUCAAUCCGUGGCAGCGGAUACUUGUUUUUGAUGGUUACCGCAUUCAAGGGACGGUAAUCCACACAUAGCCUUAAGGUACCAUCCUUCUUUUUAACAAAGAGAGCUGGGCAACCCCAUGGGGAAGUACUGGGUCGGACAAAACCCUUAUCCAACAAUUCUUGGAGUUGUGUUUUUAAUUCUGCCAACUCUUUAGGUGGCAUUCGAUAUGGUCUUCUAGAGAUAGGAGCGGUGCCGGGUUCUAAUUCAAUAGUGAAUUCUACCGCUCUGUCAGGCGGUAGCCCAGGCAAGUCUUCUGGAAAUACAUCUAAGAAUUCAUUGACAACAGGAAUAGACUCUAGAGUCACUGCUCUAGUCUUUUUGACCAUCUGGUCUAAACAGGGGGAAACGGGUAAUUGGAGUUCGAAAGAAUGGCCCUGGUCAUCUUUCAGGCUAACAGCUCGUGUAACCACAUUAAUUUGUACUUCAUGCGCUUUCAUCCAAUUUACCCCCAAAAUAAUAUCUAUUCCUUGAUCUUCCAGAAUUAAGGGAUAAGCCCCCACUUUAUUUCCUUCUAGGUUUAAAAUCACAUUGCGAGCUACUUGAUUGGUAUUCUGUGUGGCACCAGUAGCUUGAAUAGCAUAUUUGACAUCUAAGGUAUGAACUUCUAGUUGAUGUUGCGUGACAAACUCUUUACUUAUAAAAGUAUGUGAUGCACCGGAAUCAAAUAAAACCAUAGCAGGAUAAUUGUUAAUAAGGUACAUACCUGCUAGGAUUGGCUCCCCUUCUGGAAUUUCUUCUACAGUCAUAUAGUGAGCUUGUCCCGUCUUGGUGUUGACAAACUUGCGACGAACAAACUUUUGUCCAGAGCCUUGGCCCGAGGUUUGAGCUUUUAAAUUCGCGUUUCCCCCAAUUUUGGGAAAACGACAAUCUCGGGCGAAAUGUCCUGGCUUCCCACAGUUGAAACAAACCGGUGGGGUUCCUGAAGAAGUAGGGUUACGAAACCCAAAAGAUGGUGCAGUUCCAGGACGAGGAGCAGCACUGGGAGCUCUGGCAUUCCAGGACUGGAAAGGUCGCUGCUGGAAUGAAGGACGAUACAUGGGUCGGGGAGGACCUCUAUAUACCAUCCUCAUCCUCUGUGGAGCAUUUCCAAAAUUUCCAGAAGGAACAGUCUUCCUUUUUAAUGCUUCUUCUUUUUUCAACAUUUCAUCCAGUGCUUUCAUCUUUUCUUCUGCGGUAAUGGCUGUACUUACCGCAGAACUGUAAUCAGCGAACGUGCAGGUGGCUAACCUUUCCUGCAUUCUGGUAUUAAGCCCCCUGAGAUAACAAUCUCUCUUUCUGGUUUCAGUAUUGACAUGCUCUGGAGCAUAUUGAGCUAAGUGGUCAAACUCAUUAGUAUAUGCUAGAAUGCUGCGAGUGCCUUGCUGUAAUCCCAAGAACUGUUCUAGUUUCAUCCUCAUGACGCCCUCGGGUAUAAACUGUGCCCGGAAGGCCUCCUUAAAAUCUUCCCAUGUGAUUUCCCUUCCCGCUGGCUGCCUAGCCAAAUGACUGGUCCACCAAGUUGCUGCGGGACCCUGAAGUUGAAGCCCCGCAAACUCGGCCUUUUGAAUGGCAGUACAUUGGGGAAUUACUCGAAAUUUCUGCUCCAUGGCCUGGAGCCACUCAUUAGCUUCCAAAGGAUGUUCAGCUUUUAAAAAGACUGGGGGACGUGUUUCCAGAAAUUGGGUGUAAGACACCCCUUGCUCCGGCUCCCUUCUACGUCCACCGUUGCCGGUAUUCUGUACUAUCAUCUGGAGUAAGCGGGCUUGCUCUGCCCCAGAAUUCAUUAAACUGGCUAUGGCGUCAGCCAAUGUAGGUGCUCGGGGUAAAUCCUCUUCUUGUCCUCCGGAGCCUGAAGCUCGGAUUUCUCUGGGAUCCGUCAUACUGCCAAGAGGAACAAGAUAUUAAUAUCUAUUGUACAUUCUUAUCGACAACUCGUUGCAUACUAACAUAUCACACAUCAUGCUUAUACACAAACCAUACUUAUGUACAUACUUAUUUAUAUUACACGCCUAGGAGUUAAUAUUUACAAAACCCCUUGGUACCACUUGUCCAUCACUCAUAUCUUACAAGAAUAUAUUACAACAUGUUCCAAACAAGUUCACGUCAACCAUCGUAAGGAAAGAUGCCCAGUUCUUCGGCAUUUAAGCCUAGUCGUGCCAUGGCUUCUUGCAGGACGUCUUGAUCCACGGUCAUCAAAGUUUGCCCUGGGGGAGCAACAGGUGGAGCUUGAUUGACAGAAUUCUCGCUUCCGGACUCCGGUCCAUAAUCACUCCAAGUGCGAGAAGUAUCAGAGGUGCUGAUUCCAGAAUUUCCUUCCAUCUCUUCUGGCUCCUCUUCUUCUUCGCCUUCCUGUUCUUCUUCUCCCCACUGCUGCAUGGGACCAUAGCCCUGAGGAUCUAGUCCAUCAGCAUUGGCAUUGGCCCACGCAAACUGUUGAUGGCCCGCAGGGACUUCGCCCUGAUCAUCUUCCAUAUCCACAUCAAAGCCUUCUAGAUUCUCGUGAGCAUAUAAAUCUAUUUCAGGUUCUGCCGGUGGCACUGGAUCUUCUUCCAUUUCUAGCACAGGCACUAGCUGAUCUGCUUCCUCCGGGUUUUGAGGUUGAGGCUCUUCUGGUGGGGGAGGUGGUGGAACAUUUAUCAUAUUUUGUGCCGGUGCUUGAGCUUGCAUUUCUUCCAGGGCUAGACGAAGUGACAGAAUCUCGUCUAGCUGCUGAAACCUCUCCGCCUCCAGCCUAUGGACAUUGGAUUCAGCUUCUUCUCUUGCUCGAUCCGCCAUGCUUCGACUUGCUUCGAUAAAUCCUUGCAGUGCCCGAAGUUUCUCUUCAUAAUCCUCAAUUCGCCUGGACUGCUCUCGCAUUGCCUUCUCCAUCUCGUGCUCCCUUGCCAUUGCUGCCUUCUUGUACAUUUCUUUGUCAUACCGGGCACCCAUUGCUUCCAUCCUAGUAUCUUCGUUCUUCUGUCUCUAAUUGUAAUAUUCCCGGAUACAAGCUUGAUGUAGAUUGUACAUAGCAGUCAUGUAGUCCGAAGCAGCGGCUACCAACACAUCGUGUUCUACACGAGAUGUGUUCUUCAAGGCUUUGAUCCUCCGCUUCCAUAUCCCGUCAUCUUGAUGCUUAAUUGGAUAGAAUCGAGCAGAGCUCGAUCCUAUUUCCACCUUAUGGUUCUCACACAGCUCCGUAAGAGCUGUCAUGGCUGCCCUUUCUAUAGUAUCAUGGAAUUCGAAACCUGAUUCCAUUACUUCCUCCAGGCGCCAAUUAGGAUGGUUAUCAUCAUCUGGAAUAUGCACAUACACUGUGCAAUAUUGCUUAUGUCCAGUAUCUUCCUUCCUCCAGUAAUACUCUGGGGGACUAUGGAAGCCCAACUCUUGUAGUGUCUUCCAGAGUAACUGCACAAACCCUGGUUUAUCCAGAUAACGGCCACGAGUCCACCCAUCCCUAUCCGUGUAACCUUCUUCGAACAUCCUAUAAAAAGAAACGAGAUCAGGUCUAGCGGCACUCACCAAACCCAAAAGUUUUUAAACAUGCAAUGCAAUUAUGAUGCAACGAUUCCUACGUACUUUCAGACUCAUAUACACACUCGUAGAAAAAUUGGUGGCAUCAUAAUCUCUCCCUAAUAAACUAUCGAAUACUAGCGACACGCAGCAAACAGUUAACAUCUGCAAAAUAAUCAACUGGUUAACACUACUGCCACCUGUGACUCUUGUUUUUAUUAUUUAAAAUAGAGUCUCAGCAUUUGAAAAGUAAUAUUUGUUGAUUAGCCCAACCUACGGCUCUGAUACCAGCUGUGGCGGAACCGCCCAGCUUAAGCUGGUUUAAGUGCGCCUAAUUGCUGUCGGAGCAGCAAUUAUCCGAAACGCACCUAAAACAGCAUAAGUCCGGUAGUCCGUCGAGUGUCCCUAGGACUCCUCGAAAGAUCCACGGCGUGUUUCAUCACCAUACAUCAGGAUAAUAUCCGCGAUGGGAUAACAUCAACAAACAUUACAUUUUUACAUACAUAAUUAAGAGGUACGAGUUAUUACAAGACUUCAAGUUGAAACAAACUUAGUGAUGCAUAGUUAGACAAGCUCUAAGAUUAAACAUAAGUAGUUUAGGAGAAGAUGCGUUGAUAAACGGUUUGCUAGAGUAUUGAGAGACUCAGGUCAAUACUCUAGGUCUUCGGGGUCUCCUCCUCGACAGCUUCUUGGGUAGCUUCUGAAAGAUAACCACAAGGGGAAAACCCUGAGUACGGGGUACUCAGCAAGUCUUACCCAACUAACCACUAUAAUAGUUUUUCUUUUGGAAUGCAUGUCGGCCUUUAGGUGUGCUUGGUUGACACAAUUUUUGCCGAAAAGCUUACUACGAGUGAAGCCUUAGUUUUGUCUUUUAGUUUAGUUAAGUUAUUACCUAACCGUUCUAGAUGGUAACAGAAGUAAAAGCAAUCACAGCUGUUGAUUCAUACAAUACUUGGCAACAAAAAUUUUAUAUCACAUGAGUUCAUGCUACGAAGCUCAACGGUGAUCAAGUGCAUUCAUAACCGAGAAUUGCGGCGAUCCGGAUCAGAUUACAUCCUGCAGGAGAGCACCCGAUCACCCGCAUCAUACGACUGUCCAGGUCGUACUAGCAACCUCUCGAUUAGUAAAGUCAAUGAUUAGGAACACAACUACCCGGACCCAGGGAUGCACCCCCACAUGGGACCCCACGUCUGGCCUGAUCCCCAUGUGAGUUUCAGGCUACACCCCUGCCAAUCUCCAGCACGUCAAAUGCGGGUACGAAGCAUUCCUGAUCAUAGAAUUUACUAACCUACUGGGCUUUACUGGUCCCAUACCCAGUAAGUGAUCAGAUGUUAUCACUUGAUCAGUGGUUAAGACACGGCCCGGUCCUUAAGCAGAUUAAUGAGCAGACAGAACUACAUCUCUAGCUUCUGUCUGGUUCUAUACUUCAAACUAUCCUUCAUAAACAGCAUGUAUGAUUAAGAGUUUUCCCUAAGGUUGGUAAACCAAGCAUGUAAGCAAGUAAGCAAUUCUAGACUUGGGUGGUUUCUAGGAUUUGAACAAGUGGCAAAGAUGUCCUUAAUUCAAGGCAUGAUCAUACACAAGAAUAGGUUUCAUCCAACUCCUAGACCUAGUGCAUACAAUAACCAAGUAACCUAUAACUAGUCACAUGAAAUAACGAUUCCAAAAUAGAUAGGUAUAAAUGCACCGGGGCUUGCCUUGAUCGUUAAAAAGAUUAGCAGACGCCGACGGAUUCACUUCACAGGGGACAAAUUCAAACACCUCCUCGGACUCCAAAGGUCCUUCUGAAAAUUCCCAGUAAUCUUCUUCCGGCGCUUCUGGAUCUACGGUAUAUAUGCAGGGGUUAGAAUGCAAACUUUUUAAACAACAGACUAUACAACUUUCCUUCAUGAUAAAGUUGCAAGCCAACAAGGACUAUACGACUUAUCAUGGGUAAGUUGUAAGUCAACACACAAAAGAAAUCUAAAAAGAUUAACCUAUAUUUUUAUUUUCUUAUUUAACCCUUCCUAUAGCUUUUUCUUUUAUUUUUAGAAAAAGUGGUAAUUAUUUUCUAUCUUGAAAUUCUAAUUUCCUAUGAGUUAUGGAUUAUUUGUGAUUAAUAAAGUGUUAUUUAUAUUUUAUACAUUUUAUAAAUAUUAAGUAUUUAUUUAAUUACCUUAAAAGGAAGGCAUUAAAUAAAUACCUAAAUUUUUAUUAUUUUCCUAGGGUGUAAAAAUUUUAAUGCAUAAAGGAAAAUAAAACAAGCCUAACGAAAUUGGUUUCACUAAUUUUGGACAUUCCUACAAAUUUCUGUGAUUAAAAUGGUGUAAAAAGAUUUUAAACGGAUUAUUUUAUUAAAGAAAUCUAACUUUUUCCCGAAAAUUCCCUCGGAAAACUUUUCUUACGCAGCUCAACUCUACCCCCCUCUCAUGCGUACCGGGCCCCACGACGCGGACCCACCUAUCCUCCUAUUCCCCCUACCCGCUGGCCCUUUACUCCUUCUGACGGGCUCCGUGGGCCGCUUCUCCUUCCCUUUCUCCUGUUAGCCCAACACCGGCCCAUGGCCCCUUUUUCUUUUUCCUUCCUUUCUCACGCGACGUCGGCCUGCAUCCGCUGGGCCCCCAGCCCUUUUCCUUUCCGGCCGACCGCACGCGCGUUACUGGGCCGCGAAACGCCGGCCCAAGACGACCGCACCGCUCUGGCCCGCGCCUUCCUCCCCCUUCUCUUACUGACAUGCGGGCCCGGUGCACAGCACCUUCUUCCUCCUCCCGCCAAAACGCAACCGGAACAGGGGGCGGCGCGGCUCGCCGGCCGGCGCCCUCCCGGCGGCGGGUCUCGACGACAACACCAACCCUAACCCUACACGACCUCGCGCGCGGCGACAGCUUCCCUGGAGGUGACCGGAGCUACCUCCUCCACGGUGACGGGCGGCGACACCCCCGGCCGGCCAUCGUUACCCGCGACUACGGCACAACCUAGCCAAACGACUACCCCGACACCAUCCUAGGACUCUAGGGACUCGACUACGACUGCUCAAGAAGAAAGAGAGACAGCGCGAGAGGGUUCUCACCGAGAGCGGGCGGUGCGGCGGCGGCGGACAGAAGCGGCGGCGAUACAAGGUGUUGCGGUGAGGAAGCUGAGCAACAAGUUGCUGGGGUUAUUGGUGGGAUGUAGGCGGAGGUGCGGACGGAAGGAAUCGAUGAGAGCUGUUCGGAGGUGGUCGAAUUUUGCUUGGCGGCGGUGGUUGACAGAAGAGGCACGGGCGGCGGUAAAAAGAGAGGCAGUGAAACGGCGGCGCGGGAGCAGUAGAUAUUCAAGGGUUUCACCGCGCGCAUGGGUGACACCGUGGUCUAGCCGUAGGUGUAUGUGGCGAGGAGGUGGCUUAGCUUAGCUGCGCUGGCGGAUGACCGACGACGGCGGCGGCGCCACGUCUCGGUGCUCAGUCACCGCCCGUGACCUUCAGAGCUUCUCCGCGGUUGAUCCUUGAUCCGAUGGCCUCUCGUGUUUUAACAGAACUUGAAGAUAAACUCAAGACCUUCAUCUUUUAUUUUGGCGUCAACUUGAGAUAAAGAUCGAAUUCACUGAAUUUUUGAAGUUUAGCUCGGGUUAGCUCUGAAUGUCGAUUGAAUUGCACUUGCUGUUCGUCAGUUCGACAGUGAUAUGGACUUUAAAUUGGGAACCAAUUUAAGGACUUAAGUCUUGUUUUUCCAGUCCAAUUUCUUCUCAAAGGUGUACUAUGAUCUCCCAAGUUUCCAUUUUGCACAAGAACAAGUACCUCUUUUGAUUUAAAUGGCUCUGAGUUCAAUCCCAAAGUUGAGACCACACUGUCAUUCAGACUUAGCAAAAGUUUCAGAGUUUCAGUCAUUUGUGAUCUUGUGCUGACUUUGAGCUCGAGGUUGACUUCCUUCCUUUUACUAUUCCUGGCCAACAACACAUGAUUAUUGCAGUCCAAAGUUUAUAUUUCAACAUGGUAUAGUUGUUCUAGUACACUUGGUUGGAAAAUUCUUCAGAAUUGAAUUUUGAAAACAGACUCUGGAACUGCUUUCUCUGAACCUAUUGUCGGACGAGGAACAGUAAACGGGAUUUCCCUUUUCUUCUUCUUUCUCUGAUUCUUUUGAGAUAUUUAGCACCAACUCAGCUCCAAAUUUCGAUUCCUUGCUUCCAAAUAAUCCCAUACUUGUAUUCCACAUGUUGGACAACUUUUUCUGAAUUUCAAAUUUGAAAUUCAAAUUUUUGGUCAAAAUUUGGCCGAAUUUGAUCUUUUUGCCAUUUUUCUUCUCUUUUCUUUUGGAUUUCUUUCUGAAUUUUUCAUAGUCACUAUGUUACUUAAAAUGGCACUUAUUACAACCCCGCCGCUGGUGAGCACCUCCAUAGAGUCCCCUUGACCUCCUCUUCCAAUCCCCAUCCUCACGACCGGACUGCCCCCAAUCCCGCUGGUCAGAAGCCAGCCGCCAUGGCCAUUAGAAGCUCUUUGAGCUUUUGUGAUUAGGCCACUUGGAGAUCCUGUAAUGUUUACAAGUUUUCCUAUGUCUUGCUCCUUUUACAAUGAACCCCAUAGACUUUAUCUGAUCCUUGCAAUCGAACCAAGUUGUAAUCUUUAUCAGAUCUAACCUCGAGCCUUAUCAAUUUCGCGAGCACUCUUUGAUGUGUCUUGCAAAUCUUCUCUGCUAGCCCCUAUUGUCUAGGGUUAGUCACGAUUAGACCCUGUAGCUUGUUUCAUCGAUCCUUUGUUUUAGCUCCGUUUAACCUCAUUCUUAUUGUGUUAGGUUGAUGAUAACAUAAAUUACACGUUAGUAAUGAUGGUUUCCAUCAUGCAUGUUUUUGAAAAUAAAUUUAAUAUUAAUUUUAUUGAUGCCUGUUAAACAUGUCUUCCUUAAUUAAAAGCUACUAUACACCUCUUUUUAUAAUCAAUGUUAAUUUGAUUAAUGCUUACUUCAUAUAUUUUUCUAAAUAAAAGCUAAGUAGAGCUACACCUCGGUUUUUCAUAAACUAAUGUUAAUUAUUUUAAUAUUCAACACUGAGUCAACUUUUCCAAAUAAAAGUUGAUUAGGCUUUUACACUGGCUUUUAUAAAUAAAUAUUAACUUGAUUAAUACCAACAUGAUUAUGUUUUCAAUAACAAUUUGAUCCACUUGAAUCAUAAAGUAUAUGUUUAGAUCUUUCAUAUAGUUUGGCUUUUCUAAAAGUUAAAUGUUUAAAUGAUAUAAUUUAUACUUCAAUAUUUACAAUUAAAAUAUAGAUAAAUUAUAACUCGGUUUUUCUUAAUUAUUGAUAAAAUGACCAAUGUCAAUAUGAAUGUGUUUUCUAAAUAAACUUUGUUUGGCCCAACACGACAGAUGUAUUAAUUCGAUUACAUGUGUUCAUCUUUCUAAAGUUAAGUGUUCAUCUUUUUUUAUUUGGUCUAACUUUAAUCAUUGACAAGUAAGCCUAAUAAUAAUCAUUGAUGGGUGGAACAAUUGUUUUAUUGGUACGUGUCCCUCUCCAUCUCCCCCAACCGGCCCUACCCCGCGUCCAAGCCCCGGCGACGCCCGCCGCUGCGUUCCCCGCCCGCGUCGCCGUCCCCGAGGAGAUCCACAUCCACCGCGCCGUCGGAGACCCUCUCCUUCCUCAUCGCGAGAACCUUCUCCAGCAACGGCGCCUCGUCUUCCUACUCGAAGCCGCUGCCCUCGCUCUUCCGCGGCGUACGUCCCAGCCCCAAGCCCGGCGCCGCGCUAGCCGGCGCUGCCGCGGCAUCCCGAGCGGUCCUUACCCCGCACGCGGCUGCAAUCAAGUCCCGCCGAUCAGUCUCGGCGCCCGUCGAGAAGCUCCUGGAGGAGGGCAGUGGCUUCGAGGCUUCCGAGGAGCUCCCUUCCACUGGAAGCUUGGAAACAGAGGUAGAAGAAAAGGGGAACUCGGAAGUGGUUCCUGAACCGACAAGAGCAAACCGCCAGUGGGAGUGGGACUGAAGAAUUUGAAGAGGAGAAACAUGCAGAAGUGGAAAUUGAAGAGAGUUCUGGGUCUACAAAGCUGGUGCAGGCGAGUACCCUUGAUUCUAUAGUCGCUGACGAUUUCAGUGGGCAUGAGCAAACGCUGAAAAUGGCAGCAUGGUGGAAACCGAUCAAGUUGAGAACCAUACUGCAGUUGUCUAUGAGGAAAAUGCAUAUGACCAAACUGGAGAUGAUAAUUAUGUGCAAUCAGCUCAGAGUAUGGAUCCAAUUGGGUCCGUUUCUGAGGAAAGUUUUGAUGAUGAUCGGGAGGCCGACAGAUCCGACAGAAUCAUCGAAGACCAAGUGGAAUCUGAGAGUUCAAUUGAUAAGGUGAUCGAGGAGAGAAUGGGGCAGCUGGAGAUCAGCAGGAAGGCUGAGAAGAAUGCAGAGAAGAAACAGAAAGUGUCGAUGAAACCGUUGGAGUUGGCAGAGGAGCUUGAGAAGAGGCAGGCCUCGUUUGGUCAACACUGGAAAGAAGGAGCAGCUGCCCAACCCAUGCAACUAGAGGGGAUAGGAAAGGGCCCACCAGCUAUUGGUUACAUGCAAAUCGAGAUGGACAACCCAGUAACUCGUGCCAUGUCCUCACCGUCAUUUAGGCCGGACACCAGGUGCUGGCAGUUCAUGGGAGCUAUAUAGCGAUGGGCACGUCUAAAGGUGCUGUCAUUGUCAUUCCAAGCAAAUACUCCAUUCAUCAAGCUGAAUAUAGCUAUAUAGCUAUAUACUCCGGAUUCAGUAUUUCGAUUUUUGGUAAGUCCUCUGGAGAUACCAAGUUGAAACCCAAAGUAUAAUCAGGACCAUUCCUGCACAUAUCUGUAAUCUUUGAAAAUAAAAGACUCGAUGAAUCUGAAAUCUUCUUAUCCAAACUAAAAGCUAGAACGAUAUUGCUUUUGACCCUGUCAGGUUUUUUAUGUUUAAUGAUUUCUUUGGUAUGCUACACUGUGUUGGUAAUAUCAUGGUCCAUCGCUGAAGGAUUAACUUAAAGAAUGCAUGCAGUUUUUUAUUUCUUUCAUUGUAAUCACCUUCAUAUUGUCCUGCUGCUAUUUCAGAGACGUUAUGUGAAUAGGACAAUUGUUGAACUUGAGGCUGCAGCACAGGAAGAACUUAAGAUAUAACUGAACUGCGUCUUGCAAAGCUUUUCUCAUCAGAGCCGACUGUUCCCUCUACUACUACUAAAACCCCCAACAUCCAAUCAGAUAAAGCAGCAGGUAUCAAUUCCAUUCGAUCUGCGGGAGCUAGAGUUGUCGAAACGAGAUUGGGUUCGCGGAGUUGGAAGAGUUCCAUGUGUGGAUCCCAGGUAAUAAACAGAUAGCAUUAAACCACCCACAAAUGUCUUCUACUACUGUACUUGCAAAGAGAGGACUAGGACAGCGCACCAACAUAUUGUGAAGCGAAGCUAACGUAUUAGUGAAUAAUAACGUGAGAGCAAGUAUGGGCCCGUAGCAACGCACGGGCAUUUCUGCUAGUGAACAUUUAUGAAUAAAACUUGAUUAGGUUUUUAAAUAAAGUAUAAUUUGCAUUAAUUCCAACAUAGGUUAUUUUUCUUUCUUUACAUAUGUUUUGUUAAUUAAAAUAAACCGGGUGUGACAAGAGCAAUCUUGGUUAAAUCCUAUAUACUGCACAUUUGCAUAUUUUGUGUGAGAAAUUGUAUGAUGUGUGACAGCUAGAAAUUUGCUCUACAUAUACCUAACUUUUUAUGCGCGGGUGCGGCUGACUAGCUUCUCCAGAGCAAGCAGACUCAUGCCCCUCCCGCAGGUGUAGUUUGGUCAAGGAGGGAGCAGAGGCGCCGGCCACCUCACACAUCUGUCACGGUUUAACUUGUCACUAGUGGCAUGUCGGGCGUAGGGCUAUGUUUCUUUUAAACUAAAUAGCACAGAAUGGAUAAUACAGCAUUUUGCAAUCGCAAAUAUGUGUGUGUGUGGGUAGGGGUAUUGUUACGUACCGUUGAGAGAAUUAGAAGAAAGAUCCAGCAUUGUUAGCUGGGUCAAAUUAACAAUUGAGCUUGGUAUGCUUCCGGAAAAAUUGCAACCUCGAAGAACUAACCAUCUCAACUUAUUGAGCUGCCCAAUUGCAUAAGGUAUCAACCCAGAAAUCUGACAACCAUGAAUGUCCAUGGCUUCCAAGUUAGUGAGGUUGCCAAUUGGAGCCGGCAUUGAACCUGAAAACCCAGAAUCCACGAUAUACAUGUUUCUCAAAUUUGUGAGCUUGCCAAUUGCAGGCGGCAUUGGCCCUGAAAACCCACAGUGUGCUAUAUACAUGUUUCUCAAAUUUGUGAGUUCACCAAUUGCAGCUGGCAUUGGUCCUGAAAACCAAGCAAACUCGAUAUACAAGUUUCUCAAAUUUGUGAGUUCACCAAUUGCAUCUGGCAUUGGUCCUGAAAAUCCAGCACCCUCAAUAUACAAGUUUCUCAAAUUUGUGAGUUCACCAAUUGCAGCUGGCAUUGGUCCUGAAAACCAAGAUAAUAUAUACAAGUUUCUCAAAUUUGUGAGGUUGCCGAUAGAAGAUGGCAUGGAGCCAUAUGUUGUGCAAUAAUGCAUUUCAAGUGUUUGCAAGCCCGUGAGGUUUCCAACUGCAUGAAGUACUGGACUUGGGAGGUCGCAGUUAUCUAUUUCCAAGUUUUUCAAGUUCAUGAAGUUGCUAAGUAAGAUAGGCGGUACCCCAGAGAAGUUACAUCCAAAGAGUCCCAAACUUGUUAGGUUUUUGUGCUGGCCAAUCCAUGAGAAAAUUGGACCUAAGUCGCUUCCUGAGUCCAAAUCGAUGUCCAACUCAUUAUCCAAAAAACAAUGAAGGUCCAACUGGUGUAGAGACUUAAGUCUACCGAAUGCAGAGAGAAAAUCCACAGAAAUUAAAUUCCUGUUAAGGGCCAACUCCUUCAGCGACGCAAAAUUACUAGAAGGCGUUGGUAUGGCAUAUACAAAGUUGGUCCCAUCUAGUCUCAAAGUUUCUAAAGAGCUGGCAUUAGAAAAGUUUGGCACAUGGCCUGAGAGAUUCAUAUUAUAGGACAAAUCGAGGACCCUUAAAUUUUUCGAUUGAAAGGGUCUAGAGGGUAACCGCCCCUCAAGAUUUGUCUCAGAAAGUUGAAGCACGGUUAAAUUGGGAAAAUCCAUGAAGAACUCUGGAAAUGGACCAGCAGCUGCAUCAAAGUUUCCUUGGAGGUUGAUCACAACAAGAGAAUGGAGUCUCGAGAGCGCUUUAUGAAUAGGACCACUCAGGGAACAAUCAGCCAAACUAAGUACCUGAAGUUGAGGAACAUAUGCAGCAAGAGAUGUGCCCCACUCUUCUCCACUAUUAGACAAAUCCACCGAGUCAAGGUAGAGCUCUCUUAAGUUGCUGAGGUUUGCCACAAAGGUAUCAAAACUUGAUUCCCAUAAAUUGUUAUAAUAAUCAUAAUAGUUUGGACCAUAAAAACCGAGAGAAUAAUCAAUAUUGUAUGUUGAAAGAUCCAAUGAGAGAAGGUUCACUAGUUUACUGAUGCUAGGAGGUAUCUGACCAUAUAAUCCUGAAUUGGAAAGGUUUAGGUGGGUUAAAAAAGUGAACCUCUCAAAACCAGCAGAUUGGAUGUUGUCUCCACCGAUGUCAUUCAUGCUAAGGUCGAGUCGCCAAAGUGAUAUGAGGCUGAAGAGUGCAGGGUCCAAGCCAUGACUUGACAAGCAACGGUUGUUGAGGUCGAGAAUGGUGACAUGGCCAGACGAAGGGUCACAGCCAACACCCUCCCAGAGACAACAGUCGGUACCAUUUCGCCAUGAUGAAAGCCUGGUAGUGGAUCUGCUGAAGGAGAAGGACUUCUUCAGCUGGAGGAGCGCCUUAGCUUGGUUUGGAUGGCACAAAAAUGAGACAGGGAGGUGAGUGAGGUUACCACCAUCAGCGCGGUGGGCAAUGGAGGUGGAGAGUAGUGUGUGGAGCUGAGCAAGAAAGAGCAGUAACACCCAGCCGAUGGAAGCCAUAGCAACUUAGUAUGAGCCGACGAUAGGCUUACAAAGAGGCACAAGGCAGAUACAUAAUGGAUUGUCUAGUCUAGUAAUGCGCGACAGAUUGUUAUGCAGCUUCCAGCAGCUGUCAAGUCUUUGUCCAUUAAUAAAUUAAUUAAUUUACGAGUACCAUGGCUAAGCUGUACGCAAUUGCGACACCUGAGGAGACUUGACUGUACCAUGGGCUAGCUGUACGCAAUUGCUACACCUGAGGAGACUUGACUAGCCUUUCGUCAAAUGCUGUUGGUAUCAUCCACUGCUACAACAGUGACCGGUAAUUGGAAGUCUCACUAUAGCAAGACUUCCAAGUCAACUAAGCCGGCCGCUACAUUCUGAGGAAGGUGGAAUUGAAGAUCAAAUCAAGUCGGGCGUUGGGAAGAAUUAGUCCGCACUCCGCUGAUAACAACAUCGAAUAUACUGAUCUGAUGUGCUUCAUUUUUUUUUGGGUUGGAGUGGAGCGGCAUCAAGAUCCUACUGCUGUGGAAAACACUGAAUUGACUCGUUUUAUCUCCCACAAAACGUGGCUGAAGAUGAUAGUGGUGCUUCAAGAAACAGCGAGAUGGAGCAAGUAAAAAUGCAGUUGAGCCGCAGCUAAAACUUGUCGAGGUUACCACGAUGCUCGUGAAUCAUAGUAUUCCAGCCGCGGUAGUUCUCGUCUUGUCGAAGGAGAUGUUGCAGUGUUCACGUCUAGAGCUCAUCCAAUCCAUGGCGUUCCUCUGGCCGAGUCGUCGAUACGAAGGAGACGUCGCGUCACAUGCGUGUUCCUCAUGUCACCUUUGCCUACGACCAAUAAGACGAUGACACCAGAACCUUUUUAUUUUUUCCCCUAAUCAGCAGCUUUCAAAGCGGGCGCCUGCGGACAGCACUGUCCGCGUCAGAUUUGGCACACAUUAGCCGCAGUUGCACUCGUCCACGUCCGGUCCUCCCCCACCCCACCCCACCACCACCACCACCACUGAUUGCCGAAGCUCCCUACACUACAGGGUAAGGAACAGCUAAGAUCUGAGCAAGUAAAGUCGGGAUAUUUAAUUAUUUGCCAUUCUUAUAACGAAUUCCUACAUAUCUGUCAUUGAAGAAAGAAUUAGUCUAUACUUUUACCAUUUUUGCUGAUGUGGUGAGCCACAUCCUCGUGCUAGCAUGAAUUGAGCAUGGCAAUGACCAUAGUGCCCCUGCCUCCCUCACGUUAGCCAUCCCCUUCCCUCUAUCCUACCACUAAUGGAUGGGGACUCACAUGUCAGGGUCAUCUUCAACCUAUUGCCGCAUGGUCUUCCGCUGUUGUGCGGCUCCUCUACGGUACAUCACGGGGGAGGAUACCACGACUUGGAGGUGUCGGGUGGACUACAUUUUCACUCAGAAGGACCUUAAUCUAGGACAGCGUCGUUGGUUGGAGUUGAUCAAGGACUAUGAUCUGGAAAUUCACUAUGAUCCUGGUAAAGCAAAUUUGGUUGUAGAUGCCUUGAGUUGGAAGGGUCAUGCUAACAUAGCUUUGGCAUUUCAGCUGCCUGAAGAGUUGAUGAAGGAGUUUGAGAAACUUAACUUGGGGAUAGUUGCCCAUACUGAAGGAGUGACUAUGGAAAGAAAUACGGAAUGGACAGCUUGAGGAUGUUGAGAUCAAGGAGAUCAAGGAACUUAUGAAGGAAGGGAAGGCUCCAGAAUUCAUAGAGGAUGAUCAAGUGACUAUAUGGCUCAGAAAGAGGAUUUGUGUACCGAAUGUGGGAGAUCUCAGAGACACCAUCUUGAGGAAAGCUUGUGAUUCAGCCUACUCAAUUCGUCCUGGGAGAACCAAGAUGUAUCAAGACCUCAAGAAGAAGUAUUGGUGGUAUGGGAUGAAGAAGGAUGUAGCUGCACAUGUGGCCCUAUGUGAUAGAUGCUAGAGAGUUAAGGCUGAACACCAAAGACCAGCUCGAUUGCUUCAACCAUUAAAGGUUCCUGAAUGGAAGUGGGAGGAAAUCAAUAUAGAUUUCAUUGUUUGUUUGCCCCGCACCUAAGAUGGAUAUGAUUCAAUAUGUUUUAUAGUGGGUCAAUUGACCAAGGUAGCUCACUUCAUCCGAGUGAGAACCACCUAUGCUGGGUCCAAGAUGGCAAAGCUGUAUAUAUCAAGGAUUGUGUGUUUGCAUGGUGUACCCAAGAAGAUAGUGUCUGAUAGAGGUACUUAGUUCACAUCCUGUUUCUAGUAGAAGCUGCAUGAAUCCAUGGGUACAAAGCUAAAUUUCAGCUCAUCUUAUCAUUCUUAGACAGAUGGACAGAUUGAUAGGACAAAUUAGAUUCUAGAGGAUAUGUUGAGAGCCUGCGCUCUAAAACAUGGAGGUAUUUGGGAUAAAAGUUUGCCUUAUGCUGAGUUCUCUUAUAACAACAACUACCAAGCCAGUCUCAAGAUGUCACCCUUUGAGGCUCUAUAUGGAAGGAAGUGCAGAACCCCUCUGUAUUGGAGUGAGACAGGAGAGAGUCAAUUAUUUGGGCCAGAGAUUAUCCAAGAAGCUGAAAGGCAAGUUCAGAUAAUUAGAGAGAAUAUGAGGACAGCUCAGUCCAGGUAGAAGAGUUAUGCUGAUACUAAAAGGAGAGAAUUGAUCUUUUAGGAAGGUGAUUAUGUGUAUCUUAAAGUGUCACCCAUUAGAGGCUUACGCAAAUUUAAGGUUAAAGGGAAGUUGCCACCUCACUUUAUUGGACCCUUCAAAAUUCUAAAGAGAAUGGGGAAGUAGCUUAUUGGUUGGUGUUACCCAAUCAGCUCUCAGAUGUGCAUGAUGUGUUUCAUAUCUCUCAGCUAAAGAAGUGUCUCAGAGUUCCAGAGGAAUAGAUACCGAUGGAGGAUUUAAAUGUAAAGGAUGAUCUCACCUACACUGAAUACCCUAUAAAAAUCUUGGAUACUCUAGCACGUGUUACCAGGAAUAGAGUGAUCAAGAUGUGUAAGGUACAAUGGAGCUACCAUGCAGAGGAUGAGGCAACAUGGGAAAGAGAGGAUGAACUGAAGGAGGAAUUUCCCCAGCUCUUUGCUAAUCCAUCCGAAUCUCGAGGACGAGAUUCUUCUUAAGAGGGUAGGAUUUGUAACACCCUAAUUUUCAACUUUUGCAAUUUAAUAAAAUUUGUUAGAAAUUAGGUGCAUGUGUCUAAGGAUUUUAAGGUUGCAGUUAAAUUUUCUUAGGCAAUUAAAUCUUUUUCAAAAUAAAGUAAUGAAUCAUAGGAGUUUAUUAUUGCAUUCGUGCUGGUGCAUUAUUUUUGGUUGCUUGAAUUCAAAUUUGUGUUUGAAUUCAGUUUUGAAUUUAUGUUUGUUUUCCCUUCAAACAAUAGGAAACCCUUUUCGUUUUCCCUCCUUUUCUUCUCUCUCUUUCGGCCCGUCUCCUUUUUCCGGCCCAACUCAGCCCGGCGCCCCACUCCUCCUCCGCCUGUCGCAUGCCACAGCCCAGCAGCAGCCCAACUCCCAUGUCGGUUCGUUCCGCCUCGGCCCAACACCACGCGCCCGCCGCCACCCGAUGACAGGCGGGGCCCGCCUGUCAUCUCCUUCCUUCGGUCGCCCACGCCGCAACCGACUCGGGGUCGAUCCCGAAUCCUCUGUGCUCACCUCCACUUGGCCCGCACGCCAAGGUGCCUCCUUCCAGGCCUAUAAAAGCACCGCCACAUCUCCUGCACCUCGCACCAAACCCUAGCUCCAAGCCACAGCGCUAACGCUGCAACCCUAGCUAGCCGCCCGCUGUCGUCGAUUUGUGCCGCCGCCGCCUUUCCGUCGCCAAGAAUACCCCCAGGAGCUUUGCCGCAAGGUGAGGAAGCCCCUGGUGCGGGUCUCGUGCGCUCCCAUGCCUCUCUCCGGGCGCACGAGCUCGUUGGAGUUGGGCAAGCUCGGCCGGGCCACCUCGUUGAGCCUCCGGCCACCACUAGCACCCAAUCCUCCUCCUCAACACCCUAGAUUGACUCUUCGUGUUAAAAACCAUGCCCAGAAACUCAAUUCCGAGCAAAGUUCAGCGUGUCGCUGCUCGUCGUCAUCGCGCGCUGCUCGCGUCCGCCGCCCACGCGCCGUCCAUGUCCUCUCGGCAGCCGCUAGCUGUACGAUCUGCUUUGGACAGCUCAGAUCCGAUCUAACCCGAGUCAAACCAACACGUACUAGUCAACCCCCAUGCCGCACCGUUCAUUUUGCUAAAUAGUCCCUAGGUUUUAGGGGUUUUGCACCCAAGGUCCAGAGUAGUUCAAAGAUCUUUAGAUCUCGGUCCUUUUUCUUCUGUUCUAGCCCUUGAUCUUUUGCAAAAUAGUGCCCACAAUCCUAGACUCUCUCUUUUGUGCGUUAAACCUUUAGUUUAUACGCAUAUUUAUGUUUUAGCCCUCGGUUUCUUCGAGCUUAACCCCUAAAAGUUUUAAAUCUUUGCCAGCAAGCCCUUGCACCUUGUUUAGUGCACAUCUUUAGCGUUUUAGGUCCAUUUUAAGUGCUUCCUACGUCUAUGAGUUCAUCUUUACGCAUAGAUUAGUUUUAUGAUCUUGUUUCUCUCUGUUGUUACUGAUUGAUGUAAUAUUUUCUUAUUUUAUUCCUUUGCUUGCUUGUACGUGAUCGUGUGAUGCAUUAGAAGGACUGUAGCUCGAGGGAUUCAGAGGUCAAGACUUUGAAGACUACGAGCAGCUGGAGCAAAUCCAAGAAGGCAAGUCAUGCCCUUGAUCACAACUUGAAGCUAUGAAACUUUUUAAUUUCCUAUUUAAUAACAUUUAUGCCAUGCACUUUAAGUUACAAACAUGAUGUGUCCUAAUUAAGGAGGAGUGACUAGUUUUAUUCCCAAUACCUCGAUCAACCCGGGCUUACAUAAUGUUGGGUAGUAUAUGCUUAGUUGCUCAACUUGGGUAUGGUGGUAUUAAUGAACUCAAUGGUUAAACUUGUUUUAUUUAUGAUAUGCCUAUCAUUAACACAAAAUCACCAUACUUAAUUAGAACAUGGAGAACCAACUGGGCAAACAGUACAACCACAAGAACUAAAUGGCUCUGGUCUUGACUAAUUAAUUAGAGAUUUUAGUCUGGGGUAAUCUUACCGAAAGGGCAAGAUGGGCGGCGGCAAAUGGGGUAUAACCCGGUCCACUUGGGAAGUGAGCUUUGCCCUAACAUUAUGCCCACUGGCGAGGUUUAUACUCUGCUACUGAUCCGGAAACCUUAGCGGGUUACCACUUACUAGGGGCUCUUUGUGAAGAUCUCGUAGCGUCCCUAUGCAAUCGCACCUCGGUAGUGUGGUAUUGUGCAUAGCCUGCACAACAUGGUUGGGUAUAAAGUUCUUUUGAACUUUUACGCGACUUGUGGGUAAAGAUGUGCAAGCUCUAUAGAGUGUAAAACUGACCGAUCAGUCAUGCUCACGGUCAAGAGCGGCCUGGACCCUCACAUGAUUAAAUUAUCGGAAGUUGAAUUAAAUUGUUAUUAUUUAUUUCUGUUAUCUUUAUUUAUGUUCACAUUGAAUGUGGGUGGUAUAAACUUACCGUUUAGUAAAUGCUAAUAAAACUUGACCAGCCAAGUAAAUGCUAAUAAAACUUGACCAGCCAAUUAAAAUGCUUGACUUGCUAAUCAAUCUUAACCUAUCAUUGAAUGGCCAUACACUACACAUUCCUCACGCUUGCUAAGUACCAACCAUAAGUGUACUUACCCUUGCUAAAAUCGCUGCUCAGAACAAGUCAACGCUGUGGAUGUCUUUCAAGAUUGGGAGGAGUACUAGGCGCGUACGUGUUUCUCCAGUCAUCUGCCUGUGGAGUCGCCGUUUUCGUUGAAGAUCCACUGCGACAAUAAUACUCUUUUUGCCAUUCGGUUUAAAAGACUAUCGAUCAUGUAAUAAUUAUAUACUCUCUCUACAUUAUGGCAUUAUCUUUGUUACUCACUAAAGUCAUCGCAUAUGUGUAAUUUGAUUCUGAUGUACAUGUGAUUCAUGCAUCUGGUUUUGCCUUUAAAAUAGAGAUACAUGGCCUUUUAUAUUGUUUCUGGACAUGCUGAGAUAUCUGGUGUCCCUAAGAUAGGAUGCCCAGUUGGGUGGAACGGAAGAGAAUCCGUUGUUGGAAUAUCCCAAGAAAGAAGCUGAUGCGUUUGGCAUUGGGAUCUGCCCUAAAAGCCUAUUGAAACUAAGAUCAAGCACUAGUAGUGAUUUACUAAAAGGGAGAACAUCCGAAGCAAGUUGCAUGCCCGUAAGCACGUUAUGCGAAAGAUUCAAAUAAUAAAGGCUACUACUGCUCCAUGUCUCCCAGAUCCGAUUUGGUAUAUCCCCACUGAUUUUAUUAGAUGAAAGAUCCAAAUAUUGUAUAUUUUUAAGACACAUCAAAGAUGUUGGGAAUCGAAUUAUAUUGCAAGACGCGAGCCCUAAAUAGUAAAGUCUGGCCAAAUAGGUAGCCAAAGGAUUAUUACCAUCUGCAUCCGUGACAUGCAACUCAUUGUAGGAAAGAUACAAACUGGUGAGAUCAGUUGAUCUCCAAAAAUGGGAGAGGUCCACGGAACCUAUCAACUUGUUUCGAGCUAACAUCUAUAAGUACCAAACUUGUUAGUUGAAAGAAGGCCUUGGGAAUAAAACCUGACAGAACAUUGUUGCUCAAGCGCACUUUCGCCAACCGUGAUUCUGCCUCGUCAAAGCCAUAUAUGGGGCCAGAAAGUUGGUUGUAAGAAAGAUCCAGGACACUUAAUGCAGGAAGACUGAAAAUAGAUGGUGGAAUCUCUCGUGCAAAGACAAUAGAAAACAUUAAGUUAGAAAGUGUCUCCUCUUCUAGAAAUAUCUGAAUUCAGAAAAUGAUGGCUCCUAUUUUGUUCAGAACAUGAUAAGUUAUGCCACUGAUACUGUACCAUCGAAAAAGCUCCCAAGUCUAGUUAUUUUAUCCUUAGAAAGUUGCAUGACAUAGACUCUAAAGCGAACACUUUAUGUGGUUACACUUAAAGAUUGCUUUGUUUCACCACUCAGUCCAACUGCAGAACGUGCGGCUAGCGGCUUUCACCGAGGAGCAAACUGGAGGGCAAGAGGAGAAAAUCACCAGAAUCAAGUAAGCUGGGGUAGCAAAUCGCCCAUUUGUUCCUGUUUUGUUGGCGUGCUGUUUAUGGGUAGUGUUGUUUAUUUUUAGGUGUAUGCAAAAUGUAUUCUUGAUGAAAUAUGUUGCAUCACAUAUUCUCGAAUAAAAAAGUGAAAACAUUGGUGCUCUGUUGAAUUUCAAUUAUAUUGCUGGAAUUCCUUCCUCCAUUUUUUUUCUUUUUCCUUUUCUUGAUUUUCAAUUAUGUUUGAUGGAAUUUCUUUGAUUCAAAUUUGACUAUAAUUUAUUGAGCUUCAUGCACCAAUCAGUUGCACCUAAAGUCUUAACCCGAUUGGGAAGGACGACAGUUCUAUUAUACUUCAACAUGAUUAACACUCGAAUUCCAAGGAAAACCACUUCAAAUCCCAACAGCCAAGUGGAGCCACAUCACAUUUCGAAGGGGAGAAUGGAGCAUCUGAUUAGAGAAAAGAUACUUCCAAAAUUUGAUUUCUCUGACUUAGAUCAAUCCGUUGACUGUAUUAAGGGAAAAUUUGCAAAACAAAUUAAAAAGGAUGGAGCUAAGCACAGUUCAGGAUUAUUAGAAAUAAUUCAAACUCAUAUAUACGGUCCAUUUAAUGUAAGAUCAGUGGAUGGUUAUAAUUAUUUCAUUACCUUCACUGCUGAUUUCUCCCGCUAUGGAUACAUCUAUCCCAUACUUGAAAAGUCUGAAGCACUUGAUAAGUUUAAAAUCUUUAAAGAUGAAGUAGAAAAUCAGCAUGACUUAAAGAUCAAAGUGGUAAGAUCAGACAGGGAAGGGGAGUAUUAUGGGAAACACUCCACAUAUGGACAAAUUCUGGGACCCUUUGCCAGAUUUAUCCAAGAUAAUGGUAUAGCGGCUCAGUAUUCCACUCCUGGUGAGCCUCAGCAAAAUGGUGUUGCUGAGAGAAGAAAUCGCACUCUUAUGAACAUGAUGGAUAGUAUGCUCAGUAACUCUACGCUGCCAGUGAGUUUGUGGAUGAAAGCUUUAAAGACUGCCGCGCACAUUAAUAAUCGUGUUCCUAGUAAGUCAGUUCCUAAGACUCCUUAUGAGCUUUAGACUGGUAGGAAGCCUAGUAUGAAUUAUUUACAUAUAUGGGGCUGUGCAGCUAAAGCAAAGAUUUUUAAUCCACAACUUGGGAAAUUAGAUCUAAGACUGAAAGUUGUUAUUUUAUUGGAUAUCUAGAAAAGUCAAAGGGGUACCGCUUUUAUUGUUCUAAGCGUACCACUAAGUGUGUGGAGACAAGGCAUGCUGUUUUCUUAGAGGAAACUCGAUGCACUGAGGCUAGGAAAAUUCAUCUUAAGGAGAUUCGGACUUAUGAGCCAUUACCCAUAAGAUAGAAUUAUUAUGCUUCUAUGCCAUAUACCAUAGUUACAUCUCAGGUGGUAGAACUUCCAGUAGAAAAUGUGGGAGUAACACCUACCUUAAGUGAUAAUGUAGAUGCACAUGUGAUACGUGAGCAUCAAGAUGAAGAUGUGGUAGAACCUGCUGGUGGAUUGCAAGGGGAGGCAACUGAUGAGCCCGAGGUGAUUCAGCAGGAACCGGCUCAAGUAGAAGCACCACAAGAAGUAACACCACAACAUCUGAGAAGGUCAACAUGUGAGAGGAAGUCCACCCGUUCCGAUGAGUAUGUGUACAUAAGUGAAGAAGGGCACAACAUGGGGAAGGUGGACGGUCCAAACUCAUUUAAGGAGUCCAUAAGAAGUGAACACUUGCAUAAGUGGAGCGAGGCCAUGGAAGAAGAGUUGAAGUCCAUGGAAGCAAAUAGAGUAUGGGACUUAGUAGAAAUUGCUGAAGGAGCCAAAACAGUAGGCUGUAAAUGGGUCUACAAAAUGAAAUAUGACUCUAAAGGUUAGAUUGAAAGGUUCAAAGCAAGACUCGUGGCUAAGGGCUUCACUCAAGUAGAAGGAGUCGAUUAUAAUGAAACCUUCUCGGCUAUCUCAAAGAAAGAUUCAUUUAGAAUCGUUAUGGUUUUAGUAGCUCAUUAUGAUCUUGAGCUACAUCAGAUGGACAUUAAGACUGUGUUCCUUAAUGGUGACUUGCAUGAGAAUGUAUACAUGAAGCAACCUGAAGGUUUCGUCGUGCUAGGCAAGGAACAUUUGGGAUGCAAACUAUGAAAAUCCAUUUAUGGAUUGAAACAAGCAUGCAGACAAUGAUACCUUAAGUUUGAUGAAGUAAUUAAGAGAAUUGGCUUCAUUGAAAAUAAGAAAGACAACUGCAUAUAUGUUAAGACUAAGGGGAGCUCUAUAAUGAUCCUAGUGCUUUAUGUGCAUGACAUCCUAUUAGGAAGCAGCGAUAAGAACUUGCUGCAUGAGACAAAGGGCUUUCUCUCAUCGAACUUUGAUAUGAAGCACCUCGGUGAUGCCGCUUAUGUCUUAGGCAUUGAGAUUCACCGAGACAGGUCCAAGGGUGUACUAGAACUCUCUCAAAGAGCUUACAUAGAGAAGGUCCUUGAAAGAUAUAAUAUGCAGCAAUGUUCAGGCACAACUGCUCUAGUUAUCAAGGACGAUAAGUUUGGGUCAUCCCAAAGUCCUAGGAAUCAAUUAGAAAUUGAUCAAAUAAGAACGAUUCCUUAUGGUUCAGCUGUCGGAAGUAUAAUGUAUGCAAAAGUGUGUACACGCCCUAACUUGGCCUUUAUAAGCGGGAUGCUUGGAAGCUAUCAGUCUAAUCCAGGAAUAGGCCAUUGGAAAGGAGUUAAGAAAGCUUUGUGUUACAUGCAAGCACUAAGAAUUACAUGCUAAUGUACAGGAGAACUGAGAAAUUAGAGAUAAUCAGCUAUUCAAAUGCUAAUUUUGAGGGUUGUGUUGGCACAAAGAGAUCCACAUUAGGUUAUGUCUUCACACUUGCAAAUGGGGCUAUAUCGUGGAAAAGCUCCAAACAAACAUUAAAAGCUGCAUCGAUGAUGCAAGCUGAGUUUGUGGCAUGUUAUGAAGCUGUGGGACAAGCUGUAUGGCUUAAGAGUUUCAUCCUAGGAUUAAGACUGGUAGACAACAUAAGUAGGCCACUAAAAUUAUACUACGAUAAUAAGUCAAUAAUUUUCUAUUCGAAUAACAACAAGUCAAGUGAUGCUGCAAAGCACAUUGAAAUUAAGUAUCUUGAUGUGAAAGAUAGAAUCCAAGAUAAUACCAUUGAGUUAGAGCAUAUAAGUACUAAGAAAAUGCUUGCGGAUCCAUUAACAAAGGCUUACCUCCCAUUAUAUUCAUUGAACAUGUUGCCGGUAUGGGAUUAUCGGAUAGCCUGUGAUCUUGGAGGGUCAUAAGACAACCGCCUCCCAUCAUGAUAGGUAGUUUUAUACAUUGUGGAUAACUGUGUCACAGUGGGAUUUUAAUCAUCAUUGUCACACAUUGUCUCCCUACAUAAUUCUGCUUUAAGAAUGGCAUAAGUUAUAGGCCUUUAGACCAAAGGGGAGAACGUUUGGAAAAAUAAUGUGGUGGUCAAAAGGCCGAGAGGAAAACGGGAAGGAUAAGAUUGAUGCCUCCCGAUCACAGUGGCGCUGGAGUUGGCCAAAGGCCAUCACCGCACCACCGUCGCUGUCCAUGGACAGACGAGGUGGAGACCUGAAGGGAGAUGUGAUCUACUCCGAGCUAGUACACCUAUGACAUCCGUCAUCCCGGCCUCGUCGAAGACCCUAAUGGCCAGAUCAUCACAAGCCGUGGCAGCUGGUUGUACUCUAACAUCUUCAUUGAGUGGUGUUCACGUUCUAGAUGUGCAAAGAUCCUGUUUUAGUUAAGAUUAAGUAAUGUAGAUUCCUACAGAGUUAAUGAAGCCAACCUCUCGAUUCCAGUAGCAAGGAUGUUGUCUGAUGGCAUAUCUUCAUCUUGUGCCCCACUAACAUCAUUCAUGCUAAGGUGAAGGCUAUUAGGCGGUGUAUAGCCGUAUAUAGCCGAUUUAUAGCUUUUCAUGUAUACUGAUUGUAUUCCUUGUAUACCAAACCAUAUUGGCUAUAUAAUAGAGGUCACCCCCCUCAUUAGGGUGCAUGGUGUUUUCCCAAACUCUAUCUCUCUACAUGGUAUCAUGAGACCAGGAUCAAUCUGACUGGGACUUUCCUUCCGCUCCACCUCUUCCCGACGCGCCUAACACUAGGUGCACCUCCUGUGCAGUGGCACUUCUCCCCUGCACCGGCGCCUCUCCCCACCUCCCUUCCUCCCAUGGCCAACGAUUCCUCUGCCAAGUCCUCCCUGUCCGGUGGCGGCCUUCUGUCCACUGGUGGCCCCAGGCUGGCGCCUGGCGAUGGCUCCCUGCCCAUCUCUGGUGACACCACCACCCCACUAGACCUGAACCAUUGGGCGGCUCAGGCGCCCUCCCUGCUGCUAGUGACGGCCCUGCACUGCCCCCGUGGCGGCAGUCUUCUCCUCCACCAGGCGCCGCCGGCCAUCAUCCACCGUUACGCCAUGAUCUCUGUCAAGGCUCACGUCCCCAUGACGUGGACGAUGAAAACCUUUGGCUACUCCAAGUGGGCUUUAUUCUUCAAAUCCAUGUGUGGAAAGUUCGGCCUCAAGUCACACAUCGACAGCACCGUGGUGUCCCAUCCUGACGAUUCCGAUUGGGAUCAAGCGGAUUGCUGCAUCCUCUUCUAGAUCUUUGGCUUUGUCUACAACUCCAUCGUGGACCUCGCCAUGGAGGACCACGAGUAGACCGCCAGGGCCCUCUAGCUCACCAUUGAAGGCCUCUUCCGCGCCAACAGGCAAUUUCGGGCGAUCUUCCUUAGCUACGACUUUCACUCCAUGACCCAGAGGGACAUUGGUCACCCCGUUCAGGACUCCCAGUUGGUCCUGAAUCUUCUCCAUGGCCUCAACCCGCACUACUCCAACACCACUGACGACAUCACCAACUCCCCCGCCAGCUUCCCGUCCUUCGCCCAGGCUUGUGACAUGCUCGCCUUGAAGGAGCUUCGCCUCGCCAACUUGCUGCUUACGUGCUGCUCUACGUCGAUGACAUCAUCCUCACCGCCUCAUCUUCGAUGCUCCUCCAGCACAUCAUGGCUAGUUUUCACUCUGAGUUUGCCAUGACGGAUCUUGGUGAUCUUCAUCACUUUCUCAGCAUCUCCAUCACGCGCUCCACUGACGGCCUGUUCCUAUCCUAGUGACAGUACACCCUGGACCUCCUCCAGCAUGCCAGCAUGGCUAAGUGUCACUCUACGGCGAGUCCUGUUGACACUCAUGCCAAGCUCUCGGCGACCGACAGCAACAAGCUCAAGGAUGGCUCUGAGUACAGGAGUCUUGCAGGGGCUCUCCAGUACCUCACCUUGACUCGACUUGACCUGGUAUAUGUAGUUCAGCAGGUGUGCCUCUUCAUGCACGAUCCCUGCGAGCCUCAUCUCACACUGAUCAAGCACAUCCUGCGCUAUGUGAAGGGCACCCUGUCCUCCGAGCUUCACAUCGGCACCGGCCAUGUCCAGUCCCUGACAGCCUACUCCGAUGCGGAUUGGGCUGGCUGCCCGGACUCUUGAUGCUCGACCUCCAGCUUCUGAGUCUAUCUUGGGGAUAACUUGGUGUCUUGGUUCUCCAAGCACCAGAGCAUAGUGUCUCGGUCCAGUGCUGAGGCUGAAUACCGGGUUGUGGCUCACGCUGUUGUAGAGUGUUGCUAACUUCGACAACUUCUUCAGGAGCUAUGUCCCCCUCGCUUUGGCCACUGUUGUCUACUGUGACAAUGUGAGUGUUGUCUAUAUGACAGCCAAUCCGGUUCAUCAUCGAUGCAGAAGCAUAUCAAGAUUGACAUCCACUUCGUCCGGGAGAAGGUUGCUUUAGGAUAGGUCCGAGUGCUUCACGUGCCUUCGUCCCAUCAGUUCAUGGACAUCAUGACAAAAGGCCUUCCAGUUCAGCUGUUCACUGACUUUAGGUCCAGUCUUUGCAUCCGGGAACCUCCCGCUGCGACUGCGGGUGGGUAUUAGGCAAUGUAUAGCUGUAUAUAGCUGAUUUAUAGCUUUCCAUGUAUACUAAUUGUAUUCCUUGUAUACCAAACCAGAUUGGCUAUAUGAUAGAGGUCACGUCCCUCAUUAGGGUGUGUGGUGUUUUCCUAAACUCUAUCUCUCUACAAAAGCGACAAAGGGUUGUCAAGCUGAAGACUGCAGGGUCCAAGCCAUUAUUGGACAAGCCACGAUUGUUGAGGUCAAGUACGGUGACAUUACUGGAGGCGUCGUUGCAGCCAACACCUUCCUAGAGACAGCACUCGGUACCAUCUCACCAUGAUGAAAGCCUUGUGGUCGAUUCAUGGAAGGAGAAUGACUUCUUCAGCUGGAGGAGCACCUUAGCUUGGUCUGGAUGGCACAAAAAGGGAAGAUGAGUGAGGUUGCCACCAUCAGCAUGGUGAGGUGGCAGGGAGUGUGAGGAGCUGUGCAAGACAGAGCAGUAACGCCCAGCCGGUGGAAGCCAUGGUCCAAUGGAGGUAUGAGCUGACAAGCGUCAAAAUGGCACAGAUAUAUAAUGGUAGUCUAGUCUAGUAAUGGGUGACAGAAUUGUUGUACAUCUUGUGAAGCGGUAGUUUCACACAAGGCUUCUUCCAUGAGCUUAAGUGAUGGUCGCAAUUCAGAAUCUCCAAGUCUCUGCCCCUGUAAACACGCCAAUCAAGUAAGGGUAAGAUACAGACGUACACUAGCAAUGGAUCAUGACAGUAAGUUAUGGAAGAGACUUGUUACAACUUAUGAGACUUUCCAUAGUUGCUGUCGGUAUUGUUCAGCACCACUGGACAUAAUUGCGACCUGGGAAGUGGAGCUCCAACUAUCAAGGCUUCCAUUUCAGAAAGAAAAAAAAGGACUUCCAAGUCAAGUAAAGUGGCUACGAACCGAGGAAGGUGGAGCUGAAGCACAAAUCAACUGGAUAAACAGUAAAAAGAAAGUAGAGUAAAAUUCACAAAACAUACCUCAAGCUUGUAGUUUUCUAAUACCAGAAAAACUCAAGUUUUCCGAAAUUCGCUGUUAAAAAAUGAAAAAAAGAAAACGAAGAGCAACGCUUUAUCUUUCAGCAUGCAAAAACUGGUAGCAGGUUAGGAUAUAAAUGAGGCAUGCAUCAGCAAUGCUAGAGCGAGGAUGCAGAACAAACAUUUAACGGUUUUCCAAAGUUGCAACGACGAUUGAAUUUAUCUUGUCCCUGGCGCAAUAUAACAGCACGAGCAUCCCAUGUUACAACAUUUGAAGCAUAACAGAGCCAACAUCCAAACAUUCAACAUUCAGUUAACACCAACCGUUCUGACUACAGCACAACCAGGUUGCAGUCUUGAACAACCAUAACACUAACCAGUUCAGAACCAAAUUAUCAGUCCCGCAUUUUCACUGGUAGCAGAGCAGCAGCACUUGCUUCAGUUUUUGAAGCUGCCAUGAUCCACUUCGUCCCAUCGUCAGAUGGUGCCAUCCUCACCAGCUCCAAGGAUAGUGCUAGAAAAGGAAGACAACGUCACAUUUUUAAUCAACCCAAUGCAAAAACAGAAAAAGAAAUUAAGCAAGAACAUUACACGCAAUUGAGAAUUUCUCCAUCAGUAAAAAAGAAAACUAGAAUAGGCAAUACACCAAGAGGAGCAUUAGAGUGAAGUACCUUCCAUCAAAAGACACUGCAGUCUGCCUUAUUGGUGAUCUGUAUUGCUGAUUAUAUAGCCUGAAAAUGAUACAGUAUUUGCAUCCAGAAGCAUAAGAGUUACUAAUACGCAGCACCAAUAAAAGUGGAGGACAAGAAUAACUGAAAUUCUUGCAUUAAAAAUUACCGGGCAAUUAGGACAGGAGGGCUUGACUGUACUUCCCACACAUAGAUUUUGCCUUCACGAUUUCCUGUUUGAAGCGGAGGAUGAUUAAUCAGCAAACGUUUCUAUGAAAAUCCAGUCAUAUAUUUUAAGUGUGAACAUUUUGCCAUGCCAAAACCUCUUUAUAACUUCUGGUGUGUGAAAUUUACAAAUCAAUAACUUAAAUAUAACUUUUAUGUCAGAAAACAGCCCAGAUCAUAGAUAUUACCUAUUGCCAACUGAUUGAAGUGAAAAUCGCACGAAAAUUUUAUAAACCAGAUGUCACACUCUGGCACAGGGUACUUCUGAAGAAUAUCGAUGCUUCCCUAUAUGAGGAAAGAGAAAGUCAUAUUACUUCAGAGGAAUGGGCAGUCAACGACUAGAAAUCAAAGAAACCGCUGGAAGUUAAAUUCAAGAAAAGUUAAAUUGUAUCACCUCCCUAGGACUUUGUUCUUUUGUUUUUGGUUCCCAAAGCACAAUUUCAUUCUCAACACUCUGCAAAUCCAAGCUAGCAUAGAUCAGAUUCCUCAUUAUACAGGAACCAAAACUGGCACUGGGAAAGAAAAGGUUGAAAGACUGAACCCAUGCACAGUACAAGAAUACAGGAUCCAGAUACAGUGGUAUUUUGAAGCAUCAAAAGAAUGACGACUGUACUACUACUAUAGCAGCAAUUUGUAUCCAUUUAAGGGAAGGAAUUUCACCUUUGACAGGAUGAAGUCACCAAGCCAUCUUGUACAAUCAACAUAGUUAGAGUGUACUGCAGCAAUCAACACCUGCAAGGAAAGAAACAGGUUGGUUUGAUGGCAUGAGGAUUAACCACCAACAGUAGUUUGCAAAGGAAUAGAUCUAAGAUUAUUAUAGAUGCUAAACAUACCGGAAACUGGACAUAUUUUGUUGGAAACUUUGAUGGAAGGUCAGUCCAGGAAUAUGAUUUGUCAACAUAUUGCCAAAAUUCUGUGACAACAUUGGGAAACUCUAUCAAUGAUAUGCAGCAUGCAAAUGUAAACAUGAUGCUACUUUGAAGUAGUUUUCCAACCUUUCAUUGACCAGAUUUUCACAGUGUUGUCCAUGCCACAACUUGCAAAACGCUCAAUAUCACUAGGGUGGAAGUCCUUCUGCCAAAAUAAUGUAUUUUGAUCAGUACAUUUAUGCCUAACGUAAUGGAAGUACAAAAGCCAUAGUAGUCACCACUCACCAGGACUAUAUUUAUCCCUGAUGUAAUGCUCAAUAACAAACAGUAACAUCAGAAGCUGAAAGAGUGGUAGCUUCAGGGCACUUUGAGCAAGUAAUAUUCUGAAACAAUACCAUAAGAGGAGGCAGGAGCUACUUACAACACUCAACACUUCAUUGCGAUGACCUCCAGCUCCAGCAAAUACCAAGAUGCAGAUCCCUGUAUGGACAUUCCAUAGCCUAACAGAUUCAUCCUAUUCAAUAAUGUCAUAUGAAACAGUGUCAGAACAAUUAUAAGAAAGUACAUUCAGCCUAAGAACAGGUUAUCUGCUAACCUUGCUUGCAGAGAAAUGAUGAGCGAAGGCUUCAACGCUUGAGUCCUUAUCUCAUUUAUUGAGUCACCAUGGCCAACAAAGCUCUGUAGAAUUCCAUAAACAGAAAUAACAAAUAAACACGUGCACAGUCUAAUUCAUAGGAUAGGAUAGUAUUUAUUGGCAUGCCCAGUCUCCUGACUAUAUGUAUAACGCCAAAAUAGAUACACUAGGUUGAACGUGUCUUGACUAUGACGGACAUGCUGAAGUAUCCAAAAACCAGAAUCUUCUGUGAGCAAAAGUUACAGUUUGCUAGUGGUAUUAAUGCAUAGCAAACAGACAAUUCCAUAAUCAAACCAAAUUCAAAUGACCUUCUGGAUCGGAUAUCAUAGAUGGUAUCUGUCAGGUAAGCAACUGAAGUACUGAUUUAUGCAAAUGAAGCUUCAUUCAAGUUUGACGUAGGAACAAAGACAAGGCUAGGGGUACUAUACCUUAGCUAACUUCUCCGUAGCACAGUUGAUGAGCCGAAUGAUCCCAUUGCUUCCUGCUGCUCAAUGACUCCUUUCUUGGUGACCAGUGUGGCAUCCAAGGUAUCAAUCAGCUCUUCCUUCUCCUUGAGCAAGGUGUUCUUCUCCUCUAUCACCCUGUCCCUAGCCUUCAGUGCCUCCUCCAUCCGAACAACUCUUGCCUCCAGCGUGGCAAUCCUCAGCGAGUCCCUCUCGUCGUAGUUGUCCAGUGCAGUGUCCACCUUGUGCUGCAAGCGACGGUUCGUCUGGUCCAGGUCAGUCAAAUAGUGCUCAAGUCCCAUUAUCUUGCCCUCAAGCAUGGCGUCGGUACCGAUGCAGUUGUCCCAACCCUUGCGAAGUACCUCCACCUCUCUGUCAUUCCAGAACAGUGCCAAAUCCUGAGCGUGAAUGCAGUGGGAGGCCACGUAAAACUUCUCGUUGGGCUCUGCAUAAACAUCCUCAUAGUACUGACGGGCUAAACUCUCGAAGUCCCUCAGCCCACGGCAAGCCCUGGUUAGGCAGCGGUAGGGAGUCUGAGCCAACCUGUCAAGGAGCUGCGCAUGCACCUCACGCACGGCCCUUCUGGCGGCAGUCCGGUGAGCCUUUGACACUAACAACUCAAACCUUGGUAGAAGAAUAAGCAAAGUCUAGUUAGAAAUAGCGGUAGUCAACAGCACUGUCCAUAGCCAGUGAACAUGGAUUAUAGCUAUAGCUUUAUACACCCUGCAAAGGAUGUACAACUGUACCCACACGGAUGGAGUCUAAACGGUGGAGAUCCGUCAAAACCCCACCUAACAGCCGGAGCCCUAGUAGGUAGAUAGCUCUCUCCUAUUUCCUCAAGUUUGGUCAGAGUAGGCCAAUACCUCGAACUCAUUACACGAUCCUCCAAUCCACCUACAGGCUGAGCAGUAUCCACCACUAGUCUCGGACCGAACCCUUCCCAUAAUGUAAGCGAGUGGUAUGUACGUAAAAUAGCUGUUGUGACUAGUGGUAAACUAACUCAGUGUUUAAGCGGCUGAGAGCGAGCACUCUACUCCAUAAGUAUGUGCCAAAGUACCUGCAACGUACAAGUACGCCACCUGCUCUUUAGUAACAAACAAGGUACCCGCUGUAACACCUAGUGUUAAUGACAACUUAAGUAUGACAUUAAGAAGCUAAUGGUGAAGUUGGAUUAAAGGAAGGUAAUUUGAGCCAAAAAUCAAAUUUGAGCCGAAUUCGACCAAAUUUGGAAUUUGGAGUUUCAAAUUUGGAUAAAUUUGGCAAAAAUAUGAAAUAGAGUCUUGAGAGUAUUCAGAACUCAAAGGAAUGAAUCUUGAAGUCUAAAUCAAGUCAUAAAGCUCUCAUAAAUACAAUCGAAGAGGGAGUCAGCAAAGUCACUAUUCGUCGUCCGAAAACGCGCAACUCUGAAAUUAAUAUUGAGUACACAACUUUGGAGCCAAUUCCUGGAGAAUUUCUCCUGUAAGUGAGCAGAUAUUUUUGGACAUUAGUGAAAUAUGGACUAUGGAGAAGGUAAAUGAAAUGUUGUUGUCCAGAGAAAGUGGAAGAUUUGAAUUUAAAAUGAAGCCCAAAAUCAGCAAAUCAGUAGAUUUCAGCCUUCUCGCCAAGAAAAAUCUUAAGUCUGAAAACAGCAUUGACUAGCCAUGUUUGGAGUGAAUUUUAGAAAAAUCUAGUGUAAAAGAUAUAUGAGUUCAUGUGCAAAAUAGAAUCUUUGUUAGUUGUAGAACAAGUAUGGGCAAGGGUCAAGCUGCAUGGAACAAGUUUGCCUAAUUUAAAUCAAGCUCAAAGAGGUAUAAAUGGCCUUGCACCGUACCUGACGAAACUGAAUCAUUGAGGUUCAGUUACAGAAGCUUCUGGUCGAACUUCAAGCUUCAAAAUUUCAGUGUUAGGGUGCUCAUUUCGGUUGGAGGUCAAUCUAUCAAAUGAAGUACUUGGGCUACUCUACAAGUUUGCUUAAGGAACAUUUGGACCUUCGGAUUUGAAAUUGGUCGAUGGGGAAGUCUGAAUUUUGGAGAAGAAGAAGAAGAAAGAGGGAAACAGGCGAGCAGGAACAGAGCCGUGCUGCCGCCGGCACCUCUGCCCGCCGGCCAGCGCAACAAUCCAAAUCGCGCCACGCACGCCUUCAAGUCGUCGAUGUGGCCGUCAUGCACGCGGUAGAAGUUCGUAUUUGUACCGCUCCCAUCCUCAUCCGUUCACCCUGCCGCCAUUCUUUUCACCGUCACAAAGCAGAGCUCGGGUGACCGGCACUGCCGCCGGCCGAUUCCACCGCACCGCCGCUCUAAUCCUCGAUCCCUUCCACCUGAAGCUCCCCUAGCCCCUCGCCGACACCCUACACCGCCCCGUCCACCAGUUUUCCCGCCGGCGAGCCACACCCGCCGCAUCUCCUAUCCGCCCGCCGCCGCUACUGCCCCUCCAGUGAGCCCUCCGCGCCGCCCCUUCUCCACUCUUGUGCUCGGGUUUAGAGGCUCCUUAGGUCGUGAAGACGCCGUAGGACGCAUCCGCCGGCCGCUUGCGCCGCCGCCAGACCUAGAAUCCGGCCGGCCUUCGGCCAUGGCCGCCGCCGCCCGUGCAGGGCCCGGCUUAGGCCGCCUCCGGGUGAGCUAGCGCCACCUGCAGGUGCGCUGGGGCCUAGGGGUGCUCCCCGGCCUGGCCCCGCCGUCGGCAGGCCACCGGCCGUUGAGCCGCCGGAGCCACCCGCGGGGCACCCUGUUUUGGGUCGGGCAGGGGAGGCCUGGCCAGGUUGGCCCCACGCAUCGGUGAGGAUAGGGUAGGGGGGCGGUAGCAAUAGGAUUCCAGGGGGUUUUUCCGAUAAGGUUGGAAUUUUUGGAUUUAAAAAUAAAUUUAAAUAACUGCCAACCCAUUUAAUUCACUGUAAAUUGUAUAGGUACCCAAAAAUAGUGAAAUAAAUUUCUUUAGGUUUAUUUUAAUCUCCUUUACACAUUAAAAUUGUUAAAACAUAUUUAUAGAAACCUUUUGAGUAUUUAUUUAGUGCCUUUAAUUAAAGUUGUUAAAUAAAUACUUAAUAAUUCCAAAAUACAUAAAAUAUGAAAUAAUGCUUUUAUAAUUACAAAUUAACCAUAAUCUAUAGUAAUUAGGAGUUUAAGAUUAGAAAUUAAUUAUGAUGAUUUUCAAAAAUAAAAACAAAAGGCUUACGUUUUUAAAUAAAAGAUAAAGAUUAAGUAGUUAUUUAAUGCUUUUCCUUAAAAUAUUUAAAUAAAUGCUUAAGCUUUAUAAAUAAAUAAAAUUCUGAAUAAUGUUUUGAUUAAUUCCAAACAAAUGUUAAUCUAUAGUUUUACAUUUUCUUUUACAUUAGAAAUUAUUUCAAAUGAUUUUCAAAAAUAAAAAGAAAAGUCUAAAAUGGGUUUAAAUAAGGGAGUUUAAAUCGCGAGUUACACGUUAUGGGUAGAGUUUUGUUGGCUUGCAACUUUAUCAUGAAGUUAAGUUGUCUAAGUCACUGUUGGCUUGCAACUUUAUCAUGAAAGAAGUUGUAGAGUCCUGUGCUUAAAAAGUUGCAUCUCUGACUCAUGCAUACGCUUUAUCGUAGAUACUGAAGCUCCAGAAGCGGAAUUUCUAGAAAUUUCUGAAGAACCUUCGGAAUUUGAGGAGAUCGUUGAGUUGAUCCCUUGUGAAGCCAGUCCGUCGAGCAACGCUAACAUUUUUACAGAUCAAGGCAAGCCCCGGUGCAUCUAUGCCUAUCUAUUUUGGAGUUAUUAUUUCAUGUGUCCAACUAUUGGUUAUUUCUUUAUGAAUGCAUUAAGUCUAGGAGUUGAUUGAAACCUUACUUUUAUGCACAAUCCAACCUUGUUAUUAAGGACAUCUUUGCCACUUGUCAAUAAUUAGUAAGUAUCCCAUGCUUAGCAAAGCAUAGUCGCGCUACCUCUACCAUUCCUGAGAACCUAUGGUACUCAGCAGCCUAAGGUAACAUUGUCAUACAUAUGUAUAUCAAAGAAAUGACCGGUUUUGGAAGAUAGUGGACGGAAGCUUGGAUGGAAUCAAGAAAGGAGUCUUGAGUUCCGUAGUUCUGUCUACUCGAUUAAUUUGAUUAAGGACCGAUCGUUGUUUUAACCCAUGAUCAAGUGAUAUUACCUGGUUGCUUACUGCUAUAUGGGAACCAGCAAGCCCGGUAGGUUAGUUGGCUCUCUGAUCGGAAAUAUUUCGUACCCGUGCUUGGCGUGCAGUGGAAGGGCAGGGCGUAGCCGGAAACUCAUAGUGGAGAUCGCUAGACGUGGGGUUCCAUGUGGGGGUGCGGCCCUGGGUUCAAGUAGUCAUAUUUCCGAUCGUUGGGUACAUCUAAUCGAAAGGUCGUUAUGUGCAACCCGGACAGUUGUACAUGGCUGGUGGUCAGGUAUCUCCUUGUAACGACCCUGGUCAAAUCAUUCGAGUUAAUCUUAAUCUGAAGCCCAAAUUCCUCUGUCUCAGCUCUUCCCGAGCAGGAGUGCUCCACUCCAGUUCCCGGUCCCGGCCCCUGAAGACCCCAACCAACCCCGUCGGUUCCUUCUGAGUUCCCUAAGGCAGUGCUCCUUUCAAUCUUGGAGCUGUGGGACAACCGAGACUGACCGGUGGACCCGCAAAUCUUUUCCCGGAUUUCCCGAGGCAAACGCACUCGAGCGGCCUGCACCGCUUCAGAGCUCCCCCGCCGCAUGGCUCAACUUCUCCGACGCCCGCCGCUUCGCCCAGUCGCCGACCGCGACAGGAUGGAUUCCCGCGCCCUCCUCCCCAAUCGCAGCGGAAGCCCCUCUGCAACCCUUUCUGCAGCGCCUCGUCUCACUCGCGCCCUCGGACACGUGUGUUGAUUCAUACGAAGGGUGGUAUGGUUCGAUUCCAACGAGCCUAUCAUCACGGUUGUUCGCCCACGUCUAUUAUACGUGCGCAGAUUCCACAUCUCGAGUAUGCGAAGGGUUAUACGGUUCCAUUCAAAGGGGACCUAUUUCCAUGGUUGUUGCGCUAUCCAUGCAGCCUUAAACACAUGGGUGCCGUUUCUAUAGUGAACGGUAAUGCUUGGGGACGCUUUCGUGGGUGCUGGCACGAAAGGUUCAUGUGGUUGUGUUUUCUGCAGGUACACUAACCGCGUUCGCUUAGGAGACACUACUAGAACCCGACUAGAUAUUAUAGGGAGAGACGUACUGGUUGCCUUGACACCGGCACUGACUGCGUAAGACCAAAGUUUUGGCAGUUGUUUUGGUUGAGAGGAUGAAGUAGGCCAUGCAUGCGACAUGAACUAAAAUCUUUGAACCCACCUCUCUAAAACAACCUUGCCUUGGUUAAAGCCCUUCUUCGGUUUAAGGAUUUCUAGCUUCCUUUCUAGCUUGUGCUUUGGUCAAAUCCGAGUACUUUUUCUGCCUGACCUGUUCUUCUUCUUAGAGUUUCUAUCUCACGUCAGUUCAGUUUUUGGUUCCAGAUGGCUGCCCUCGGACACGUGUUGUACAGCGCUGACGGCAUGUCCCACUCUACGUCCCUACACUUUGAGGGUUUUCCUGCUAUUCUGUGGGACACCUUAAGGUGGUUUGGGUAUCAGUCCCCGCCUUUGUACAUGGGAUGGAUGUACCAGGAGCACGGAGUACAGAGGUGCAACAUGCAGGUGGUGAUACCUCCACCCCCUGUGCAGCCCGAGUGGUCCCAGCUCGAAGUCUUGACUUGCGGGCACGCUCUGGAGGAUACAUGGGAGUCAGCUGCUCUGCUGAUCCUCACCCACUUCUGUUGACUACACCCGCUUGAGGUCACUUUGGACCCAAUCGGCUUGUUCCCCGCUAGGGAUCGGCUAGACCCGGCGUGGCUUGAUCACGUCAACAACAUGGAAGUGUUGGCAGCCUCUCAUGCGCUGGUCACCAUCUCUACCACCACCAGAUGCAUGUCAGCCUUGUAUCAGCUGAUUGAGCUUCAAGGCCGAGCGAUGGCUGUCUUAGCUCGGAUAGCCAUAGACACCCAAGGGCUUUUCAACGCCGCUAAAAGAGACUUGGUGGGACAGUCGCAUCAGCUUAUCCAAAGAGGCAUACAGAUCCAUGACAUGCAAGACAGAAUCUCCAAGCUCGAGGGAGAAGUGACGGACCUGGUGGAUGGCAUGAUCGAGCUUGCCGAAGAAAAGAUGGAGGUCGAGAUGGAGCUAGCAGUUGCUAAUGCUCAUUUGGACGAGCAUCACGCCGAGCUUGAUGCUAUACAUGCCCUUGAGAUGCAGCUGGAUGAACAAGAAGAUCCUGAGGAGGUCAUGGGAGCGUCCAGCAUGGACAUUGAGGAUGGCGACGCCCCUUCUCCGACUCAUAGUGUUCCCUCAUAGGUUGAGAGCUGUAGGAAUCUAAUCUUUUGUUAUACUCAUUGGCAACCUAUGUUUUGGAUAGUGAUGUAAUAGGUUAGCCUUGAGUUGAGUAUUCCUCCUGUGUUUUGGGGAACAACAAUGCAAUGACCUCAGUGAAAUCAGAUCUUAACUUGACCUUUGACUCUUUUUGCGACACGCUUGGAUGCCAGGUUGUGUGAGUUUUGUCCUGUGACCACACACCCAUCUUCUGUGGGUCUGUCCAAAGCUUGGCCGACCCUGAGUCGCAAGGUCGGAUGCGCUCGACCCCUCGAGGCAGUUCUCCGCCUCGCCCGACCCCUUGCUGUGCAGUUUGCUUCGCCCGACCACUGGUUUCACUGUUUCGCUUAGCCCGACCCGGGCACUAAAGGUCGGAUAUAGUGGAACUCCUCGGAUGUGGUUAUGGUUCGCCUGAAGUUGUGUGCAGAACUAAGAUAGUUGCUAACUAAGAUGGCAAGAGGAAGUGUGUAUCUCUUUAAUAAGGACAUGUUAUUGUGUUGCAGUAUCGGCAAGAGUCGCAUUUGAGGAUUUAACUUAUACGUUCCCACAUAAUGGGAAUACUUCUGAGGAUAUGGAAUUAAUGGAACGUUGACUCUUGCAGAUGGCGCAUCGCACCCGAUCUAGCUCUAUGCCCAGCGGUAGUGAGCAGAGGCAGGAUCUUCCUCCGCCUCCGCCCCCACCUUCGCUGGAAGCCCUCCUAGCGGCUCAAACUGAGCUGCUAAGGCACAUUGUACACGGACAACAACAGCAGCCUCGUGGAGGGAGAGCCCAUCAACAACCCCAAGUUGCUCGUUAUGAGGACUUCUUGAGCACGCAACCCCCUUUGUUCCAGAAGACAUAAGACCCGCUCGACGCCGAUGCCUGGAUUCGUGCCAUCGAAUCCAAGUUCUCCCUCCUCACCGCCCAUUGCUCGGAGGAGAAGAAGGCUCGGUUCGCCGCGCAACAACUGCGUGGUUCUACCCUCCUUUGGUGGGAUCACUACCACGCCAUGCAGCCGGUCGACCACGUCGUCAGCUGGGAGAAGUUUAAGACGGUGUUCAGGGGCCAUCAUAUCCCUGAAGGUCUCCUGGAGCGUAAGCUCAACGAGUUCCUGGCCCUUACCCAGGGAAAUCGAGAUGUCCUGCUGUGGCGGAACCACCUCGGAUUAGCUUGAUUAAGCAGGGUUAAGCCGCCUAACAUGCGACACUCCUGCCUAAACCGAGUUAAUACGAAGUGCCGUCGGAUUUCAUCCGAUUUAACCACUUAAACAGAAUCGAGUUCAGCAAACCCACACGAAGGUGAGCGGUUACAGAGAAUACAACAAGUCCACUGAGUUGAACAAGUUUUACCCAUUUGGUUCGGCCAUAAAAUCCAACAUCAGAGUUUUACAAGUUUUCAAGGAAACAACAGAGAAAACACUAGCGGAAGACUUCGUCGGGGUCGGACAUCCUUGGUGAGGCCAACCGGGACAUCACUAGCUCCUUCCCUCGCCGUCCGAGGAAGGAUCCCACUCGACCGUCCAGCCUGGCGGGAGCUGGGGCGGCCAAGCACCAACCAGAGAGGGGUCGGAAGCAGCAACUUCACCUGAAAACAGGAGCCACAACAAGGCUGAGCUACUAAGCUCAACAAGACUUAACCGAUAGGAGGAAGGGCUACUCCUCCUUCUAGACAUGCAAGGCUGUUUGGCUGAGGGGGUUGUUUGCCAAAAGCACUAAGUAACCCUAUUUUCAAGUUUUAGCUCCGGUUCUAGGUUCAUUUACCAAUCUAGGUUGUGCCACCUAUACUAAGCAUUCAUAGAAUCAAACAAGAUGUAUAGAUACAACAACAAACAUUGCCAUCAUCAGAUUCCUCAUUUACUCAGGGUGACAUAGCGAUCAAGCAAUCUCAAACUAUGAAAGGCAGACGAAUCGAUUCAAGUUCUUUAACCAUGCAUGGUGAACCUAGCCUCACGACAUCCGCGCACCCGGAGGUCGCUUCCUGUGUCGGCCUUCCCCAUCAAUCCCCUAACCCGUGUCGGGCCCAUUUCCUUUGGUGCAAGGUUCCACAGACCCGGCCUCUGCCAUUCUGUGACCACGCUUGCCACCACGUGCGACAACCAGCAGGGGAAACUCCGUUCCAAGAACAAUGGGGCGAUCGCUCACGUAUAGGUUCAAUCCGGUACUAGGCUUCCUCAUCCCAUACUAAGUAUGAGGCUAGUACUUUCAAACACUUGAUCACGAACACCACCACUGUCGGGCCUUAGCAAGUUUUCAUAGACAGACGUGGCAACCAUCUGACCACCAAAAAGUUACCAAAACCCUGCCCCGUCCAUCGUCCUUAUAGUUAUAACAGGACAGUAAACAUGCAACUCCUACAACUCGCGAGAGAUAGGAAAUCACUCGACUUUUACCGUCUCCUAGUUAAGCAAUGCAGCUACUCGGUCCAACAGCUAGUGCUCAGAUCACUGGGAUAACUAAGUCAUGCAUCUAGGGUUUCACACAACUCCUAUACGUAAAUGCACAAGCAUGUUACAGAAGGCAUGCGCAAGUCUGGUAAAACACAUAGGACUUUCAUGCAACCGGGGCUUGCCUUCAAGCAAGGAGGACGGAAACUGCUCGACUUCGGGGGCGACUUCGGCUUCGGAGGACAGGAGCUCGGCUACAGCUUCUUCUUCUGGCGCCGGGUGAAGCUCGUAGAAGCCGUCGGCGAGGUGCAGCUCUACACGAAUGCAAUGCAGGGGUUAGCAUAGACAGUUACUUCAACAGCAACACUGGCUCGCCUGAGCCCAGAAACUCGCGACAAAGAGCAGGAGGUUAAGGCGGUUCGAGAGCUGAUGAUGAUCAAGGGGUAAGGGUAGGAAGGAACUAGUGGUCUGAUCCUUGAACUAGAGGAUGUGAUAAACUGGGGGUCCUUAGACGCAAGCGUUGAAGGGUUCCCAAGUUUUACACAUACACCCUCGAGUUGAAGAAAAAGAUCACAGCCAAGCCCUCGGGCGAGACGGACAAGGGUCGGCGGAACAGACAGGGUCGGGCGAGACGGAACCGGGGUCGGGCGGAUAGGAGGGGUCGGGCGAGGCGGACUGGGGUCGGCAACUCACCUUCUUCCUGAAAGGAAAGCUUGGGGUCGGAACGAAGCGGACUUGGGCGGAGGGACUACGGUUUGAUCAGAAGCUAAGACCGGCGAUGCUCCGGCGGCGGCGCUGCUUCUUGCGGAUCACAAGAGAGCUUUUACGCAGCACGGAGGAGCAAGCUGCUGGGUGACUUGGAGAAGAACUGAGGGAGAACUGAGAGAAGAACUCCUCAAGAACUGGGUGGGUGGCGCUAGGAGCUUGAGCAGGGAGCUAGAGGAGGCUGAAGGCAACGAGAGCGGAGGGAACUCCAGCGACGGGGGCAUUCCUUUUAUAGCUGCUGGAGCAGAGGAAAGGAAACGGCACGGAGAGAGAGAAGGAGAGCGGCGCGAAGGCCGGGGAGAGGCAAUGGAGUGCUCUGCUGGGGCGGCGAUUAAGCAAAGAGGGCGGUGGUGCAGAACUCCGGGGGUGACGCCAGCAAUCAUGGCGUUCUGCCGUCAGGGCGGCGUAGGAGCGGGUAGACUGGUGGUUGAGAUUUGGCGGAAAGCGGGCGUCAUCGUGCGGAAGAUGUGAUAGAAGUGACCGGCUUAACGGCGCUAGAAUCGAGGGUGCUCGGGUGAGAAGGCAGGCGGACGCGGGCGCGUGGGAGAGUGCGGAACAACAGAUUGUCGGGCGGCUUCUGACAGAGCGGGGGAAAGGAACUGUCGCGGCCGCGGUCGGGGUUGGCGGUGGAGGAAUCAUCGUGUAGCGGCGACCAGGCGGCGCAACUGUGGCUGAAGGGACGGAAAAGACGGGCGACAUCGGGCUCUGGGGCUGGGAUCUGGUGGCGUGAUGAUGGGCGCGGGAGGCGAGGUUCUGCAGAAAGGGGUGCAGAGGGCUUCCGCUGCCAUUGGGGAAAGGGGGCACGGGAACCCACUCGGUCGCUGGCCAGAGACAAAACUGAGCGGCAGGCGUCGGAGAAGACGAGCCACGCGGCAGGAAGACUCUGAAGCAGCCAAGCAACUCGAGUGCGGCUGUCGCGGGGGAUCUGGAAAAGAUCUCGCGGGUCCACCAGUGGAUAGAUCGGACGGGUGAGGAAGAUUAACAGAAUCCGACGGUGGGCUGAGCUCGCCGGGGUCAGGAGAGGAGCGAAGCCGGAAGGGGUCGGAUCUCAGGGGUCGGGACCGGCGGGAAACUGAGCACUUAGGUGCGGUCAAGCAAGACAGCUGACUAAGGUUAAGGGCUGUGAUCAAGACUAACUGGAAGGCUUAGGGGUCGGUCGUUACAGCCUACCCCUCUUAAAAAGAAUCUCGUCCCGAGAUUUAGAGAUCAAGGGGGUGUGUUGUCCUUACCUCCUUAAGAGGAUAGAAAACCUGGGAAACGCUUGCUCAGAUAUUUGUCCGUUUCCCAUGUUGCUUCAUCCUCGGUGUGGUUUCUCCAGAGGAUCUUGUACAUCUUUACCACUUGGCGUCGGGUGUGCCUUUCCUUUUGGUCAAGAACUCGAUCUGGGUACUCGGCGUAGGUCAGGUCGGGCUCUACCUGAAGCUGUUCUUGCUCUAAGAUCUCUGCUAGAACUCGGACACAUUUCUUCAGUUGAGACACAUGGAAAACAUCAUGUAUUGCCGACAGCUGCUCUGGGAGUUGGAUCCGGUAAGCAACGGGUCCACAUAUCUCCACAAUCUCAUAAGGGCCAAUAUAGCGGGGAGCUAACUUGCCUUUUAUUCCAAACCGCUGCACUCCUUUGGUCGGGGAGACUCGAAGGUACACAUGAUCACCAAGGUCAAAUUGCAGGGGUCUUCUCCGCUGGUCGGAGUAACUCUUUUGUCGAGAUUGGGCGGCCUUGAGAUUUGCUUUAAUUACCUUCACUUGCUCUUCGGCUUCUGCCACUAAAUCAGGGCCAUAGACCUGUCUUUCUCCUGGUUGGGACCAGUUCAGGGGUGUCCUGCAUCUUCGGCCAUACAGAGCUUCAAACGGUGCCAUUUUCAAACUGGCUUGGUAGCUGUUAUUGUAGGAGAAUUCUGCUAAGGGCAGACACUUGUCCCAGUUCUUAUCAUAGUGGAUAACACAAGCUCUUAACAUGUCUUCAAGAAUCUGGUUGACUCUCUCAGUUUGGCCAUCGGUUUGAGGAUGAUAUGUUGAGCUUCGGAUGAGCUUGGUGCCCAUAGAUGCUUGUAGCUGCUCCCAAAAACAUGCCACAAACUGAACUCCUCGAUCAGAGACGAUAGUCUUGGGUACACUAUGUAGGGAAACUAUACGGUCGAGGUACAACUCUGCAUACUGCUUGACUGUGUAGGUGGCGCGAAUAGGAAGGAAAUGUGUUGUCUUGGUCAGACGGUCCACUAUAACCCAGAUGGAAUCAUAUCUUUGUGUUGUAAGGGGUAACCCAACUAUGAAGUCCAUGCUGAUGUCUUCCCAUUUCCAAGAGGGAAUAGGUAGCGGCUGCAAGGUUCCUGCUACCUUCAAAUGACUGGCCUUGACACGUUGACAGGUGUCACAUUCUGAAACAUAACGAGCUAUCUCUGGUUUCAUUCCAUUCCACCAAAAGGUUUGACGAAGAUCAUGGUACAUCUUAUUGCUGCCAGGAUGGAUCGAGAACUUGGAGAGAUGAGCUUCAUCUAGGAUUUGCUUCCUUAACUCGGGGUCGGCGGGCACUACUAGCCGGUUUCCAUAAUACACACCUCCUGUUUUGUCCUGAUGGAAAUGGUUAUAUCCCUCAUCCUUUACUGAGAUCUUACCGAUGAUCCAUUGUACUUCUGUAUCUCUUACCUGUGCUGACCGAACUUGGUCUUCCAAAACUGAGUCAAGGAUGAUGUGACCAAGGGUUCCUUGAGGAAUAAUCUCCAGACUUAGUUUUCCCAUCUCAUGACACAGAGUCUUGGUGAAGGCUGUUGACAACAAGCAGUUGCAAUGGGGUUUGCGGCUGAGGGCAUCAGCUACCACAUUGGCUUUGCCAGGAUGAUAGUGUACUUCCAAUUCAUAAUCCUUUAUCAACUCCAGCCAUCUUCUCUGACGCAUGUUGAGGUCGGCUUGAGUGAAGAUGUACUUGAGGCUCUUGUGGUCGGUGUAGAUGUUGCAGUGAGUUCCCAUUAGGUAGUGCCUCCAUAUCUUCAAGGCAUGUAUCACUGCUACCAACUCAAGGUCAUGUGUCGGGUAGCUUAGCUCAUCAGGUCGUAACGCACGUGAGGCAUAGGCAAUGACUCGGCUGUCUUGCAUAAGAACACAUCCGAGUCCAGUGCCAGAGGCGUCACAGUAUACGUGUAACGACCGACCCCUAAUCUUUCCCAGUUAGGCUUGAUCUCAGCCCUUAACCUCAGUCAGUUGCUCUGUUGACCGCACUUAAGUGCUCAGUCUUCCGCCAGUUCCGACCCCUGAGGUCCGACCCCUACCGUUCGUUCCUUUUUCCCGACCCUGGCGAGUUCAGCCCUCCGUCGGAUCCUGCUAAUCUUCCUCACCCGUCCGAUCUUUUCCCCCGGUGGACCCGUGAGAUCUUUUCCAGAUCCCCCGCACCAGCCGCACUCGAGUUGCAUGGCCGCCUCAGAGCUUUCCUGCCGCGUGGCUCGUCUUCUCCGAUGCCACCGCUCAGUUUUGUCUCUGGCAAGCGACCAAGUGGGUUCCCGCGCCCUUUUCCCCAAUAGCAGUGGAAGCCCUCUGCACCCCUUUCUGCAGAUCCUCGCUCCCCGCGCCCAUCAUCACGAUACCAGAUCUCGGCCCUGGAGACCGAUGUCGCCCAUCUUUUCCGUCCUUUCCAGCAACAGUUGCGCCGCCCGGUCGUCGCUACACGACGAUUCCCCAACCGCCAACCCCGACCGCGGCCGCGACAGUUCCUUUCCCCGCCCUGUCAGACGCCGCCCGACAAUCUGUUGUUCCGCGCUCUCCCCCGCGCCGCGUCCGCUUGUUCUCCCACCUGUGCGCCCUUGAUUCUAGUGCCGUUUAACCGGUCGCUUCUAUCACUUCUUCCGCACGACGACGCCCGCUCUCCGCCAAAUCCCAACCACCGGUCUACCCGCGCCUACGCUGCCCUGACGGAGUAGCGCAAUGAUCGCUGGCGUCACCCCCGGAGUUCUGCAGCACCGUCCGGUUUGCUCAAUCGCCGCCACGGCAGAGCACUCCAUUGCUUCUCCCCGGCCUUCGCGCCGCUCCCCUUCUCUCUCUCCGCGACGUUUCCGUUCCUCUGCUCCAGCAGCUAUAAAAGGAAGGCCCCUGUCACCGGAGUUCCCUCCGCCUUUGUUGCCCUUAGUUUCCUCUAGCUCCCUGCUCAAGCUCCUAGCGCCAUCCGCCCAGUCUUGAAAAGUUCAUCUCCCUAUUCCUUCUCAGUUCAUCCAAGUCACCAACAGCGUGCUCCCUUGUGCUGCGUAAGAGCUCUCUUGUGAUCCGCAAGCAGCACCACCGCCGGAGUAUCGCCGGCCUUAGUCCCUGCUCAAAGCUUUAGUUCCGCGCCCAAGUCUGCCUCUUCCCGACCCCAAGCUUUCCUUUCAGGAAGAAGGUGAGUGCCGACCCUAAGUCCGCUUCGCCCAACCCCUCCUAUCCGCCCGACCCCAGUUCCGUCUCGUCCGACCCUGUCUGUUCGCCGACCCUUGUCCGCCUCGCCCGAGGGUCUGGCUGUGAUCUUUUCUUCAACUCGAGGGUGUAAGUGUAAAACGUGGGAACCCUUCAGCGCUUCCGUCUGAGGAUCCCAGUUAUCACAUCCUCUAGUUCAAGGAUCAGACCACUAGUCUCCUUCCUAUCCUUACCUGUUGAUCAUCAUCAGCUCUCUCAAACAGCCUCCACCUCCUGCUCUUUGUCGCAAGUUUCUGGGCGCAGGAGAGCCAGUGUUGCUGUCGACUUAAACGUUAAGCUAACCCUUGCAUUGCAUUCGUGUAGAGUUGCAUCUCGCUGACGGCUUCUACGAGCUGCACCCGGCGCCCGAAGAAGAAGCUGUAGCCGAGUUCCUGCCCGCUGAAGUCGAAGCCGCCCCCGAAGUUGAGCAGUUCCAGCCUUCUUUGUUUGCAGGCAAGCACCGGUUGCAUGAAAAUCCUACGUGUUUUUGCCAGACUUGCACAUGCCUUCCGAAUAGCAUGUUUGUGCAUUUACGUUUAGGAGUUGUGUGAAACCCUAGAUGCAUGACUUAGUAACCCUUGAUAUGAGCACUAGCUGUUGGACCGAGUAGCUGCAUUGCUUAAAUAGGAAACGGUAAAAGCCGAGUGAUCUCCUGUCACUCGCGAGUUGUAGGAGUUGCAUGUGUUACUCUCCUGUUACAACUAUAAGGACGAUGGACGGGGCAGGGUUUGGUAACUCUUUGGUGGUCGGAUGGUUGCCCCGUCUGUCUAUGAAAACUUGCUAAGGCCCGACAGUGGUGGUGUUCGUGAUCAAGUGUUUGAAAGUACUAGCCUCAUACUUAGUAUGGGAUGAGGAAGCCUAGUACCUGAUUGAACCUAGACGUGAGCGGUCGCCCCAUUGUUCUUGGAACGGAGUUUCCCCUGCUGGUUGUCGCACGUGGUGGCAAAGCGUGGUCACAUAACGGCAGAGACCGGGUCUGUGGAACCUUGCACCAAAGGAAAUGGGCCCGACACGGGUUAGGGGAUUGAUGGGGAAGGUCGACACGUGAAGCGACCUCCGGGUGCGCGGAUGUCGUGAGGCUAGGUUCACCAUGCAUGGUUAAAGAACUCGAAUCGAUUCGUCUGCCUCUCACAGUUUGAGAUUUCUUGAUCGCUAUGUCACCCUGAGUAAAUGAGGAAUCUGAUGAUGGCAAUGUUGUUGUUUUUAUCUACACCCUUGUUUGGCUUGAUGGUUGCUUAGAAUAGGUUGCACAACCUAGACUGGUAAGUAAAUCUAGAACCGGAGCUAAAACUUGAAAAUAGGUUACUUAGUGCUUUUGGCGAAACAAACCCCUCAGCCAAGAAGCCUUGCAUGUCUAGUUGGGAGAGUAGUUGACUCCUCCCCGGUUAAGUCUUGUUGAGCUUAGUAGCUCAGCCUUGUUGUGGCUCCUGUUUUCAGGUGAAGUUGCAGUUCCCGACCCCUCCCUUGUUGGCGCUUGGCCGCCCCAGCUUCCGCCAGGCUGGACGGUCGAGUGGGACCCCUCCUCGGACGGCGAGGAGAGGACUCAGUGAUGUUCUGACUGGCCUCGCCCAGACGUCCGACCCCGACGAAGUCUUCCGCUAGCGUUUCCCUGUUGUUUUCUUGAAAACUUGUAAAGCUCUGAUGUUGGAUUUUAUGGUCGAAUUAAGUGGGUAAAACUUGUUCAACUCAGUGGACUCGUUGUAUUCUCUGUAACCGCUCACCUUCGUGUGGGUUUGCUGAACUCGAUCCUGUUUAAGUGGUCAAAUCGGAUGAAGUCCGACGGCGCUUCGUGUUAGCUCGAGUUAAUCAAGAGUGUCGCAUGUUAGGCGGCUAAACUCUGAUUAAUCAAGCUGAUCCGAGGUGGUUCCACCACAGCUUGGUACCAGAGCCGAGUUUAGCAUAUCAGAGAACCCGAUGAGCCCGAAACACUUCUUUGAAAUUAAAAGUUGCAAGGACCUUUCGAAAAUCUCGUACCAACGUUAAGGAUGACUUAGUGCGAGAGGCCCUAGGGGAUUUUGGGGUUGUUUUAGGUGACUAAUAAGUAUCUGGUUAUGUUGCUAACCCCUCCAGCACUUCGCCACGUCUAUUAUACGUGUGCCGAGUUCCGCAUCACGAGCAUGCGAGGGUUGAUAGGGAGUUCCAUUCAAGGGACCCUAUCUUCGCGGUUGUUUUCGCCCACAUCUAUUAUACGUGCGCAGGUUCCGUAUGUGAUCCAUACGAAGGUUGAUAUGGUUCGAUUCCAACGAACCUAUUGGCACGGUUGUUUCGCCACAUUUGUCAUACGUGUGCCGAUGCCGCAUCACAAGUAUGCGAAGGGUUAUAUGGUUCUAUUCGGAAGGAACCUAUUUCCACGGUUGAGUGCUGUCCAUGCAGCCUUAAACGCAUGGGUGCCGUUCCUAUAGUGAACGGUAAUGUUUGGGAACGCUUUCAUGGGUGCUGGCACGAAAGGUUCGGGUGUGUGUUUUCUGCAGGUUGCUAACCGCGCUCGUUAAGACGUUGCUAGAACCGACUAGAUAAUAUAGGGAGAGACGUAUUGUUGCCUUGUCACCGGCACUGACCGCGUAAGACCCAAGGUUUGGGCAGUUGUUUUUGGUUAAGAGCAUAGUAGGCCGUGCAUGCGUCAUACAAAAUCGGUAAUGUUCUCUUCUCAACAGCAACCCUGUCCGACAGAGUUCUUUUGGAUCUAAGGAUUUCUAGCUCCCCUUAGUUGCUCUCGGUUAAGCCCUUCUGCUUCUCUAUCCGACCCCUGAUCUUCGGAGUUAUCUCACGUGGCUUCGGUUUUCUUGGUUCCAGAUGGCUGCUCCCGGGCAUGUGGUGUUUGGAGCGGACGGUACCUUCCAAUCAACAUGCCUACAUUUCGAGGGGUUUCCCGCGAUCUUGUGGGAUACGUUGAGAUGGUUUGGGUAUCAGUCCACACCCCUGUAUUCUGGGCGGCUGUAUGUGGAGCAGGGCAUCCAGACGUGCCAGGUGCAAGCACUGGUGCCACCCCCUUUUGCGCGGCCCGACUGGCCCUCUCUGGGCAUCAUAGCCUACGGUCUUUCUCCGGAAGAUACGUGGGAAUCCGCCGCUCUCCAGUUGCUCACGCAGUUCUGUCAGUUCCACCCUGUGGAGAUCACCCUGGACCCGAUCGGACUUUUUCCCGUCAGAAGUCGGAUGGACCCGGCCUGGCUGGACCGCAUCGGAAACCUCGAGGUGUUGGCCACUACUUGUGCCACACUCACCAUCUCCACCAACAUCCGUUGCAUGGCUGCUUUCUACCAGCUGAUAGAGCUCCAAGGAAGGGCCAUGACUCUCUUUGCCCGGACUGCUGCAGACACCGACGGGUACCUCCAGGCAGCUAGAAGAGACCUGGUAGGCCAAACCUACCAGCUGAUCCAACGUGGAAUCCAGAUCCAUGACAUGCAAGACCGGAUCUCCGAGCUGGAAGGAGAAGUUGCCGACCUUGUGGACGGUAUGAUCGAGCUCUCCGAGGAGAAAAUGGAGGUGGAAAUGGAGUUGGCCGUUGCCAAUGCCCACCUAGAGGAGCACCAAGCUGAGCUUGAAGAUAUGCAUGCCCUCAACAUGCAGCUUGAAGCUCAGGAGGACCCUGAGGAAGACGAGGGAGCGUCCAGCAUGGACAUAGAAGAAAAUGGCGCCCCUUCUCCGACUCAUAGUGUCCAGUGGUAGCUUAAGGGUUCUCGGGGAACCUUCUUUCUUUUGUUGUACUCCUCGGCAGCCUAGUUUUGGAAAGUUGUAAUAGGUUAUCCUUGAGUUGAGUACUCCCUGUGUUGAAACGUCGUUGUGUAUAAAGUCAACCCAGUGCAGUGCAUAGUUUCAUCCUUUUCGUAUGAUGUGGAUGCUAAAGUUAAGAAAGUGGUGCCGUGACCCUGUGUUGUUUUCGGGGAGCCUGUUCAGUUGGCCGACCCUAGUUUGCGAACCAGAGUGCGCCGACCCUUAAGACAGUUACCGCCUUGUCCGACCCUCUUUGAGUACGGACCGUAUCCGAUCCCUCGGUUCGAGUGGACCCGACCCUAGGAGUCUGUAUGUGGUGUGGUUACCUGAGGUGGAGUACCAGGGCAAGUAAGGGCUAUCUGUGAUGAAAAUGGGAGGAAUGUGCUUCCUCUGUAAGGACGUAUGAUGCACCAUUGGCAAGAGUCGCAUUAAAGGACUUAAUUCAUACGUUCCCAAUUGCUGGAGUACCCCUAAGGUUAUGAGAUUGAUGGGCGUUAACUCUUGCAGAUGGCGCACCGCACAAGGUCUGGAACUAUGCCCAGUGGCAGGGAUCAGCAACAAGAUCUUCCCCCGCCCCCGCCACCAUUGCCAUUGGAGGCAAUCCUAGCAACUCAAACCGAGCUGCUCAGGCAUCUGGUACAAGGACAACAGCAGCCACACGGUGGUAGAGCACAGCAGCAGCAGCAUGUCGCAAGAUAUGAGGACUUUUUGGGGACACAGCCCCCGCUGUUCCAAAAGACCCAAGAACCGCUCGACGCUGACGCAUGGGUUCGUACGAUCGAAUCCAAGUUCGAGCUCCUUACCGCUCCAUGCCCUGACAACAACAAGGCGCGGUUCGCAGCUCAGCAGCUGCAUGGUUCCGCACGGCUUUGGUGGGACCACUACCAUGCCAUGCUACCUGCUGACCACGUAGUCAGUUGGAACGAGUUUAAGACGGCGUUCAAGGCGCAUCACAUUCCUGAAGGUCUCCUGGAGCGCAAGCUCAACGAGUUUCUAUCCCUCACCCAGGGAACUAGGGAUGUGCUGCACUACGCCCAGGCGUUUAACGACCUGUGCCGUUAUGCGGGAUAUCACGCGGACACCGAUGAGAAGAAGCAGGACAGAUUCCGCCGAGGUUUGAGCUUGGAGCUCAGGGAAAGGCUGAAUCCCAUCCGAGUGGACACCUAUAACGAGUUGGUCAACCUGGCCAUCUCCCAGGAGGAUUGCAUGCAAGCUCUAAAGGCCGACCAGAAGAGGAAAGCCUCUGUGGCUCUUCCGAGCCCGCCAGCCCGAAGGUUUCGGAUGAUCCCUCCACAAGCCCCUGGCCGACCCCAACAGUCAGGGAAAUGGAUCGCCCGACCCCCGCCGGCAACAAUGCCUAGUUCUCCAGGCUUCCAACCACAAGUACCCCGGCCGACCUUGCCAACGCCACCUCGUCCAGCAGCCAGUAACAGAUGUUUUACCUGCGGCAAUGAGGGGCAUUUUGCAAGGGAUUGCCCCAGGAGCAAGACUCAGCAGCAAGGCCAGAACCCCAUGGCAGCCAGAGGGAGAAGGCCCAAGGUGCAAGUCCGACAAGGCCGACUCAACUACACCAGCUUGACCGAACUUCCCGAAGGUGCGUCAGUAAUGAUGGGUACUUUCCUUGUUUUAAAUCAAGCUGUUGUGGUGUUGUUUGAUUCGGGAGCCUCUCAUAGCUUUAUCGGGAGUAAGGCAAGGGAAAGGUGUGGGCUAAGUGUAGGUCACACUAAGGAACCCUAUGUGAUCGCCACUCCUGGAGGGAGGAUAACGUCGGAUCAGAUCGUUAUUCUGGUACCUCUCCAGCUAGGCCCCACCCUUUUCAAGGAAAACCUUAUCCUCCUUGACCUUGAAGGCCUAGACGUCAUCCUUGGCAUGGAUUGGAUGGCCCGACAUCGUGUUGUUUUAGAUACCUCAGCCCGAUCUCUUUUCAUCAGCUCGCCCUCUCAUGGCAGUGCUACCCUAUCCUUGACCCAUCCUGAGUCUUUGACCCCUUGUGCGUUUUCUCUCUUGGGAACCCGUUUAGAAGACCUCCCUGUUAUCUGUGAGUAUCCAGAUGUGUUUCCAGAGGACUUGCCAGGCAUGCCACCUGACAGAGAAGUGGAGUUUUCUAUAGAGUUAGUUCCUGGCACAGCUCCGAUAUCUAAGAGACCCUAUCGGAUGCCACCCGCUGAGUUAGCAGUGUUAAAGACCCAGUUGCAUGAUCUGUUGGAAAAGGGCUUCAUUCGACCCAGUACGUCAUCUUGGGGAUGCCCCGCCCUGUUUGUGAAGAAGAAAGACGGCAGUUUACGGAUGUGUGUGGAUUACCGACCCCUCAAUGCGGUAACAGUUAAGAACAAGUACCCACUGCCCCGCAUUGAUGUCUUGUUCGACCAGUUAGCCGGAGCAAAAGUGUUCUCCAAGAUCGAUCUUCAUUCUGGUUAUCACCAAAUCAAGAUUCGACCUUGUGACGUACCCAAGACAGCUUUCUCUACCAGAUAUGGAUUGUAUGAGUACCUAGUCAUGUCCUUUGGACUCACCAAUGCACCCGCUUACUUCAUGUACCUUAUGAACUCGGUGUUCAUGCCCGAGCUGGACAAGUUUGUAGUGGUGUUCAUUGAUGAUAUCCUAGUGUACUCAAAGGACAAGGAAGAGCAUGCCAACCAUCUUCAUAUAGUUCUUCAGCGACUGAGAGAUCACCAGCUUUAUGCAAAGUUCUCCAAGUGUGAGUUUUGGUUGGAUAGUGUCAAGUUUCUAGGACACGCUAUCUCCAAGGACGGUAUUGCCGUGGAUCCCAGUAAGGUGCAAGAGGUCAUGGAAUGGAAGUCUCCUGUCUCGGUACACCAGAUCCGGAGUUUCCUCGGACUGGUAGGGUACUAUCGGCGUUUUAUACCGGAUUUCUCCAAGAUAGCUAAGCCGAUGACCGAGUUGUUGAAGAAAGAGGCCAAGUUUGUGUGGGACACCAAGUGCGAAGAAGCUUUCAAAACCCUGAAGCACUUGUUAACCACCGCCCCAGUUUUGGCUCAACCCGACCCCUCUAGGCCGUACGACGUAUACUGUGACGCCUCUGGCACUGGACUCGGGUGUGUUCUUAUGCAAGACAACCGAGUCAUUGCCUAUGCCUCACGUGCGUUGCGACCUCAUGAGCUGAACUACCCGACACAUGACCUUGAGUUGGCAGCAGUGAUACACGCCUUGAAAUUAUGGAGGCACUACUUAAUGGGAGCUCACUGCAACAUCUAUACCGACCACAAGAGCCUCAAGUACAUCUUCACGCAAGCCGACCUCAACAUGCGUCAGAGAAGAUGGCUGGAGUUGAUAAAGGAUUAUGACUUGGAAGUGCACUAUCAUCCUGGCAAGGCCAAUGUGGUGGCCGACGCCCUCAGUCGCAAACCUCAGUGCAACUGUUUGUUGUCCACCGCCUUCACCGACACUUUGUGUCACGAGAUGGGAAAACUAAGUCUAGAGCUUGUUCCCCAUGGAACCCUUGAUCACAUCAUCCUUGACUCAGUUUUAGAGGACCAGAUUCAGUCAGCCCAAGCUAAGGAUGAAGAAGUAAAACGGAUCAUCAGUAAGGUCUUGGUAAAAGACGAGGGAUAUAAGCUUUUCCGGCAGGACCAAACGGGAGGUGUGUACUAUGGAAACCGACUAGUAGUGCCCGCCGACCCCGAGUUAAGGAAGCAAAUCCUAGAUGAAGCUCAUCUUUCCAAGUUCUCCAUCCACCCUGGCAGCAACAAGAUGUACCAUGAUCUCCGUCAGACCUUUUGGUGGAGUGGGAUGAAACCGGAGAUAGCUCGUUAUGUUUCAGAAUGCGACACUUGUCAACGUGUCAAGGCCAGUCACUUGAAGGUAGCAGGAACCUUGCAGCCGCUACCCAUCCCCUCUUGGAAAUGGGAAGACAUCAGCAUGGACUUCAUAGUUGGGUUACCCCUUACAACUCAACAGUAUGAUUCUAUCUGGGUUAUAGUGGACCGUCUGACCAAGAAGGCACAUUUCUUUCCUGUUCGUACCACCUACACAGUCAAGCAAUAUGCAGAGUUGUACCUCGACCGUAUCGUUUCUCUACAUGGUGUACCCAAGACCAUCAUCUCGGACAGAGGAGUUCAGUUUGUGGCACGUUUUUGGGAGCAACUACAAGCAUCUAUGGGCACCAAGCUCAUCCGAAGCUCAACAUACCAUCCCCAAACCGAUGGCCAAACCGAGAGAGUCAACCAGAUCCUUGAAGACAUGUUAAGAGCCUGUGUUAUCCAUUAUGACAAAAACUGGGACAAGUGCCUGCCCUUAGCAGAGUUCUCCUACAAUAACAGCUACCAGUCCAGUUUGAAGAUGGCACCGUUUGAAGCCUUGUACGGCCGAAGAUGCAGGACACCCUUGAACUGGUCCCAACCAGGAGAGAGACAGGUUUAUGGCCCUGACUUAGUGGCAGAAGCCGAGGAACAAGUGAAGGUAAUUCAGGCAAAUCUCAAGGCUGCCCAAUCUCGACAGAAGGGUUACUCUGACCAGCGGAGAAGACCCCUGCAGUUCAACCUUUGUGACCAUGUGUACCUUAGAGUUUCCCCAACCAAAGGAGUGCAACGGUUUGGAAUAAAGGGCAAGUUAGCUCCCCGCUAUGUUGGCCCUUACGAGAUUAUGGAGAAGUGUGGACCCGUUGCUUACCGGAUCCAACUCCCAGAACAGCUAUCAGCCAUACAUGAUGUUUUCCAUGUGUCUCAGUUGAAGAAAUGCGUCCGAGUUCCAGCAGAGAUCCUAAAACAAGAACAACUUCAAGUAGAACCUGACCUGACCUACGCCGAGUACCCAGAUCGAGUUCUUGACCAUAAGGAAAGGCACACCCGACGUCAAGUGGUGAGGAUGUACAAGAUCCUCUGGAGAAACCACACCGAAGAUGAAGCGACAUGGGAGACGGAAGAAUAUCUGAACAAGCGUUUUCCAGGUUUUCUAUCUCAUCCAGGAGGUAAGAGCAGCACACCCUUGAUCUUGAAUCUCGGGACGAGAUUCCUUUUAAGAGGGGUAGGCUAUAACGACCGACCCCUAAUCUUUCCCAGUUAGGCUUGAUCUCAGCCCUUAACCUUAGUCAGUUGCUCUGUUGACCGCACUUAAGUGCUCAGUCUUCCGCCAGUUCCGACCCCUGAGGUCCGACCCCUACCGUUCGUUCCUUUUUCCCGACCCUGGCGAGUUCAGCCCUCCGUCGGAUCCUGCUAAUCUUCCUCACCCGUCCGAUCUUUUCCCCCGGUGGACCCGUGAGAUCUUUUCCAGAUCCCCCGCACCAGCCGCACUCGAGUUGCAUGGCCGCCUCAGAGCUUUCCUGCCGCGUGGCUCGUCUUCUCCGAUGCCACCGCUCAGUUUUGUCUCUGGCAAGCGACCAAGUGGGUUCCCGCGCCCUUUUCCCCAAUAGCAGCGGAAGCCCUCUGCACCCCUUUCUGCAGAUCCUCGCUCCCCGCGCCCAUCAUCACGAUACCAGAUCUCGGCCCCGGAGACCGAUGUCGCCCGUCUUUUCCAUCCUUUCCAGCAACAGUUGCGCCGUCCGGUCGUCGCUACACGACGAUUCCCCAACCGCCAACCCCGACCGCGGCCGCGACAGUUCCUUUCCCCGCCCUGUCAGACGCCGCCCGACAAUCUGUUGUUCCGCGCUCUCCCCCACGCCGCGUCCGCUUGUUCUCCCACCUGUGCGCCCUUGAUUCUAGCGCCGUUUAACCGGUCGCUUCUAUCACUUCUUCCGCACGACGACGCCCGCUCUCCGCCAAAUCCCAACCACCGGUCUACCCGCGCCUACGCCGCCCUGACGGAGUAGCGCAAUGAUCGCUGGCGUCACCCCCGGAGUUCUGUAGCACCGUCCGGUUUGCUCAAUCGCCGCCACAGCAGAGCACUCCAUUGCUUCUCCCCGGCCUUCGCGCCGCUCCCCUUCUCUCUCUCCGCGACGUUUCCGUUCCUCUGCUCCAGCAGCUAUAAAAGGAAGGCCCCUGUCGCCGGAGUUCCCUCCGCCUUUGUUGCCCUUAGUUUCCUCUAGCUCCCUGCUCAAGCUCCUAGCGCCAUCCGCCCAGUCUUGAAAAGUUCAUCUCCCCAUUCCUUCUCAGUUCAUCCAAGUCACCAACAGCGUGCUCCCUUGUGCUGCGUAAGAGCUCUCUUGUGAUCCGCAAGCAGCACCGCCGCCGGAGUAUCGCCGGCCUUAGUCCCUGCUCAAAGCUUUAGUUCCGCGCCCAAGUCUGCCUCUUCCCGACCCCAAGCUUUCCUUUCAGGAAGAAGGUGAGUGCCGACCCUAAGUCCGCUUCGCCCGACCCCUCCUAUCCGCCCGACCCCAGUUCCGUCUCGUCCGACCCUGUCUGUUCGCCGACCCUUGUCCGCCUCGCCCGAGGGUCUGGCUGUGAUCUUUUCUUCAACUCGAGGGUGUAAGUGUAAAACGUGGGAACCCUUCAGCGCUUCCGUCUGAGGAUCCCAGUUAUCACAUCCUCUAGUUCAAGGAUCAGACCACUAGUCUCCUUCCUAUCCUUACCUGUUGAUCAUCAUCAGCUCUCUCAAACAGCCUCCACCUCCUGCUCUUUGUCGCAAGUUUCUGGGCGCAGGAGAGCCAGUGUUGCUGUCGACUUAAACGUUAAGCUAACCCUUGCAUUGCAUUCGUGUAGAGUUGCAUCUCGCUGACGGCUUCUACGAGCUGCACCCGGCGCCCGAAGAAGAAGCUGUAGCCGAGUUCCUGCCCGCUGAAGUCGAAGCCGCCCCCGAAGUUGAGCAGUUCCAGCCUUCUUUGUUUGCAGGCAAGCACCGGUUGCAUGAAAAUCCUACGUGUUUUUGCCAGACUUGCACAUGCCUUCCGAAUAGCAUGUUUGUGCAUUUACGUUUAGGAGUUGUGUGAAACCCUAGAUGCAUGACUUAGUAACCCUUGAUAUGAGCACUAGCUGUUGGACCGAGUAGCUGCAUUGCUUAAAUAGGAAACGGUAAAAGCCGAGUGAUCUCCUGUCACUCGCGAGUUGUAGGAGUUGCAUGUGUUACUCUCCUGUUACAACUAUAAGGACGAUGGACGGGGCAGGGUUUGGUAACUCUUUGGUGGUCGGAUGGUUGCCCCGUCUGUCUAUGAAAACUUGCUAAGGCCUGACAGUGGUGGUGUUCGUGAUCAAGUGUUUGAAAGUACUAGCCUCAUACUUAGUAUGGGAUGAGGAAGCCUAGUACCUGAUUGAACCUAGACGUGAGCGGUCGCCCCAUUGUUCUUGGAACGGAGUUUCCCCUGCUGGUUGUCGCACGUGGUGGCAAAGCGUGGUCACAUAACGGCAGAGACCGGGUCUGUGGAACCUUGCACCAAAGGAAAUGGGCCCGACACGGGUUAGGGGAUUGAUGGGGAAGGCCGACACGUAAAGCGACCUCCGGGUGCACGGAUGUCGUGAGGCUAGGUUCACCAUGCAUGGUUAAAGAACUCGAAUCGAUUCGUCUGCCUCUCACAGUUUGAGAUUUCUUGAUCGCUAUGUCACCCUGAGUAAAUGAGGAAUCUGAUGAUGGCAAUGUUGUUGUUUUUAUCUACACCCUUGUUUGGCUUGAUGGUUGCUUAGAAUAGGUUGCACAACCUAGACUGGUAAGUAAAUCUAGAACCGGAGCUAAAACUUGAAAAUAGGUUACUUAGUGCUUUUGGUAAAACAAACCCCUCAGCCAAGAAGCCUUGCAUGUCUAGUUGGGAGAGUAGUUGACUCCUCCCCGGUUAAGUCUUGUUGAGCUUAGUAGCUCAGCCUUGUUGUGGCUCCUGUUUUCAGGUGAAGUUGCAGUUCCCGACCCCUCCCUUGUUGGCGCUUGGCCGCCCCAGCUUCCGCCAGGCUGGACGGUCGAGUGGGACCCCUCCUCGGACGGCGAGGAGAGGACUCAGUGAUGUUCUGGCUGGCCUCGCCCAGACGUCCGACCCCGACGAAGUCUUCCGCUAGCGUUUCCCUGUUGUUUUCUUGAAAACUUGUAAAGCUCUGAUGUUGGAUUUUAUGGUCGAAUUAAGUGGGUAAAACUUGUUCAACUCAGUGGACUCGUUGUAUUCUCUGUAACCGCUCACCUUCGUGUGGGUUUGCUGAACUCGAUCCUGUUUAAGUGGUCAAAUCGGAUGAAGUCCGACGGCGCUUCGUGUUAGCUCGAGUUAAUCAAGAGUGUCGCAUGUUAGGCGGCUAAACUUUGAUUAAUCAAGCUGAUCCGAGGUGGUUCCGCCACAAUACGUCAUACGGCCUAGAGGGGUCGGGCUGAGCCAACAAGGGGGCGGUGGUCAGCAAGUGCUUCAGGGUCUUGAAAGCCUCUUCACACUUGGUGUCCCACACAAAUUUGACCUCUUUCUUCAGCAACUCGGUCAUCGGCUUAGCUAUCUUGGAGAAAUCCGGUAUGAAACGCCGAUAGUAACCUGCCAAUCCAAGGAAACUCCUGAUUUGGUGUACUGAGGUAGGAGACUUCCAUUCCAUGACUUCUUGUACCUUGCUGGGAUCCACGGCAAUACCAUCCUUGGAGAUAGUGUGUCCGAGAAACUUGACACUAUCUAACAAAACUCACACUUGGAGAACUUGGCAUAGAGCUGGUGAUCUCUCAGCCGUUGGAGAACUAUAUGAAGAUGGUCGGCGUGCUCUUCCUCGUUCUUCGAGUAAACUAGGAUAUCAUCAAUGAACACCACCACAAACUUGUCCAGCUCGGGCAUAAACACCGAGUUCAUAAGGUACAUGAAAUAGGCGGGUGCAUUGGUGAGUCCAAAGGAUAUGACUAGGUACUCGUACAGUCCAUAUCUGGUAGAGAAAGUUGUCUUGGGUAUGUCGCAGGGUCGAAUCUUUAUUUGGUGAUAACCAGAACGAAGAUCGAUCUUGGAGAACACUUUUGCUCCGGCUAACUGAUCGAACAAGACAUCAAUGCGUGGCAGCGAGUACUUGUUCUUGACUGUCACAGCAUUGAGGGGUCGGUAAUCCACACACAUACGUAGACUGCCAUCUUUCUUCUUCACAAACAGGGCGGGGCAACCCCAAGAUGAUGUACUGGGUCGAAUGAAGCCCUUUUCCAACAGAUCAUGCAACUGGGUCUUCAACAUGGCUAACUCAGCGGGUGGCAUCCGAUAGGGUCUCUUAGAUAUCGGGGCUGUGCCAGGAAUCAACUCUAUGGAAAACUCCACUUCUCUAUCAGGUGGCAUACCCGGCAAAUCUUCUGGAAACACAUCAGGGUACUCACAGAUAAUAGGGAGGUCUUCUAGACGGGAUCCCAAGAGAGGGUAGGCACAAGGAGUCGAAGACUCAGGAUGGGUCAAGGAUACGGUAGAACUACCAUGGGAGGGUGAGCUGUGUUGGGAUACGAGGUAGGCUACACUAGCGCAAUUCAAAAAAAUCUACCGCGUAUAACCAGGAAGAACUGCCGUAUAAGGAUCACGGGAUUACCACUCGACGCACUACUGGUGCGGAAGAUGUAGAUAUGCGUCGAUGCAGUGAAGACAAUCACGUAGUCGUACGUAGUCGAUCACGUGCAGCAGCUCCUCAGCAGCUCGUCCACGUGCAGCAAGAUCGCCUCCGGUACCGUGGCUCGUCGUCGGCUCGUCGUGGCUCGUCGACGGCUCGUCCAAGUGCUGCAGGCGCAACACCUCCAAGGUAUCCACAUGUGCAGGGAGGAAGCAUCGCAAGUCGGACUGCUAGAUCUGCGAGUUGCAACAGGCGAGGGCGUGGGAGGCGCGGCAGGUGUGUUUCGCCAAAAAGGUGUAAACCCUAGGGCGCCCCCACCCCUCUAUUUAUAGAGGUUCCUGAUGGGCCUCUGGAUCCGAGGCCCAUUAGUACUCCUAAACCUAAUCCAACUCGGAUCAGAUCCGAAUUGGGCUUCCAGCCCCUUAAGUGUGUGACCCUAUGGGUUCGGAUACGUAUAGACAUGGCCCGAGUACUCCUACUCGGCCCAAUAGUCGGUAGCGGCCUCUAGCAAGACGUGCCAACUCCUAUACGCACACAAAGAUCAUAUCAGACGAACCAUCACAACAUAAUAUACAUGCUAUUCCCUUUGCCUCACGAUAUUUGGUCUAGCUUCAAGCCGACCGCUCUUUCUCGAUCCUGUGAUUCGGAAUCCCUUUGUAGGUUAACUCUUAACCGUACGUAGCAUGGCCAUGCAUUUUCGGAUCCGAUCACUCGAGGGGCCCAGAGAUAUCACUCUCAAUCAGAGAGGGGCAAAUCCCAUCUUGACUGACCAUGUCUCAUAGCAUGCUUCUUGACAAACCCGAAAGCUACCUUUAUAACUACCGUGUUACGGUGUAGCGUUUGAUAGCCCCUAAGUAGGUCGAUCCACAUCUAGAAUACAUGUGACAAUCUCAGGUCUAAGGACAAAGCGUAUAUGUUGUUUUAAAGAGAGAACUACUUCUCGUGUUGGGUCAGUCCUAACACAUGUCUCCACAUGUGUCCACAUUAUUAGUUCAACAUCUCGAUGUCCAUGACUUGUGAAACAUAGUCAUCAACUAAUACAUGUGCUAGUCUAAUAUUCAUGUGUGUCCUCACAUGAACUCCGACUAGGGACAACUUUAGAAUAACCAUACAAGGAAAGAGUUUCACAUACAAUUCACAUAAUUGCAAAUCAAUUCAAGUAGCCUUCAAUGGAUAUUCAAUGAACACAACAUACAAAUCAUGGAUACAAAUGGAAUAUCAUCAUCUCUAUGAUUGCCUCUAGGGCAUACCUCCAACAGUCUCCCACUUGCACUAGAGUCAAUCUAGAAGGUACCUAAUACCCAUAGCUCUUACAUGCGCAUCAUGCUUAGCCUGCGGGAGUGGUUUUGUCAACGGAUCAGAAAUGUUCAGAUCCGUGUGUAUUUUGCAUAUCUUGAUCUCACCCCGGUUAACGAAGUCUCGAAUGAGAUGAAAUCGCUGCAUUACGUGUUUGUUCUUCUAGUGGUUCCUUGGCUCCUUUGCUUGCGCAAUUGCCCCAUUGUUAUCACAGUAGAGAUUCAAUGGGCUGGACGCACUCGGGAACACACCAAGCUCAAUGAGGAAAUUCCUUAUCCAAACACCUUCCUUCGCGGCUUCCGAAGCCGCGAUGUACUCGGCUUUUGUCGUAGAAUCGGCCACCGUCUCCUGCUUGGAACUCUUCCAACUAACAGCACCACCAUUUAGCGUGAACACAAAUCCUGAUUGUGACUUUGAAUCAUCUCUGUCGGUUUGGAAACUAGCAUCGGUGUAACUUGUUACAACGAGCUCCUCCUCACCUCCAUAGACGAGGAACAUAUCUUUAGUCCUUCUCAAGUACUUAAGAAUAUUUUUCACCGCUGUCCAGUGACUCUCACCCGGAUCAGAUUGGUGUCUGCUUGUCAUACUUAGCGCAUAUGAAACAUCUGGGCGAGUACUUAUCAUUGCAUACAUGAUAGAUCCAAUAGCCGAGGCGUAUGGCACUCUACUCAUGCGAUCCUGCUCAUCAGUAGUCGAAGGACACUGAGUCUUGCUGAGAUGUAUGCCAUGUGACAUAGGCAAGAACCCUUUCUUUGCCUCUUCCAUGCUGAACCGCUUCAACACUUUGUCAAUGUAAGUAUCUUGGCUUAAACCUAUAAGCCUUCUUGAUCUAUCUCUAUAGAUCUUAAUGCCCAGAAUAUAUGCCGCUUCCCCUAAGUCCUUCAUCGAAAAACUAUUUUUCAGUGAAGUCUUUACAGACUCAAGCAUAGGAAUGUUAUUUCCAAUCAGUAAUAUGUCAUCCACAUAUAAGAUUAGAAAUACUACAGAGCUCCCACUAACCUUCUUGUAAACACAAAACUCUUCUUCGUUCUUGGUGAAGUCAAACCCUUUGACCACUUCAUCAAAACGAAUGUUCCAACUCCUAGAUGCUUGCUUCAAUCCAUAAAUGGAUCUCUGAAGCUUGCAUACCUUUCCAGCAUUUUUCGGAUCGACAAAACCCUCGGGCUGUAUCAUAUACACGUCCUCAGCUAGGUUUCCAUUCAGGAAAGCUGUCUUGACAUCCAUCUGCCAUAUCUCAUAAUCGAAAUAUGCAGCUAUAGCUAGAAUAAUCCGAAUGGACUUAAGCAUCACUACGGGCGAGAAGGUCUCGUCGUAGUCAACUCCUUGAACUUGUCGAAAACCUUUUGCGACAAGUCGUGCUUUAUAGAUGUGAACAUUUCCAUCCAUGUCCUUUUUCUUCUUAUAGAUCCACUUGCACUCUAUGGCUUUAACACCAUCAGGCGGGUCAACCAAGUUCCAAACUUGAUUGUCUCCCAUGGACUCUAUUUCGGAUUGCAUGGCAUUCUGCCAUUUUUCGGAGUCUGGGUCCAUCAUUGCUUCUGCAUAUGUCGCAGGCUCAUCAUUGUCCAACAAUAAUAUUUCCCGCAUUUCGCGGAGCCUUGCCGACCUUCGUGGUUGUGGCGGUGCUUCUCUUGCCAUGGGUAUCUCAACUUGUUCUGCUACGUUAGCAUCACUUAUUGAUUCUUGCCCAAUCGGCUCAUCUUGAACUUCUUCAAGAUGCACUGUCUUUCCACUAUUUUCUCCUUUGAGAAACUCUUUCUCUAGAAAAACCCCGUUCCGAGCGACAAACACUUUGCCUUCUGAUCGGUUGUAGAAAUAAUAUCCCAAAGUUUCCUUUGGAUAUCCCACGAAAAUGCACUUAUCCAACUUGGGUGUGAUCUUGUCCGACUGAAGUCGCUUGACAAACACUUCACAUCCCCAAAUCUUUAGAAAAGACAAACUAGGAACCUUUCCAGUCCAUAUCUCAUAUGGUGUCUUAGCUACGGAUUUAGAUGGUACCCUAUUAAGUGUGAAAGCUGCUGUUUCUAGAGCGUAUCCCCAAAAUGACAACGGUAGGUCCGACUGGCUCAUCAUUGAUUGAACCAUGUCUAACAAAGUUCGAUUACGUCGCUCGGACACACCGUUUCUCUGAGGUGUUCCAGGCGGCAUAAGUUGUGGAACAAUUCCGCAACUCUUUAGAUGAUUGCUAAACUCGUGGCUCAAAUACUCACCUCCACGAUCAGAUCGUAAGGCCUUAAUUUUCUUGCCACGCUAAUUUUCAACUUCAUUAUGAAAUUCCUUGAACUUUUCAAAGGUUUCAGACUUGUGCCUCAUCAAGUAGACAUAGCCAUAUCUACUAAAAUCAUCAGUGAAAGUUAUGAAGUAUUGGAAUCCUCCUCUAGCCGUCGUGCUCAUUGGUCCGCAUACAUCACUAUGUAUGAGUUCCAACAAGUCUACUGCUCUCUCAGGAAAACCUGUGAAAGGCGUCUUGGUCAUCUUGCCUAGCAAGCAAGCCUCACAUGUCUCGUAUGAUUCAAAAUCAAACGAAGUUAGAAGUCCAUCAGAAUGGAGCUUCUUCAUGCGCUUUUCACUUAUAUGACCCAAACGACAAUGCCACCAGUAGGUAGGACUCAAAUCAUUAGGCCGAGGCCUUUUAGCACUUACAUUACAGACAGGUGAACCAUCAAGAUGUAAAACAAAUAAUCCAUUCACAAUGGGUGCAAAAGCCAUAAACAUAUUAUUCUUAGAGAUCACACAACCAUUAUUUUCACUCGCAAAUGAAUAACCAUCCUUCAUCAAGCAUGAAGGAGACAAAAUGUUUCGACUUAAACUAGGAACAAAAUAACAAUUAUUCAACUCCAUAAUAAAUCCUGACGGGAGGUGGAGUUGCAUCGUCCCGACGGUCAACGCAGCAACUCUUGCAUUAUUGCCCACGCGGAAAUCAACUUCUCCUCUUUCCACGCUUCUACUUCUUAUCAUUCCCUGCAUCGAAUUGCAAAUAUGAGCAACCGAUCCGGUAUCAAAUACCAAAGAAUUAAUAAUUGUAUCAGCGAGAAAUAUGUUGUCUAUAACAUUAACAACAAGCGUACCUGAGGUAGAAGUACUCUUACUUCCGCCAUUCUUCAAGGAAGCUAGGUACUGCUUGCAGUUUCUCUUCCAGUGACCAAGUUCAUGACAGUAAAAGCACUCUUUGUCUGGAGCAGGUCCAGGUCCAGCUUUAACCUUGGGCGGUGGGUUUGGCUUGGACGUUCCAGCCUUGGCCUUCUUCUUCCAAGAAUUGCCCUUCUUCUUAAAGCUGGGCUUGUUCUGUAUCGCCAUCACAUGGCUGGUACUAGCGCUUUUCUUGAUGUCAGGCUCUGCUAUUUUAAGCAUGCCACACAGCUCAUUCAGACCCUUCUCCGUCCCAUGCAUAUGGUAGUUCGAGAUGAAGUUCCCAUAGCUAGGCGGAAGAGACGAAAGAAUGAAAUCAGUGGCCAACUCUUGGCCCAGUGGGAAGCCUAGCUUCUCCAACCGUUGAGUGUAACCAACCAUCUUGAUUACGUGUGGUCCUACUGCUGCGCCUUCUGCUAGCUUGCUCUCAACAAAGGCCUUAGACACAUUGAACCUUUCAGUCCUGGCCUGUGUUUGGAACAUGUCUCUAAGCGCCACGAUCAUAUCGUGCGCCUCAUGGUUUGUUUCGAACUGCAUCUGCAGCUCGGGUUCCAUGCAAGCAAGCAUAAGGCAGCUUACUUCGAGGUUAGCAUCACAUGCUUUCUUGUAAGCAUUCUUAGCAGCAGCGGGUGCAUCAUCAGCAGGUUCUUCUGGUAGUGGGUUUUCUAGAACAUCUUCCUUUUUCUCAGCCCUGAGAACAAUUCUCAGGUUACGGAUCCAAUUCGAGUAGUUUGUUCCAUUCAACUUGUCCUUCUCAAGGACCGAACGCAAAGCAAACGAUGUGGUGGUGUUGCUAGGUGCCAUUUAAUCUACAACAAAAGUAAUGCAAAAUACACUAAGACAAACAUAUCCAUGAUAGAGCAAAUUAUAUUAAACUACUUUAACAGAAUCUACUCCCACUAAAAUCAAUAUCCCUCUAUUGAAACUUAGUGAUUCAGGAUCCACAACUAACAAGUCUACUAGUGAGCUUUAGCAUCACCGCUAGCAAACGAGGUAGAUCGGUAAGCAACUUUUGCUAAUCAUAUCACAUAUGACUCCUGUUGUUGGGUGACAUCUCUAUGUCUCGGCGCCCAACCUUUAUGCCCCAAGGUCCUUAACCGUUAAGAUAACCUUGUUAAGCAAACCAACCCUUAUGCGUGUAAGUGUCCGACACAAACCCGUCUAGUCAAGGAAAACUAGUGGCACCCUAAUUUCAUAGACCCACCACUAAUUGUACAAGACAUGGGAUGGUGCAAGUUUUAGUUGGGAGGGCAUACUAACUUAAACUUUGUGAGGGAUCGUUCUACUUCUAACAUCACAGCAUGCAGAAAGUAAAACAUAAACAGAAUAGCAUUCACACAGUUGUGACACAGUAUGGCCCAUUUUCAUAUGGUGAUCUCCAUCUCCAUAGAACCUGUUCACCAUGGUGAUCUCCAUCUCCAUGUUCCAUGUGCGCCAUCCUCCUGGUGAUGAGUCCUCCAAGAACUAGAGCAUGCUAUUACGCCUAAUAGCUAGUAAAGAAUCUAGUAAUGAAGAUUACAUAGUUGCUUGGAUCAUCACAGAUUGGUACGCAGACCAUUAAAUACAAUAAAGUGACAACACAUAUGGCUCCUGCCGUGUUGCCGUACGCGCGACACGCAGGUCACGAAUGAGUUACACACAUGCAUCACAUACACAAGGGGGCCAUACUGAUCACAAGAUACAUACAUACAUCCUGCAAAAGAGAGUUAGGCGUCCUAACGUUCCAAACUUCGGAGGCCCAAAACUCCAUCUUCCAAGCCGAAUUUGGGAAAUCUAAUCUCGCCGAAAAUGGCGAAGCGGUUGAAAUUCAUGUGUAACUUUUUCUAUAGAUCAAUUUUCGUAUAAAAAUCGCCCCGAUCCGAGAUCGUACCGAAAAGUUACGGCUGAUUUACCGAAGCAUACGCAUACGGCAAAAUCCCGACCCCGGCAGUAGAUCCCAUCUACUAUUGCACAUCUAAUGUGCCUGGCGUAUGACCCUGGAUCUCGAUUCGACCAAUCAUAUUGAUCUUCCCUCACUGCAACUGGAUUUACGUGUAUCACUUAACUCCGAUGGCGGAAACCGACCGGUAGGAGUAUGUCGUUACACUACCAUUGCAACAAGGGCACGAAACCAGGACAUAGAUCAAACUGAAAACUCGCAUAUCUCCAUAUGCACACAUCCCGAAUCCAAAACUAAGCAGCUACGGCUCUGAUACCACUGUUGGGAUACGAGGUAGGCUACACUAGCGCAAUUCAAAAAAAUCUACCGCGUAUAACCAGGAAGAACUGCCGUAUAAGGAUCACGGGAUUACCACUCGACGCACUACUGGUGCGGAAGAUGUAGAUAUGCGUCGAUGCAGUGAAGACGAUCACGUAGUCGUACGUAGUCGAUCAACGUAGUCGUACGUAGUCGAUCACGUCCAGCAGCUCCUCAGCAGCUCCUCCACGUGCAGCAAGAUCGCCUCCGGUACCGCGGCUCGUCGUCGGCUCGUCGUGGCUCAUCGGCGGCUCGUCGACGGCUCGUCCAAGUGCUGCAGGCGCAACACCUCCAAGGUAUCCACACGUGCAGGGAGGAAGCGUCGCAAGUCGGACUGCUAGAUCCGCGAGUUGCAACAGGCGAGGGCGUGGGAGGCGCGGCAGGUGUGUUUCGCCAAAAAGGUGUAAACCCUAGGGCGUCCCCACCCCUCUAUUUAUAGAGGUUCCUGAUGGGCCUCUGGAUCCGAGGCCCAUUAGUACUCCUAAACCUAAUCCAACUCGGAUCAGAUCCGAAUUGGGCUUUCAGCCCCUUAAGUGUGUGACCCUAUGGGUUCGGAUACGUAUAGACAUGGCCCGAGUACUCCUACUCGGCCCAAUAGUCGGUAGCGGCCUCUAGCAAGACGUGCCAACUCCUAUACGCACACGAAGAUCAUAUCAGACGAACCAUCACAACAUAAUAUACAUGCUAUUCCCUUUGCCUCACGAUAUUUGGUCUAGCUUCAAGCCGACCGCUCUUUCUUGAUCCUGUGAUUCGGAAUCCCUUUGUAGGUUAACUCUUAACCGUACGUAGCAUGGCCAUGCAUUUUCGGAUCCGAUCACUCGAGGGGCCCAGAGAUAUCACUCUCAAUCAGAGAGGGGCAAAUCUCAUCUUGACUGACCAUGUCUCAUAGCAUGCUUCUUGACAAACCCGAAAGCUACCUUUAUAACUACCCUGUUACGGUGUAGCGUUUGAUAGCCCCUAAGUAGGUCAAUCCACAUCUAGAAUACAUGCGACAAUCUCAGGUCUAAGGACAAAGCGUAUAUGUUAUUUUAAAGAGAGAACUACUUCUCGUGUUGGGUCAGUCCUAACACAUGUCUCCACAUGUGUCCACAUUAUUAGUUCAACAUCUCCAUGUCCAUGACUUGUGAAACAUAGUCAUCAACUAAUACAUGUGCUAGUCUAAUAUUCAUGUGUGUCCUCACAUGAACUCCAACUAGGGACAACUUUAGAAUAACCAUACAAGUAAAGAGUUUCACAUACAAUUCACAUAAUUGCAAAUCAAUUCAAGUAGCCUUUAAUGGAUAUUCAAUGAACACAAUAUACAAAUCAUGGAUACAAAUGGAAUAUCAUCAUCUCUAUGAUUGCCUCUAGGGCAUACCUCCAACAAGCUGAUGUAAAGAGAUCGGGCUGAUGUAUCUAGAACAACAUGAUGUCGGGCCAUCCAAUCCAUACCAAGGAUGACAUCUUCUAGGUCAAGGAUGAUAAGGUUUUCCUUGAAGAGGGUGGGACCUAGCUGGAGAGGUACAAGAAUAACGACCUGAUCUGACGUUAUCCUUCCUCCAGGAGUGGCAAUCACAUAGGGUUCCUUAGCGUGACCGACACUUAGCCCACAUCUUUCCCUUGCCUUACUCCCGAUAAAGCUAUGAGAGGCUCCCGAAUCAAACAACACAACAACAGCUUGAUUUAAAACAAGGAAAGUACCCGUCAUUACUGGCGCACCUUCGGGGAGCUCAGUCAAGCUGGUGUAGUUGAGUCGGCCUUGCCGGACUUGCACCUUGGGCCUUCUUCCUCUGGCUGCCAUGGGGUUCUGACCUUGCUGUGGAUUCUUGUUCCUGGGGCAGUCCUUCGCGAAAUGUCCUUCAUUGCCGCAGGUAAAACAACGAUUACUGGCUGCAGGGCGGGGUGGCGUUGGCAGGGUCGGCCGGGGCACUUGCGGUUGGAAGCCUGGAAAACGAGGCAUUGUCGCCGACGGGGGUCGGGCGAUCCAUUUCCCUGACGGCUGGGGUCGGCCAGGGGCUUGUGGAGGGAUCAUCCGGAACCUUCGAGUCGGUGGACUCGGAAAUGCCACAGAGGCUUUCCUCUUCUGGUCAGCCUUGAGGGCUUGCAUGCAGUCCUCCUGAGAGAUGGCCAGGUUGACCAACUCGUUGUAGGUGUCCACCUUGAUGGGGUUCAACCUUUCCCUGAGCUCCAAGCUCAGUCCUCGGCGGAAUCUGUCCUGCUUCUUCUCGUCUGUGUCCGCAUGAUAGCCAGCAUAACGCCAUAGGUCAUUGAAAGAUUGGGCGUAAUGCAGCACAUCCCGAGUUCCUUGGGUGAGGGCCAAAAACUCGUUGAGCUUGCGCUCCAGGAGACCUUCGGGAAUGUGAUGCGCCUUGAACGCCAUCUUGAACUCGUUCCAGCUGACCACGUGGCCAGCCGGCAGCAUGGCAUGGUAGUGGUCCCACCAAAGCCGUGCGGAGCCACGCAGCUGCUGAGCUGCGAACCGCGCCUUGUUGUGAUCGGGGCAUGGAGCGGUGAGGAGCUCGAACUUGGAUUCGAUUGUACGAACCCAUGCGUCAGCAUCGAGCGGUUCUUGUGUCUUUUGGAACAGCGGGGGCUGUGUCCCCAGGAAGUCCUCAUACCGCGCGAUAUGCGGCUGCGGUUGUGCUCUUCCACCAUGUGGCUGUUGUUGCUGUCCUUUCACCAGAUGCCUUAGCAACUCAGUUUGAGUUGCUAGGAUUGCCUCCAAUGGCGAUGGGGGCGGGGGCGGGGGAAGAUCCUGUCGCUGUUCACUACCGCUGGACACAGCACCAGACCUAGUGCGGUGCGCCAUCUGCAAGAGUUAACGCCCCAUUAAUUUCAUGACCUUAGGUAUACUCCAACAAAUGGAACGUAUGGAUUAAAUCCCUUAAUGCGACUCUUGCCAAUAGUGCAUCACACGUCCUCAUAGAGAAAGCACAUUCCUCUCAUUCUCAGCAUAGAUAACCUCUACUUGACCUGGUACUCCACUUCAGGCAACACAUGCCACAUACAGACUACAGACUCCUACGAUCUGAUCCACUCAAUCCAAGGGGUCGGACACGGUCCGUACUUGAAAAGGGUUGGACGAGGCGGAGACUGCCUCAAAGGGUCGGCGCACUCGGCCUCACAAACUGGGGUCGGCCAACUGAACAGAUCCUCAGAACACAGCAUAUGGUCACGGCACAACUUACUCAACCUAGCAUCCACGCCAUACAAAGAUGAGAAAGCUAUGCACCGGGGUUACUUUAUAUACAACGGUGUUUCAACACAGGGAGCACUCAACUCGAGGCUAACCUAUUACAACUUUUCCAAAAUCUAGGCUGCCGAGGAGUACAACAAAAAGAUGGUUCCCUGAGAACCCUUAAGCUACCAAUGGACACUAUGAGUCGGAGAAGGGGCGCCAUCUUCUUCUAUGUCCAUGUUGGACGCUCCCUCAUCUUCCUCAGGGUCCUCCUGUGCUUCGAGCUGCAUGUUGAGGGCAUGCAUAUCCUCGAGCUCGGCUUGGUGCUCCUCUAGGUGGGCAUUGGCAACUGCCAACUCCAUUUCCACCUCCAUGUUUUCCUCUGAGAGCUCUAUCAUGCCGUCCAUGAGGUCGGCAACUUCUCCUUCUAGCUCAGAGAUCCGAUCUUGCAUAUCGUGGAUCUGGAUACCACGCUGGAUCAGCUGGUAGGUUUGGCCUACCAUAUCUCUUCUUGCUGCCUGGAGGUGACCGUGGGUAUCUGCUGCCGUCCAGGCGAAAAGGGUCAUGGCUCUCCCCUGAAGCUCUAUCAACCGGUAGAGAGCGGCCAUGCACCGGAUGUUGGUGGAGAUGGUAACCAUGGCACAGGUGGUGGCUAACACCUCGAUGUUCCCGACACGGUCAAGCCAGGCCGGGUCCAGCCGGUUCCUGAAGGGGAAGAGGCCGAUCGGGUCUAGCGUGAUCUCCACGGGAUGCAGCUGACAGAACUGGGUGAGCAACUGAAGGGCGGCAGACUCCCAUGUAUCUUCCGGGGCAAGACCAUAGGCUAUUAUGCCCAGAGAGGGCCAGUCGGGCCGGGCAAGGGGAGGUGGUACCAACGCUUGCACCUGGCACGUCUGAAGGCCCUGUUCCAGAUAUAACCGCCCGGCAUACAAGGGCGGGGACUGAUACCCAAACCACUUCAGCGUAUCCCACAGAAUCGUGGGAAACCCCUCGAAAUGCAGGCACGUUGACUGGAAGGUACCGUCCGCUCCAAAAACAACAUGUCCGGGAGCAGCCAUCUGGAACCAAGAAAACCGGAAACCACGUGAGAUAAACUCCAAGGAUCAGGGGUCGGAUAGAGAAGCAUACGGGUUUAACCGAGAGCACUAAGAGAAACUAGAAAUCCUUAGAUCCAGAAGAACUCUUUUGAACAGGGUUGCUGUUGAGAAAGGGAACCGUACGACCUUGAAGAUGUGACACAUGCACGGCCUACCUUACUCUUAACCAAAAACAACUGCCCGAAACUCGGGUCUUACGCGGUCAGUGCCGGUGACAAGGCAACAAUACGUCUCUCCCUAUAAUAACUAGUCGGUUCUAGUAACGUCUCCUAAACGAACGCGGUUAGCAACCUGCAGAAAACACCACACACGAACCUUUCGUGCCAGCACCCACGAAAGCGUUCUCAAACAUUACCGCUCCCUAUAGGAACGGCACCCAUGCGUUUAAGGCUGCAUGGAUAGCACUCAACCGUGGAAAUAGGCUCCCUUUGAAUGGAUCCGUAUAACCCUUCGCAUACUCGUGAUGCGGAAUCGGCACACGUAUGACAAACGUGGCGAAACAACCGUGCUGAUAGGUUCGUUGGAAUCGAACCGUACCAACCUUCGUAUGGAACACAUACGGAACCUGCGCACGUGUAAUAGACGUGGGCGAAAACAACCGCGAAGAUAGGGUCCUUCGAAUGGAGCUCCCUAUCAACCCUCGCAUGCUCGUGAUGCGGAACUCGGCACACGUAUGAUAGACGUGGCGAAGUGCUGGAAGAGUUAGCAAAAUAACCAAAUAUUUAUUAGUCACCUAAAACAACCCCAAAAUCCCCUAGGGCCUCUCGCACUAAGUCAUCCUUAACGAUUGUACGAGAUUUUUCAAAAGUUUCUUGCAACUUUUAUCCCUUUCAAAGAAUGUUUAGGGCUUGUUGGGUUCUCUGAAAUGCUAAACACGGCUCUGAUACCAGCUGUGGCGGAACCACCUCGGAUUAGCUUGAUUAAGCAGGGUUAAACCGCCUAACAUGCGACACUCCUGCCUAAACCGAGUUAAUACGAAGUGCCGUCGGAUUUCAUCCGAUUUAACCACUUAAACAGGAUCGAGUUCAGCAAACCCACACGAAGGUGAGCGGUUACAGAGAAUACAACAAGUCCACUGAGUUGAACAAGUUUUACCCAUUUGGUUUGGCCAUAAAAUCCAACAUCAGAGUUUUACAAGUUUUCAAGGAAACAACAGAGAAAACACUAGCGGAAGACUUCGUCGGGGUCGGACAUCCUUGGUGAGGCCAACCGGGACAUCACUGGCUCCUUCCCUCGCCGUCCGAGGAAGGAUCCCACUCGACCGUCCAGCCUGGCGGGAGCUGGGGCGGCCAAGCACCAACCAGAGAGGGGUCGGAAGCAGCAACUUCACCUGAAAACAGGAGCCACAACAAGGCUGAGCUACUAAGCUCAACAAGACUUAACCGAUAGGAGGAAGGGCUACUCCUCCUUCUAGACAUGCAAGGCUGUUUGGCUGAGGGGGUUGUUUGCCAAAAGCACUAAGUAACCCUAUUUUCAAGUUUUAGCUCCGGUUCUAGGUUCAUUUACCAAUCUAGGUUGUGCCACCUAUUCUAAGCAUUCAUAGAAUCAAACAAGAUGUAUAGAUACAACAACAAACAUUGCCAUCAUCAGAUUCCUCAUUUACUCAGGGUGACAUAGCGAUCAAGCAAUCUCAAACUGUGAGAGGCAGACGAAUCGAUUCGAGUUCUUUAAUCAUGCAUGGUGAACCUAGCCUCACGACAUCCACGCACCCGGAGGUCGCUUCCUGUGUCGGCCUUCCCCAUCAAUCCCCUAACCCGUGUCGGGCCCAUUUCCUUUGGUGCAAGGUUCCACAGACCCGGCGUCUGCCAUUCUGUGACCACGCUUGCCACCACGUGCGACAACCAGCAGGGGAAACUCCGUUCCAAGAACAAUGGGGCGACCACUCACGUCUAGGUUCAAUCCGGUACUAGGCUUCCUCAUCCCAUACUAAGUAUGAGGCUAGUACUUUCAAACACUUGAUCACGAACACCACCACUGUCGGGCCUUAGCAAGAUUUCAUAGACAAACGGGGCAACCAUCCGACCACCAAAAAGUUACCAAAACCUUGCCCCGUCCAUCGUCCUUAUAGUUAUAACAGGAGAGUAAACAUGCAACUCCUACAACUCGCGAGAGACAGGAAAUCACUCGACUUCUACCGUCUCCUAGUUAAGCAAUGCAGCUACUCGGUCCAACAGCUAGUGCUCAGAUCACUGGGAUGUGCAAAUGCACAAGCAUGUUACAGAAGGCAUGCGCAAGUCUGGUAAAACACAUAGGACUUUCAUGCAACCGGGGCUUGCCUUCAAGCAAGGAGGACGGAAACUGCUCGACUUCGGGGGCGACUUCGGCUUCGGAGGACAGGAGCUCGGCUACAGCUUUUUCUUCUGGCGCCGGGUGAAGCUCGUAGAAGCCGUCGGCGAGGUGCAGCUCUACACGAAUGCAAUGCAGGGGUUAGCAUAGACAGUUACUUCAACAGCAACACUGGCUCGCCUGAGCCCAGAAACUCGCGACAAAGAGCAGGAGGUUAAGGUGGUUCGAGAGCUGAUGAUGAUCAAGAGGUAAGGGUAGGAAGGAACUAGUGGUCUGAUCCUUGAACUAGAGGAUGUGAUAAACUGGGGGUCCUUAGACGCAAGCGUUGAAGGGUUCCCAAGUUUUACACAUACACCCUCGAGUUGAAGAAAAAGAUCACAGCCAAGCCCUCGGGCGAGGCGGACAAGGGUCGGCGGAACAGACAGGGUCGGGCGAGACGAAACCGGGGUCGGGCGGAUAGGAGGGGUCGGGCGAGGCGGACUGGGGUCGGCAACUCACCUUCUUCCUGAAAGGAAAGCUUGGGGUCGGAACGAAGCAGACUUGGGCGGAGGGACUACGGUUUGAUCAGAAGCUAAGACCGGCGAUGCUCCGGCGGCGGCGCUGCUUCUUGCGGAUCACAAGAGAGCUUUUACGCAGCACGGAGGAGCAAGCUGCUGGGUGACUUGGAGAAGAACUGAGGGAGAACUGAGAGAAGAACUCCUCAAGAACUGGGUGGGUGGCGCUAGGAGCUUGAGCAGGGAGCUAGACGAGGCUGAAGGCAACGAGAGCGGAGGGAACUCCGGCGACGGGGGCAUUCCUUUUAUAGCUGCUGGAGCAGAGGAAAGGAAACGGCGCGGAGAGAGAGAAGGGGAGCGGCGCGAAGGCCGGGGAGAGGCAAUGGAGUGCUCUGCCGGGGCGGCGAUUGAGCAAAGAGGGCGGUGGUGCAGAACUCCGGGGGUGACGCCAGCAAUCAUGGCGUUCUGCCGUCAGGGUGGCGUAGGAGUGGGUAGACUGGUGGUUGAGAUUUGGCGGAAAGUGGGCGUCGUCGUGCGGAAGAUGUGAUAGAAGUGACCGGCUUAACGAAACUAGAAUCGAGGGCGCUCGGGUGAGAAGGCAGGCGGACGCGGGCGCGGGGGAGAGCGCGGAACAACAGAUUGUCGGGCGGCUUCGAACAGAGCGGGGGAAAGGAACUGUCGCGGCCGCGGUCGGGGUUGGCGGUGGAGGAAUCGUCGUGUAGCGGCGACCAGGCAGCGCAACUGUGGCUGAAGGGACGGAAAAGACGGGCGACAUUGGGCUCUGGGGCCGGGAUCUGGUGGCGUGAUGAUGGGCGCGGGAGGCGAGGUUCUGCAGAAAGGGGUGCAGAGGGCUUCCGCUGCCAUUGGGGAAAGGGGCGCGGGAACCCACUCGGUCGCUGUCCAGAGACAAAACUGAGCGGCAGGCGUUGGAGAAGACGAGCCACGAGGCAGGAAGACUCUGAAGCAGCCAUGCAACUCGAGUGCGGCUGUCGCGGGGGAUCUGGAAAAGAUCUCGCGGGUCCACCAGUGGAUAGAUCGGACGGGUGAGGAAGAUUAACAAAAUCUGACGGUGGGCUGAGCUCGUCGGGGUCGGGAGAGGAGCGAAGCCGGAAGGGGUUGGAUCUCAGGGGUCGGGACCGGCGGGAAACUGAGCACUUAGGUGCGGUCAAGCAAGACAGCUGACUAAGGUUAAGGGCUGCGAUCAAGACUAACUAGAAGGCUUAGGGGUCGGUCGUUACACCUGCACUAUGCGCAGGCCUUCAAUGAUCUGUGCCGAUACGCUGGGUAUCAUGCGGACACAGAUUAGAAGAAGCAGGACAGGUUCCACAGAGGGUUAAGCUUGGAGCUCAGAGAGAGAUUAAACCCAAUAAGGGUGAAUACGUACAACGAGUUGGUCAACUUGGCCAUCUCACAAGAGGACUGCAUGAAGGCUCUGGUAGCCGAGAGGAAGAGGAAGGCUCCACUGCCAACGCCCAGCCCACCUACACAACGUUUCAGAAUGGUUCCACCACAGGCACCCAGCCGACCUCAGCAGCCGGGAAGAUGGGUUGCCCGACCCCCACCAGCGGUAGCACUUCAUUUUCCGGGAUUUCAACCUCAGGCUCCGCGGCCGACCCUACCGCCACCACCGUGCCCUGCAAAUGGUAACCACUGCUUCACCUGCGGCAAUUUGGGGCAUUUCGCCAAGGACUGCCCCAGGAAUCAGAAUCAGCGCCAAGGGCAAAGCAAUGCGAUGCUCAAUAAAGGGAAGAGGCCCAAGAUGCAAGUUCGCCAAGGUCGGUUGAACUUCACCAAUGCAGCAGAGCUUCCUGAAGGUGCACCGAUAAUGACGGGUACCUUUCUUAUUCACAGUCUUUCAGCUUUGGUUUUGUUUGACUCAGGAGCCUCACAUAGUUUUAUUGGAAGAAAGACUAGUGACAAAUAUGGGUUAAAGGAAUGCCAAACAAGAGGAUCUUUUAGGAUAUCCACCCCGGGUGGGGUAAUCACAUCUGAUAGGAUGAGUGUCAAUGUGCCUAUCUAGCUAGGCCGAACCCUUUUUAAGGAGAAUCUUGUUAUUCUCGAUCUGGAGGGGAUUGAUGUCAUCCUAGGAAUGGAUUGGAUGACAAGGCACCAGGUUGUGUUAGAUAUUCCAGCCCGAGCUAUCCAUGUCAACUCACCCCACCAAGGCCCCUCUGUUGUCCAAUUGCCUCGCCGAGAAGAUGUGAAUUCUUGUGCGUAUCCCGCAAUUGAGACCCAAUUGAAGGACAUCCCUGUAGUCUGUGAGUACCCCGACGUGUUUCCCGAUGUUUUGCCGGGCAUGCCGCCCGAUAGAGAUGUGGAGUUUUCCAUAGAGUUGAUCCCCGGCACCGCCCCUAUCUCCAAAAGACCUUAUCAGAUGCCACCCGCUGAGUUGGCCGAGUUAAAAACCUAUUUGAAGGAUCUGUUGGAAAAAGGCUUUAUCCGACCCAGCACUUCACCUUGGGGUUGCCCAGCCCUGUUUGUGAAGAAGAAGGAUGGGAGUCUACGCAUGUGUGUGGACUACCGACCUCUCAAUGCGGUGACUGUCAAGAACAAGUAUCCACUUCCCCGCAUUGAUGUUCUGUUUGAUCAGUUAGCUGGAGCAAGAGUAUUCUCCAAGAUCGAUCUUCGUUCCGGUUAUCACCAAAUCAAGAUCAGACCCUGUAACAUUCGCAAUACUACCUUCUCCACAAGAUAUGGACUCUACUAGUACCUGGUUAUGCCUUUUGGAGUCACCAAUGCACCCGCUUACUUCAUGUAUCUCAUGAAUUCGGUGUUCAUGCCCGAGUUAGACAAGUUUGUGGUGGUGUUCAUUGAUGAUAUCCUAGUGUACUCGAAGAACGAAGAAGAACAUGCCGAUCAUCUUCAUGUGGUUCUUCAACGGUUGAAGGAUCAUCAGCUUUAUGCCAAGUUCUCCAAGUGUGAAUUUUGGUUAGAUAGUGUCAAGUUCUUGGGACACACUAUCUCUUGGAAUGGCAUAGCCGUUGACCCCAGCAAGGUACAGGAAGUCAUGGACUGGAAGCCUCCCACUUCAGUUCACCAGAUCCGAAGUUUUCUUGGAUUGGCAGGCUACUAUCGGCGCUUCAUUCUAGAUUUCUCCAAGAUAGCUAAGCCGAUGACCGAGCUGUUGAAGAAAAAGAGGUCAAAUUUGUAUGGAACGACAAGUGUGUAGAAGCCUUCAACACCUUGAAACACUUGCUAACCUCAGCCCCGGUUUUGGCUCAACCCGACACUUCUAAGUCGUUUGACGUAUACUGUGACGCCUCUGGCACUGGACUUGGGUGUGUUCUUAUGCAAGACAAUCGAGUCAUUGCCUAUGCCUCACGGGCGUUACGACCUCAUGAGCUGAACUAUCCGACCCAUGAUCUUGAGUUGGCAGCAGUGAUUCAUGCCUUAAAAAUAUGGAGACACUAUCUGAUGGGCACCCACUGUAACAUCUACAUCGAUCACAAGAGCCUCAAGUACAUCUUCACUCAGGCCGACCUCAACAUGCGCCAAAGAAGAUGGUUGGAGUUGAUAAAGGAUUACAAUUUGGAGGUGCAUUAUCACCCCGGCAAGGCCAACGUAGUGGCAGAUGCUCUUAGCCGCAAGACCCAUUGCAAUUGCUUGUUGGCAACCAACUUCACAGAGACUCUGUGCCAUGAGGUGGGAAAACUUAAUUUGGAAAUUGUCUCCCAUGGAACCCUCGGACACAUCUCACCCUUGAGUCUGCUUUGGAGGACCAAAUUGGGACGGCACAGUUAGAAUAUGAGGAAGUAAGGCGAACCAAAAGAAAGAUUUCAUGGAAGGAUGAGAGGUAUAAGCAAUUCUGACAGAAUGAGAAUGGGAGAGUGUACUUUGAGAACCGACUCAUUGUUCCGUCCGACCCCACCCUUAGGAAGCAACUCCUAGAUGAAGCUCAUCUCUCCAAGUUCUCAAUCCAUCCUGGCAGCAAUAAGAUGUAUCAUGAUCUCCGUCAAAUCUUCUGGUGGAGUGGAAUGAAACCUGAGAUUGCACGAUAUGUUUCAGAAUACGACACCUGUCAAUGUGUCAAAGCCAGCCAUUUAAAGGUAGCAGGUACCCUGCAACCCCUACCUAUUCCCUCUUGGAAAUGGCAAGACAUCAGCAUGGACUUCAUUGUUGGACUACCCCUUAUCGCAGCGGCAUGAUUCCAUUUGGGUGAUUGUGGAUCAUCUUACCAAGACUGCCUACUUUCUUCCGGUUCACACCACCUACACGGCCAAGAAAUAUGCAGAGUUGUAUCUUGACCGCAUUGUUUCCUUGCACGGUGUGCCUAGGACGAUCAUAUUUGAUCGAGGAGCUCAGUUUGUAGCGCGUUUUUGGGAACAGCUACAAGCAUCAAUGGGCACCAAGCUCAUUCGUAGCUCGACUUACCACCCUCAAACCGAUGGUCAAACUGAAAGGGUAAAUCAGAUCCUUGAAGACAUGUUGAGAGCUUGUGUCAUCCAUUAUGACAAAAAUUGGGAUAAGUGCUUACCAUUGGCAGAGUUCUCCUAUAACAAUAGCUACCAGACUAGCUUGAAGAUGGCACGAUUUGAAGCCCUAUAUGGUCGGAAAUGUCGGACACCGUUGAAUUGGUCACAAGAUGGUGAAAGACAGACCUAUGGCCCUGACUUAGUAGUAGAAGAAGAAGAACAAGUGAAGAUAAUUCAAGCAAAUCUCAAGGCCGCCCAAUCUUGACAGAAGAGUUACUCCGACACGAGAAGAAGACCCCUGCAAUUUGAUAUUGGUGAUCAUGUGUAUCUUCGAGUCUCCCCGACCAAAGGAGUGCAACGGUUUGGAGUAAAAGGGAAAUUGGCUCCCCGUUACAUUGGCCCUUAUGAGAUUGUGGAAAUUUGCAGACCCGUUGCUUACCGGAUCCAACUACUCGGGCAGCUCUCGGCCCUUCAUGAUGUUUUCCAUGUCUCCCAACUGAAGAAAUGUGUCCAAGUCCCAACUGAGAUCUUAGGGCAGGAGCAACUUCAAAUCGAACCCGACCUGACCUAUGCUGAGUACCCGGCCAAAGUUCUUAACCGUAAGGAGAGGCACACCCGACGACAAGUGGUGAAAAUGUACAAAAUCCUAUGGAAUAACCACACAGAGGAUGAAGCAACAUGGGAAACAGAAGAGUAUCUGAACAAGCAUUUCCAAGGUUUUCUUUUCAGCCAAGGAGGUAAGGACUGCACACCCCCAGUGGUCGCUCUUACACUCGAAUCUCGAGACGAGAUUUAUUUUAAGAGGGGUAGGCUGUAACGACCCUGGUCAAAUCAUUCGAGUUAAUCUAAAUUGGAAGCCCAAAUUCCUCUGUCUCAGCUCUUCCCGAGCAGGAGUGCUCCACUCCAGUUCCCGGUCCCGACCCUUGAAGACCCGAACCAACCCCGUCGGUUCCUUCUGAGUUCCCCGAGGCAGUGCUUCUUUCAAUCUUGGAGCUGUGGGACAACCGAGACUGAUCGGUGGACCCGCAAAUCUUUUCCCCGGAUCUCCCGAGGCAAACGCACUCGAGCGGCCUGCACCGCUUCAGAGCUCCCCCGCCGCGUGGCUCAACUUCUCCGACACCCGCCGCUUCGCCCAUUCGCCGGCCGCGACAGGAUGGAUUCUCGCGCCCUCCUCCCCAUUCGCAGCGAAAGCCCCUCUGCAACCCUUUCUGCAACGCCUCAUCUCGCUCGCGCCCUCGCCGGUCGUGCCUUGGUGCUCCGUCGCCGCUGUGGCAGAGCUUUGCCGCCUGCUGCGUCAAACCGCCUCGCGGCUCGCGCCCAUCAUCAUCUCACCAGAUCCCCGGCUGCAAGGCCCGAUGCCUUCCGGCUUUUCCGCCGCCUCUCCAUAGUCGCGCCGCCCACGAACUCGCUACGCGACGAUUCCUCCAUCGCCAACCCCGACUCCGGCCGCGACAGUUGUUGGUAUACGAGGUACGCUACACUAGCGCAAUUCAAAAAUUCUACUGCGUAUAACCAGGAAGAACUGCCGUAUAAGGAUCACGAGAUUACCACUCGACGCACUACUGGUGCGGAAGAUGUAGAUAUGCGUCGAUGCAGUGAAGAUGAUCACGUAGUCGUACGUAGUCGAUCAACGUAAUCGUACGUAGUCGAUCACGUCCAGCAGCUCCUCAGCAGCUCGUCCACGUGCAGCAAGAUCGCCUCCGGUGCCGCGGCUCAUCGUCGGCUUGUCGUGGCUCAUCGGCGGCUCGUCGACGGCUCGUCCAAGUGCUGUAGGCGCAACACCUCCAAGGUAUCCACACAUGCAGGGAGGAAGCAUCGCAAGCCGGACUGCUAGAUCCGUGAGUUGCAACAGGCGAGGGCGUGGGAGGCGCGGCAGGUGUGUUUUGCCAAAAGGUGUAAACACUAGGGCGCCCCCACCCCUCUAGGUUCCUGACGGGCCUCUGGAUCCGAGGCCCAUUAGUACUUCUAAACCUAAUCCAACUCGGAUCAGAUCCGAAUUGGGCUUCCAGCCCCUUAAGUGUGUGAUCCUAUGGGUUCGGAUACGUAUAGACAUGGCCCGAGUACUCCUACUCGGCCCAAUAGUCGGUAGCGGCCUCUAGCAAGACGUGCCAACUCCUAUACGCACACGAAGAUCAUAUCAGACGAACCAUCACAACAUAAUAUACAUGCUAUUCCCUUUGCCUCACGAUAUUUGGUCUAGCUUCAAGCCAACCGCUCUUUCUCGAUCCUGUGAUCCGGAAUCCCUUUGUAGGUUAACUCUUAACCGUACGUAGCAUGGCCAUGCAUUUUUGGAUCCGAUCACUCGAGGGGCCCAGAGAUAUCACUCUCAAUCAGAGAGGGGCAAAUCCCAUCUUGAUUGACCAUGUCUCAUAGCAUGCUUCUUGACAAACCCGAAAGCUACCUUUAUAACUACCCUGUUACGACGUAGCGUUUGAUAGCCCCUAAGUAGGUCGAUCCACAUCUAGAAUACAUGCGACAAUCUCAGGUCUAAGGACAAAGCGUAUAUGUUGUUUAAAGAGAGAACUACUUCUCGUGUUGGGUCAGUCCUAGCACAUGUCUCCACAUGUGUCCACAUUAUUAGUUCAACAUCUCCAUGUCCAUGACUUGUGAAACAUAGUCAUCAACUAAUACAUGUGCUAGUCUAAUAUUCAUGUGUGUCCUCACAUGAACUCCGACUAGGGACAACUUUAGAAUAACCAUACAAGUAAAGAGUUUCACAUACAAUUCACAUAAUUGCAAAUCAAUUCAAGUAGCCUUUAAUGGAUAUUCAAUGAACACAAUAUACAAAUCAUGGAUACAAAUGGAAUAUCAUCAUCUCUAUGAUUGCCUCUAGGGCAUACCUCCAACAACAGUUCCUUGUCCGCCUUGCCAGAACUGUGCCCGGCAAACCGCUGUUUCGCGCUUGCCCGCGCAGCCGCAGCCCACCUGUCUUUUCACCUGUUGCAACCUCGCUUGUAGUGCCGUUCUCCCUAUCACACCAAUCAGAUCCGCCGCUCGAUGAUGCCCACCUCCGCCAAAUCUCAACCCCGGCAAAAUCGCGCCUGCGCCGCCUUGUCUCCAGUGCCCAAUAGCCGAGGACGCUAUCUCCGAAGUCCUGUUCCGCCGCCCAUCGCCGCUCAAUUGCCGCCAUGGCAGUGCACUCCAUCCUUUUCUUCCGGUCUUAGUGCUACUCCAACUCUCUCUCUUCCGUGCAGCUAUAAAAGGGAAUGCCAGAGUCCUACUUGAGUUCCCUUCGCCAUCGUUGCCUUGCCGCCUUGUUCCUCUGUUUCGUGCUCGAGCGCCGCCACCUAAGUUCUUGAGGAACUCUCAUCUCUGCUCAACACCCGCCCCUCCCAAUCCACCUAGCCGCCUGCUCCUCCGCGCUGUGCUAGAGCUUCCUUGUUGCUCACAAGAAGCUCCACCGCCGUCGGAGCACCGCCGGACAUCGCCGCCACCCAAGCCUUAGUGCUUAAGACCUUCCGCCCAAGUCUACUCCUUCCCGACCCCAAAGCUUCACCUAUAAACCGAAGGUAAGCUGCCGACCCCUCACCGGUUCGCCCGACCCUAUCUGUUCGCCCGACCCCUUUUCCGUCUCGCCCGACCCUGUCUGUUAGCCGACCCUUAUCUGCCUCGCCUGAGGACUUGGCUGUAUCCUUUCCUUGGCCCGAGGGUACCUGUGUAAAAGAGCGGGGACUUCUCUACGUUAAUUCUGAGGACCCCCAGCACAGCUAUUCCUCUAGCUUAAGGGUCAGAUCAUAAGUUUCUUCCCAUCCGACCCUUUUAUCUUGCUCUCCACCAACUAAAGUAAACUUCCCCACAUUUUCUGUAGCCUUGCUGCAAGUGUCCGAGCUUAACUGCAAGUGUUGUUGAAAUAACCGUCUAAACACUAACUCCUGCAUUGCAUUCGUGUAGAGUCGCACCUCGCUGACGGCGUCUACGAGCUACACCCAGUGCCAGAAGACGGAGCUGUAGCUGAGCUACCAGUUCCAGAAGCCGAAGUCACCCCAGCUGAAGACUAGUUCUCCUCCCCUCCGCUUGAAGGCAAGCCCCAGAGCAUGAACCCCAAAUUUUUCCCAAACUUGCGCAUGCCUUCUUUCUCAUGUUUGUGCAUUUACGUAAAGGAGUUGUUUGCAACCUUAGAUGCAUGACAUAGUUCCUUUGAUCUGAACACUAGUUUGUUAGGCCGAGUAGUUGCUAUGCUUAAAUAGGAAACGGUAAAAGUCGAGUGAUUUCCUGUCACUCGCGAGUUAUAGGAGUUGGUUGUUUUCCUUCUGUUACAACUAUAAGGAUGAUGGACGGGGCAGGGUUUUGGUUAACUCUUUUGGUGGUCGGUUGAUCACCCCGUCUGUCUAUGAAAUCUGUUAAGGCCCGACAGUGGUGGUGUUCGUGAUCAAGUAUUUGAAAGUACUAAUCUCAUACCUAGUAUGGGAUGGGGAAGCCUAGUACCUGAUUGAACUAGGGCGUGGCUUAUACCCCUGCUGUCCCUGGAACGAGGUUCCCAUGGUGCAUCAUGUGGGUGCAAGUGCGGUUACAGUACGGUAGAGGCCGGGACUGUGGAGCAUUGCAUGCCAAGGGAAGUUUGGACCUGACACGUGCUUGGGAAUUGAUGGGGACGGCCGACAUAGGAAGCGACCCUUGUGGUGCGUGGAUGUCAUGAGAUUAGGUUCGCCAUGCAUGGUUAAGAAACUCGAAUCGAUUCAUCUGCCUCUCACAGUUUGAGACUGCUUGAUCGCUAUGCUACACUGAGUAAUGAAAGAGUCUGAUGAUGACAUGGUCUUGAUGAUGAGCUUAUAUACAUAAAGUUGGAUCUAUGUUUGCUUAGAGUAAGAUGCCAACGUAGACUGGUUAAUGAACUUAGAAGUUGAGCUAUAACUUGAAAGCAAGGACCUAACAUAGUCGCUUUUGGCAAACAAACCCCUCAGCCAAAGAGCCUUGCAUGUCUAGACGUGGUGGAGUAGUUUUACCACCGGUCGGUUAAGUCUUGUUAAGCUUAGCCGCUCAGCCUUGUUUGUGGCUCUCUUUUUUAGGUGAAGUCGUAGCUCCUGAGUUUGCUCCUGUUGGCACUUGGCCGCCCCAGCUCCCUCCGGGUUGGACGGUCGAGUGGGAUCCCUCCUCAGACGGCGAGGAAAGGGAUCACUGAUGUCCUGAUCAGCCUCAUCAGGAACAUCCGACCCCGGCGCUAGCUUCCGCUAUUUUACCUUUCCGCUGCUUUUGAAUCUUGUAAAACUCUGACUUUCGUUUUGAUGUUGAACUAAAUUGUCAAACUUGUUUAACUCAGUGGAUUUGUUGUAUUCUCUGGAACCACUCACCUUCGUGUGAGUUUUGCUAACUCGGUCCUGUUAAGUGGUUAAAUCGGAUGAAAUCCGACGGCACUUCGAGUUAACUUGACUAAGGCAUGAGUGUCGCGUGUCAAGCGACUUAACCGUGCUUUAAUCAAGGUAAUCCGAGGUGGUUCCACCACACUCCUGCAGGAUGUAAAUCAGUCCGGAUCGCCGCAAUUCUCGGAUAUGAAUGCACUUGAUCAUUGCUUAAGCAUCGUAGUGUAACAAAGAGAAGGGAACCGUUGCUUUUGAAUAAAUAUGUUGAAUGACUUAGUUCCAUCUGGUUGAUAAAAUAUUUUUCAUCAUCUAGACUGGUCAGGUAACAGACUCAAUCUGAAAUAAAAGAUAAAACUAAGGUUUUACAUAUGGUAAGCUUUUUCGGCAAAAUGUGAGUCAGCGAGUACACCAUAAAGCCAUCAUACAGUAUGACAGAAAUAUUUAUAUUGGUUAGACAAGUCAGACUUGCUGAGUACUUUGUACUCAGGGGAUCCUUUGUUGUUGUUUUCAGAAACCCAGCAGGGACCCACCGAGGAGGAAGCACCGAAGAACUAGGGUAUCUUAAGAGUCUCAUGAUACCCUAGAAUAAACUUAGAUGUUUAAUUACUUACCUCGGACUGUUUUAUAUUUUAAACUCUUAGCAAUGGUUUAACUUGCACUGUUAAGUUUCCUCAAUCUAUGGUUUGUAAAUCGUACCUCGGUUAUGUAUGUAAAAAUGUAAUAUUUGUUGAUGCUAUCCCAUCGUGGAAGCGGUCCUGAUGUAUGGCUAUGGAACACCCUAUGGAGGUUUUCAAGGAGUUCUGUGAACAGAACCCUUGAUGGACUACCAGAUUUACACUAUUUUAAGUGCGUUUUGGAUAAUUGUUGUUCUGACAGCAAUUAGGUGCACUUAAGUCAGUUUAAGUUGGGCAGUUCCACCAUAGCUGGUAUCAGAGCCAUAGGUUGGGAUAAUCAACAGAUAUUACUAUUUAAAAAUUGAGACUCUAUUUUAAAUAAAGAAAACGUGAGUCUUAGGUGGCAGUAGUAUUAAUUGGUUUCUUGUUUUGCAGAUGCUAACUGUUUGCUGCGUGUCGCUAGUAUUCGGUAGCAUAUUACUAGGGAGGGAUUACGAUGCCAUCAAUUUUCCUACGAGUGUGUAUAUGAGUCUGAAAGCACGUAGGAAUCGCUGCAUCAUAAUUGCAUAGCAUGUUUUAAAAACUUUUGGGUUUGGUGACUGUCGUUAGACCUAAAACCCGUUCCGUGCGUUAGAAGUUAGACGUGGUCAGGACCGGUGCAAACAGGGGACCGAAGAAGAAAGUACCAAGGAAGAUGAAUAGACCUAGAAUCCUUUGAUGCAACCAGCUUCACUAUAAUACUAUGGAAGGACAAAAGAAUGAAAAUACUUCGGGAACGAGUAAGCCAAGGUGAUGUUACUUGUUUUACCCAGAAUGAAAAAGGGGUGCUCUAUUUCAAAAACUGAAUAGUAGUACCCAAGAAGAUGGGCUUGAGAAAAAAGAUCCUAGAUGAAACUCAUUUGUCAAGAUUCUCUAUCCACCUUGGAAGUACUAAGAUGUAUCAAGACCUGAAGCAAUGCUUUUGGUGGACAAGGAUGAAGAGGGAAAUAGCCAAGUAUGUAUCUGAAUGUGAUACAUGCCAAAGGGUGAAGGCCACACAUCAGAAAUCAGCUGGCUUAUUGCAACCCUUAACCAUUCGUAAAUGGAAGUGGGAAGACAUUUCCAUGGAUUUUAUAGUAGGAUUGCCUACUACCUCAAAGGGGUAUGAUUCCAUAUGGGUUAUCGUGGAUCGACUCACUAAGUCGGCUCAUUUUAUUCCUGUCAAGACUACUUACCGUAUGCCAGUUUAUGUGGAACUCUAUAUGUCUCGAGUAGUGUCAGCACCUCGAACAUGUCAACGCCUCAUGGCUCCACAUGGCAGCCACGUGGCCAUCUAGUCUACAUGGCACUGCCACAUGGCGCACACGUGGUCGUCCCCAGCCGGCCGGGAUCCAUGUGUCGGGCGGAUCCUGUGCGUGUGGCGGAACUGCUCAAAUUAACUUGGCUAAAGCACACUUAAGUCGCCUAACACACGAUCAUGUACUUUAAUCAAGUCAACUCGGUAGUCCGUCGGAUUUCAUCCGAUAAACCACUUAUCACAGGAUCGAGAAAGCAUAGCUCACACGAAGGUGAGUGGUUACAGAGAUUACAACAGUCUAUCCAUAUUAAACAAGUGCAUCAAAUUGCUACAACAUCCAGUUUGAAAUUCAAACAUAGUUUGCAGAGUUUCAAGCAGCAGAAAUAAAUAAGCGGAAGCUAACGUCGUUGUAGGAUAUCAUGACGAAGCCGAUCAUGACAUUAAUGAUCCCUGUCCUCACCGUCCGAGGAAGGAUCCUACUCGACCGUCCAUCUCGGAGGGAGUUGGGUGGGCCAAGUUCUACUUGCAGCGAGCUCAGGGGUAACAACAUCACCUGAAAAGAUGUGCCACAAGCAAGGCUGAGCAACUAUGCUCAACAAGACUUAACCGACGGGUGGUAACUACAUCCACCAACACCUAAACAUGCAAGCUUUUUGGUUUUGGGGUUUGUUUUUGCCAAAAGCGACUAGAGUAGGUCUUUACUUUCAAUAUUUUAGCACCAUGUUCUAGUUGAUUAACCAUUCUAGGUAAGCAACUAUACUAAGCAGGCAUAGCUUUUCAAGCAAUUAAUAACAAGUAACAACAUUUAAUCAUCGUCACAUUCCUUUCUUACUCAGUAUAGCAUAGCGAUCAAGUAGUCCCAAACUGUGAGAGGCAGACGAAUCGAUUCGAAUUUCUUAACCAUGCAUGGUGAACCUAAUCUCAUGACAUCCAUGCACCACGAAGGGCCGCUUCACUUGUCAGCCGUCCCCAUCGAUUCCCAGACCUGUGUUGGGCCCACUUCCCUUGGUACAAGGCUUCAUAGACCCGGCCUCUGUCGUUCUAUGACCGCACUUGUCACCACAUGCAGCCACAAGGGAAACUCCGUUCCAGAGACAGUGGGGCGAUCCACUCAUGUCCUGGUUCAAUCAGGUACUAGGCUUCCCAAUCCCAUACUAGGUAUGAGAUUAGUACUUUAAAACACUUGAUCACGAACACUAUCACAUCUCGACCUUAGUCAAUUUCAAGUAGACAGACGGGGCAAUCCACCGACCACCAAAAAUAGUUCACAGAGCCCUGCCCCGCCCAUCGUCCUUACAGUUGCAGCAAAAGAAAAGGGCAUUCAACUCCUAUAACUUGCGAGUGAUAGGCAAUCACUUGACUUUUACCGAGUCCUAUUAAGCACUGCAACUACUCAACUUAAUAUACUAGUGUUCACAACAAGGGUACUGAGUUCAUGCAUCUACGAUUUCAAUCAACUCCUGGAACAUAAAUGCACAAUCAAGCAAUCAAUUGUAUUUCAAUAUUUAAAGAUAGGAAUUCAUGCUCCGGGACUUGCUUUCGCACGGGGAGUUAGCGAACUAGUCCUCGGCUUGCUCUGGUGCAGGCUCAGCUCUGGCGUGGUGCAGAUCUGCUACGGCUUCUUCUUCCGGCGCUGGGUGCAGCUUGUACGUGCCGUCAGCAAGGUUCACUUCUACACGAAAUACAAAUGCAACAAGUUAAAUUUUCCAUGCUUUCACAUGCAGGAUGCAAAACAUGAGUUAUUGCCGGAGUAUAACUUACAUUUUGACCACAUUCACCUAAACAAGGUUCUAAACUUUUAUUAUCUUCAUGAGGUAAGGUGUGUUGUGGCAUAAAACCCGGCGUUGAUUUUAAUGGAGAUUGUGUACACAUAUAUGUGAAACGAGUUGAUUAACUUCAGAUUAGAAAGUUUGUUAAGUUUCUGAAUGUUUUUCUGUACCUCUUUCGAAAAUUACCAGUAUCAUUACUCAAAGUUUCUUUCAUCCAUUUAAUUAGGUCCAUCUUCCAAAUUUUAUGUCAUUAUCCAAACAGCAAGCUAUGAAGCUACAAAUUUAACAGCAACUUAACUUUGUCAUAGAUAAGCUACUGCAUAAAUUUGAGAUCCAUUGGAGGUGUAUAAAAAGAAUUAGAAUUACUUUAUUACCCUAAGGUAGCAUAUACUUAAACAUUUUUAAAACAUAAACCAUAACGAAACUGGUCAUGAAAUUUUAACAGUGAGUUAUAUGGGUGAUACAAAGCCUUUGGAGAAUUUUUCAUGAUUUUUAAUGAAGGACAUCUAUUUCACAUAUUUACCUCAUUUAUCUUUCUCUAAAAAGGAAAGUGAUUUUCUUUCUGCUUCUGACCAGGUUCUAUAACUUUCCAACAAACUACACUACACCACUGACCUAUUCCAAUUUGUUUCACAUUUUUAUCAUCUCUGGUUUAAAAAUUGUGCAAAAGAUUGUAGUUAUACAACUAGAACAGAGACUUCAACUUCUGAGCUAGGCUCCAAAUCAUUUUUCCAAGAUUCUAUUCUCUGAGACAAGCAAUUGAGAGUUGGAUUUACCUUUUUAGCAUUUUUCUGUGAUUUGCUAUGAUUUAAAUAGCUCAAACAAGGAUUAAAACAUAUAACAUUAAUUCUAACAGAGACAUGUGCAAACUUAUUUUUAUAUGAAACGACACACAACACUGAGUCUAACAAAAUUCAUCUUGCAUUUUUAUCAUUUUUACACUUUUCUAUGCCUUUUCAAAGUUUUAGCCUUUUUAGAUCUAGGAAAAAAAAAGAAAACCGAGGCAAACUUGCAAUCUAGCCCUCAAGUCUAUGGUUUAAUCACGUAAAGGUCCCUGGUUUUUGCGCCUACACCCCUGGACAGAUUCCCACCUUAAACAUAACUCCUGAACAUUAUCCCAUAACCCCCUAGACUUCUAUUCUUCUCAAAACUCACUGAUAUCUUCUUCCUUGGAACAGAUCGCACAGGCACAGGAUUGUCACACAUGGGGGCACACGGCCGGCCGGGGAGAGGGUAAAGAAGGUGUGGCGGCGCUAGGGGAGGGGGUGGUGCCAUGCCCAGGACAAGGGGUCUCCUUGGUGCGGCACAGGUAGGGAGGAAAGGGGCGGCACACAACAUCAUGGUUAGGAGCUCACCUAGGUUCCGUUUUAGCUGUUGGUUGUCGAUGAGGAAGGCCGGAAGGGGGCGUUCACGGUGAGGGUCAUGGCUGCAAUUGACAGUUUCUGAUCGGAGGAGAAACUUGGAUUCCCGACCAAGGGAUGGACGGCGGGCGAUGAGGAGAGGCUGAGGGUGGAGCCAAGGGAGUGUAGAAGCUUAGGGCGUGAGGGAUUUGGCGGAGGCGGAGGCGGAGGGAGCUGGCCGGAUUUCGCCGGGGAACAGGAACCUCUCGAGUUGGCUGUUUGGGGCAAAAAUGGAGGAAGGCUUGGUUUGGGGAGGCUCUGGCUUGGAGGAUAAGGCCGGCUCAAGGCCUGGGGGUGGUGCAAGGAUAAGAACGACACGACAAGGCGUCGGGGGCACGCUGGACGGGCAUUGGCGGAGCGGCUGUGACGCGGCAGCCAUGGCGUGGUCAUGUGCAUGCGGCGAGGUGCUGCGGCGAGGCACGGUAGGUGAGGUGCUGCAGCGAGGUGCGGCAGGCGAGGUGGAGCGUCGACUGGUUAGCGCGCGGGCGCGGGUUGGGCGAUGGGGGUGGCGCGGGCGAGCUUGCGCCACGGGGCGGGCGACAUGCAGCACGCUCUGGCGCGUGUGCUCUGGCGCAGGGCGAGAACGCGGGACAGUUGCAGGGCCGGAGUUUUGGGGCAAAAUUGCACGCGAUUUUUGAACUAAACCACGUUGGCUCCCUUUACAAAAAUUGUUUUCCUAACAACCGAGUUCAAACUUUACUAAAGGUUUUUGCCCAGAUUUCAAACGGAUUCAGAGAUAAAAUGCGCCAAAGUUCGUAAAAAUUGAAACUUUCAGACUUAGGCGCUUCAGCCAUUUUUGGAUAGUGUUCACUAUUUUAGCUGUGUUUGACCUUGUUUUUGAAAACCUUUUGUGCAGAUGUUGGCCUAGCUCCAAUAAUCAAAGUGGUUAAGGACUUGUAGCACUAAAAAUUUUAUAAAAAGUCUAUUUUGAGUUUACAUUAAAAAUUGUGAGAUAAAGGGCUUCAAAGUUUGGGUUUUUCAUGUUUUUCACAAUUUGGCACAUAUUUGAAUUUCAAGUUUUUGAAAGCCUUCUGCUCAGAUUCAAACAAAACGCCAAAAACAAAAGUUGUUAGAAAAGAUGAGUUUAACAACUCUUAGUUGGACAAAAUUUCAGGUUCUUAUAUAAAAAUUUAAAUUAUGGCUUAAUCAAUUUUUAAGCUCUUAGGGGUCAAAGUUGACCUUUGACUCGGUUAAUUUGCUGCUAAAAGCUUCACUUAGGCUUAAAGAAGGUUUAGUUAACCUAGGGUUGUUACAGUGCACUAUCGGCAUGUGGCCACGGGUGUGGCACAGGCCUGAUUGGCGGCGACGCAGCGGUGACCGCGCCCACAACGUCGUGGUGUCACGGCGCAGCUGCUGCGCGUGCGCGCGGGCAUGAGGCAGUCCCCGACCGCGGCACGACCACGGCGGCAUGCGGGGUCCCGGUGUCCUAGGCCCGUAGCGGCUGGUAGCAAGGUGAACGGCGGAGCUCCUACCAUGGAUCGAAGGCUGGGCAUACGACAAGCAAACAAGAGGAAAGAGAGGGGCGGCGAGGCUCACUGCGGGAAGAUGGCAAAGGCGGGCGGCGUCGAGCGGCGAUCGACAGCUCCGGCUCCUUCAUUAGAUGCCCCUCUUCUUUUUCUUCUCUUCUACUUCCCCCCUCCUUCCCUUUCCUCCUCUUCUCCUACUCCUCCCUCCUCCUCUACUCCUUCCCUCUUCUCUCAUCAGGUGGUCGAUGGCGCAAGGGCGAAGCCCCAGGUGGAUGGCGAGGAGAGGCCCCGAGCGGCUCUACUUAUAGGGGAGAGACGGCUGGAGUUCCGGAGGGAGGUUGCGGCUUUAGGGUUUGGGGGCACAACGUCGGUGAUGUGGACGGCUAGGAUGUGGCAUCGCACGGUGCGGGUGACGUGAUGGCCAUCCGAGGCUGCUAGCGCAAAAGCAAGGGCGCAGGCGAGGUCACGGGGCGCACGUGAGGUGCGCGUGAGCGGGUCCGGCGCAGUAGCGAGAAAGAAAGAGAGGGAGAGCGGGGCGCGGGUGCCGACUGCGGGCUAGGCCAGCUGGCCGGUUAAGAGGCCUGCUGGGCUGGUCGUCGAGCUGCGCAGGCGACGCGGUAGAGCAGGCCAGGUCGGCUGUCUGGCUGGGCCGGGGCGAAGGUGGGUGAGGGUGAGGCGCGAGCGGGCCAGGGCGGUGGGCUGCGGCUGGCCUGGUUGGUUAGGAGGGUUAGAUAGGUUUUGUUUUUAUUUAGAUUUAGAUUUAGUUUGAGUUUUGAAUUAGAUUAAAAAUUCAAACACACACUCAAACAUGAUAUCCACAUAAAUUCUAAAAAAAUCCAAAUCAUUCCACACAAGUUUUGAAAUGGAAUUUUGGGAUGAGAGGAGAAUUUGACUACCAUUUUCAAAUAAGCACACAAUUCAAAUAAAAGUUUUAAAUUUUUGAAAAUUUCACUCAAAUAAAUAUUACAAAAUUCUGGAAUAUUACAAACAUAACCACUUCACCUCGUACCCCGAGAAAGCUAUACAAAGCUUAACACUCCUCAACAUCUGAGAAAUUCGGUUGGAACGAAACUCUAGAUUUUUCGGACUGUGUGAGUCCUCCUUGAUUUCCUUGGUGGCAAAAAUAAAAAAGGAAGUGGCUGCUUGGGUAGGGGCAGGGCAAAAAACCUAACGGAACUUUUAGCGCAGUAAUUUUUUUGUUACUCUCUACCUAUUAGCCAGCUUGUAACUCUUCUUCUUUAUCAAUAAAAUAGGCACAAUCUUAUACCCAUUAAUUUUAAAAAAAGAGAUAAAAGCUAACAAUGUUUUCCAUGGAUGGAAACAUUAACGUAAGAAGAUAUACAAGUAACAACCUAUUUGAGACUUCAGUAGUGUUCAUACUAUACCAUACUAGUAGUAACAGUAGCAUUAAGCAGCCAGCUUACAUUGAACAGCAGAGCACAAUACUUGUGUCAGUAUAAAAAAAGACUUGUGUAAGGCCAGCUACACAAGUUAGCUCGCAUUUCAUAAUUAAGUUUCAGAUUUCGUGCAAGGCCAGAUACUUUAGCACUGCACUCUUGAUAAGCGGCGGUCCGCGUGUUUGGUUUCCUACAUCGAACCAGAUCCUCCAGAAUACAUUCAUCCAGGUUCCAGAAAUAUGCCGUCCAGAUGGCUGAACCAUCCUGUGCGUCCAAAACUCUCGAACCACGCCGUCUAGGACAGGCCGAGCAUGAUCGAGAGGCGAACUAUUCACUGUCCGCCUUCCCCUCCACUCAUUAGUCUUUUAUGUCAAUUUAUUUAUCUAACAAAUUUUAUUUGUUUUCUCAUUGUAUCAGAGGUAAAGUUACCACCUAUAGUAAGGAGGUUACCAUACCCUGAUUCAAUCACGUAACCAAACAUGAUCUUGUACCAUCCUGUAUCAUCCUAUUCAAGUAACCAAAUAAAACCAUGUACCGUCCCAUUCAGACAACCAAACAUACAACUUGUAUCAUAUCAUUCAGAAUCAUUCUAUCCAGGUGAACCAUCCCAUACAUGUUCCACUUCAUUCAAGUAACCAAACACUACCCAAGAGAUCCAUUAUUCAUCAGGAUAAGCUAGGAUCGCAGGGGCUCGUUGCGGCUGUGGGUGUGGACCACCAUCUCUUCCUAGCUACCCGCCGCUGGCGGCCGGCGAGUGCAAGACUGGUAGGUUUAGGUAGUGUUUAGUUACUCGAAUGAAGUGGAACAUGUAUGGAAUGGUUACAUUAAGUAGCCAGCUUACAUUGAACAACAGAGCACAGUACUUGUGUCAGUAUAAAAAAGACUAGUGUAAGGCCAGCUACACAAGUUAGCUCGCAUUUCAUAAUUAAGUUUCAGAUUUCGUGCAAGGCCAGAUACUUUAGCACUGCACUCUUGAUGUACCGAAAGGAAGAUUAACAUAUAAGUACAAUACCGAAGUAAUGACUAUGGAAAUAGGCUUAGAAAUACAACUGGAAGCUAGGUACAGUGCAAUAAACCUUAGUGCCUCAUCAUAGCUCCGUUAGCUUCCAGGAAAGUAUAAUGCUGUAUUUGCAGAGAAAAAAAAAAUCACCUUCUAGUGGUGAUCAAGUACGCGAGAUUCUUGCAGUUGCAAUAGAAACAUCUGCCAAACCGGUCCCAUUUGACCACAAUAGCAGCUGCAAAGCCAACGCCGAAGCCAAGCCCAACGAAGAGAAACAAAACCACAUCAAUAUGACGAGAAGACUUGUGCCCAUGUGCCACACCUGGAGGGUGAGGUGAACUACCACAAGGAAAUUUUGGCAAUUGCAGCCCACACAAUCCAGCAUUCCCUUCAAAUGAGCUGCUGUCAAAUGUAGAGAACUGACGUGACUGCGGUAUCUUCCCCACCAAGUGAUUGCAUGACAAGUUUAGGGAGCCAAGAAAGGUGAGAUCAGUUAGCUCUUGUGGAAUGUCCCCUGAGAGUUGGUUGCAGGACAGGUCUAGUGACUCCAAAUCAGUCAUUGCUUCGAAGUUGGGCUGGAAUUUUUCCAGUGAAGGCAUUGUGUGACAGAUUCAGUACGCGUAGUGAUACAAGGCUUCCAAAUGUUUCAGGAAUAGUACCCUCCAAACUAUUUUUUGAGAAGUCAAUUGCUGUUACGGUAGUCAUUCCAAAUCGCAUAUCUUCCCCCUUGUACAUGAUCUCAAUAGAAUAUUGAUAGAAACGUUCUUCUCCGUGUAAGGUGUUUAGAGUUUCGAGAGUUUUCCCAGAACUAUUAAACUCUGCCAUCAUUGACUUUAACUGCUUGAACCAUUGUGGCCUCAAAGUACCAGAGAAGUUGUUUGAGGCAAGAUCGAUAAUUUGCAAGCUAGGGAAACAUUCCUCACAUUUUGUGUCCCCAACAAUAUCACCUAUGGUGCCAUACAUUUGGUUUGAUCUCAGGACGAGUACAAAAAGCUUGGGAAGCCCCCUCAACCAAGGAAAAGCAUCAGCUAUUUUGUUGCUUCCAAAGUCUAUAACCUCCAAGUCUGUACAGUUAGAAAGGCCCCUAGGAAGCCUCCCUUCGAUCUUAUUGCCAUGUAAAUCUAUCGUCUGUAAAUGACAUCUUGUUGUUAUAUUGGAAGGCAGCAUCCUUUGCAAGCGAUUCUGCCUCAAAUUUAAAACACGUAAGUGGAUAUUUUCUAUAAAACAAGGUGGAAUCGGGCCAUUAAGGUAGUUAUAUGAUAGAUCAAGGGCAUCCAGCUCUGUGGCAUUGCAAAUUGAGGGAGAUACAUGGCCGUGUAUAGGGCCAGAAAGCUGGUUGAAAGAGAGAUCAAGGUGAGUUAAUAUAGGAAGACUGAAAAUAGAUGGUGGAAUCUCCCCUGGAAGGACAAUAGAAAACAUUAAGUUAGAAAGUGUUUCCCCUUCUACAAAUUGAAAUCAGAAGAUGCUACCUUCUAUUUUGUUCAGAACAUGAAUACUUGACCCUUUCUCAAGAAAAGUAAAAGUUGAUAUCGUACCAUAGAAAUAUAUAUCCCAAGUUUAUUUAUUUUAUUUUGAGAAAAUUGCAUUACUAGUCUCUAAAUAAAUGGCCAAAACUUGUGUGGUAACCUCGCCGACCCUUGCACUUGUUGCAAAUUACUUUCCCAACCCCCUCAUCUUUGUUGUGCCACGUGUUAGGCAAUGGUUCGAUGCUGGUUCAACUCAUUAAUUUGCUAAUAGUGGGGUGGGUGAGAUUAGUGUGCAAGUUUAAGGACUACCGGAAGAAUUUAGUGCACCUACGGACCAUAGAAUUUCAUAAUCGUAGGACCCAUGAAGCUGAAAUGAUCCGGACCCAUCAUGGAUCAUAAUUUUAUGGUAUUAUGAUUUAUGAUACCCAGUGUAUAGUCCUGUACCAUCAAAAUGAAUUGGUAAGAUCACUUAUAUAGGAUCCCCAUCCGAACAUCAAAAUUUGUUAAUAUCUGAAAUUAAGUAAAUCCAUGAGUAAUUAUAUAUGUUUCUUCAGUUUAAUUCAACAUCUUUUACUCUUUGCAUGACAUCUGACCAUUAAUUGUUUUAAAUUAUGAUUAGAUAAUGUUUGGAGUUAAGUUGAAAUGUAGAAUUGACAUUGACAUGAAUAAGUGGACUUGAGUUUACAAGAAUUAAUAAAUUUAUAAAAAAUAGCAUUGUAGAUUUCUUUUCAAGAACUUGUUUAACUUUUUAAUAUAUGCAUUUUUUACUCAUUACGCUGCAAAAUCCUCCCCCAAAGUUCUUGACACAAUGUCAAACUCAUUUGUUGUGUUUAACCUCUUGCAAUGAUCUAUAUAAGCUGCCAGCUUUUGUAUAAGAGGGCCGGGGUUAGAGAAGUAUAUCGUGUCAACUGCACCAAUGAAGUUAUUUUAGAGUAAACUAGAGCAAAUGAGAAGCUUUAUGAGCCCUAAUACCCAUUUAAGAUUUCCAUUGUUAAUUAUUUUAGUAUUCAACAUUGAGUCAACUUUUCUAAAUAAAAGUUGAUUAGGCUUUUACACAUAGUUUGAAUCAUAGUUAAAUGAUUUAGAAUGAUAUCCAACUUGAAUCAUAAAGUAUACAUUUAGAUGUUUCACAUAGUUUGGCUUUUCUAAAAGUUAAAUGUUUAAAUGAUAUCAUUUAUACUUCAAUAUUUACAAUUAAAAUAUGGAUAAAUUAUAACUCGGUUUUCCCUAAUUAUUGAUAAAAUGACCCAUGUCAAUAUGAAUGUGUUUUCUAAAUAAACUUUGUCUAGCCCAACACGACAGAUGUAUUAAUUCGAUAAGAUGUGUUCAUCUUUCUAAAGUUAAGUGUGUAAUGGGUAUAAUUUAUACAUGAACAUUUAUGAAUAAAAUAUGAUAAGGUUUUACCUCAGUUUUUGUAAAUAAAGUAUAAUUUGCAUUAAUUCCAACAUAGGUUAUUUUUCUUUCUAUAGUAUCCUUCACAUAUGUUUUGUUAAUUAAAAUAAACUGGGUGUGACAAGAGCAAUCUUGGUUCAAAUCCUAUAUACUGCACAUGUGCAUAUUUUGUGUGAGAAAUUGUAUGAUGUGUGACAGCUAGAAAUUUGCUAGCUACAUAUACCUAACUUUUUAUGCGCGGGUGCGGCUGACUAGCUUCUCCAGAGCAAGCAGACUCAUGCCCCUCCAGGUGUAGUUUGGUCAAGGAGGGAGCAGAGGCGCCGGCCACCUCAGAAAUCUGUCACGGUUUAACUUGUCACUUGUGGCAUGUCGGGCGUAGGGCUAUGUUUUUUUUAACUAAAUAGCACAGAAUGGAUAAUACAGCAUUUUGCAAUCGCAAAUAUGUGUGCGUUUGUGGGUAGGGGUAUUGUUACGUACCGUUGAGAGAAUUAAAAGAAAGAUCCAGCAUUGUUAGCUGGGUCAAAUUAACUAUUGAGCUUGGUACGCUUCCGGAAAAAUUGCAAACUCGAAGAACCAAAUUUGUGAGUUCACCAAUUGCAGCUGGCAUUGGUCCUGAAAACCCACAUGAUACUAUAUACAUGUUUCUCAAAUUUGUGAGUUGCCAAUUGGAGCCGGCAUUGAACCUGAAAACCCAGAAUGCUCGAUAUACAUGUUUCUCAAAUUUGUGAGCUUGCCAAUUGCAGGCGGCAUUGGUCCUGAAAACCCAACAUCCUCGAUAUACAAGUUUCUCAAAUUUGUGAGUUCACCAAUUGCAGCUGGCAUUGGUCCUGAAAACCCAACAUCCUUGAUAUACAAGUUUCUUAAAUUUGUGAGUCCACCAAUUGCAGCUGGCAUUGGUCCUGAAAACGUAGAUAAUAUAUGCAAGUUUCUCAAAUUUGUGAGGUUGCCGAUAGAAGAUGGCAUGGAGCCAUAUGUUGUGCAAUCAUCCAUUGCAAGUGUUUGCAAGCCCGUGAGGUUUCCAACUGCAUGAAGUACUGGCCUAGGGAGGUUGCAGUCUUGGAUUUUCAAGUUUUUCAAGUUCAUGAAGUUGCUAAGUAAGGUAGGCGGUACCCCAGAGAAGUUACAUCCAAAGAGUCCCAAACUUGUUAGGUUUUUGUGCUGGCCAAUCCAUGAGAAAAUUGGACCUAAGUCGCUUCCUGAGUCCAAAUCGUGGUCCAACUCAUUAUCCAAAAAACAAUCAAGGUCCAACUGGUGUAGAGACUCAAGUCUACCGAAUGCAGAGAGAAAAUCCAUAGAAAUUAAAUUCCUUUUAAGACCCAACUCCUUCAACGAUGUGAAAUUACUAGAAGGCGUUGGUAUGUCAUAUACCAAGUUGGUCCCAUCAAGUCUCAAAGUCUCUAAAGAGCUGGCAUUAGAAAAGUUUGGCACAUGGCCUGAGAGAUUCAUAUUAUAGGACAAAUCAAGGACCCUUAGAUUUUUUGAUUGAAAGGGUCUAGAUGGUAACGGCCCCUCAAGAUCUGUCUGAGAAAGUUGAAGCACGGUUAAAUUGGGAAAAUCCAUGAAGAACUCUGGAAAUGGACGACCACUAGGUUCAUAAAAGUUUUCUUGGAGUUUGAUCACAACAAGAGAAUGGAGUCUCGAGAGCGCUUUAUGAAUAGGACCACUCAGGUGACAAUCAGCUAAACUAAGUACCUGAAGUUGAGGAACAUAUGCAGCAAGAGAUGUGCCCCACUCUUCUCCACUAUUAGACAAAUCCACCGAGUCAAGGUAGAGCUCUCUUAAGUUGCUGAGGUUUACCACAAAGGUAUCAAAACUUGAUUCCCAUAAAUAGUUAUAAUAAUCAUAAUAGUUUGGACCAUAAAAACCGAGAGAAUAAUCAAUAUUGUAUGUUGAAAGAUCCAAUGAGAGAAGGUUCACUAGUUUACUGAUGCUAGGAGGUAUCUGACCAUAUAAUCCUGAAUUGGAAAGGUUUAGGUGGGUUAAAAAAGUGAACCUCUCAAAACCAGCAGAACGGAUGUUGUCUCCACCGAUGUCAUUCAUGCUAAGGUCGAGUCGCCGAAGUGAUAUGAGGCUGAAGAGUGCAGGGUCCAAGCCAUGACUUGACAAGCAACGGUUGUUGAGGUCGAGAAUGGUGACAUGGCCAGACGAAGGGUCACAGCCAACACCCUCCCAGAGACAACAGUCGGUACCAUUUCGCCAUGAUGAAAGCCUGGUGGUGGAUCUGUGAAGGAGAAGGACUUCUUCAGCUGGAGGAGCGCCUUAGCUUGGUUUGGAUGGCACAAAAAUGAGACAGGGAGGUGAGUGAGGUUACCACCAUCAGCACGGUGGGCAAUAGAGGUGGAGAGUAGUGUGUGUAGCUGAGCAAGAAAGAGCAGUAACACCCAGCCGAUGGAAGCCAUAGCAACUCAGUAUGAGCCGAUGAUAGGCUUACAAAGAGGCACAAGGCAGAUACAUAGUAAUGCGUGACAGAUUGUUAUGCAGCUUCCAGCUGCUGUCAAGUCUUCGUCCAUUAAUAAAUUAAUUAAUUUACGAGUACCAUGGCUAAGCUGUACGCAAUUGCGACACCUGAGGAGACUUGACUGUACCAUGGGCUAGCUGUACGCAAUUGCUACACCUGAGGAGACUUGAUUAGCCUUUCGUCAAAUGCUGUUGGUAUCAUCCACUGCUACAACAGUGACCGGUAAUUGGAAGUCUCACUAUAGCAAGACUUCCAAGUCAACUAAGCCGGCCGCUACAUUCUGAGGAAGGUGGAAUUGAAGAUCAAAUCAAGUUGGGCGUUGGGAUGAAUUAGUCCGCACUCCGCAGAUAACAACAUCGAAUAUGCUGAUCUGAUGAUGUGCUUCAUUUUCUUUUUGGUUGGAGUGGAGCGGCAUCAAGAUCCUACUGCUGUGGAAAACACUGACUUGACUCGUUUUAUCUCGCACAAAACGUGGCUGAAGAUGAUAGUGGUGCUUAAAGAAUCAGCGAGAAGGAGCAAGUAAAAAUGCAGUUGAGCUGCAGCUGAAACAUGUCGCGACGUAUUCCAGCCGCGGUAGUUCUCGUCUUCUCGAAGAAGACGUUGCAGUGUUCACGUCUAGAGCUCAUCCAAUCCAUAGCGUUCCUCCGGCCGAACCGUGCGAUACGAAGGAGACGUCGCGUCACAUGCAUGUUCCUCAGGUCGCCUUUGCCUACGACCAAUAAGACGAUGACACCAGAACCUUUUUGUUUUUUUUUCUAAUCAGCAGCUUUCAAAGCGGGUACCCGCGGACAGCGCUGACCGUGUCAAAUUUGGCGAGCAUUAGCCGCAGUUGCACUCGUCCACCACCACUGAUUGCUGAAGCUCCCUACAAUACAGGGUAAGGAACAUCUAAGAUCUGAGCAAGUAAAGUCAGGAUAUUUAACUAUUUGUCAUUCUUACGGAUGGUGCUCCUUCAAAAACAACUCUAACGAAUUCCUACAUAUCUGUCAUUGAAGAAAGAAUUAGUCUAAACUUUUACCAUUUUUGCAGAUGUGGUGAGCCACGUCCUCGUGCUAGCGUGAAUUGAGCUGGCAAUGACCAUAGUGCCCCUGCCUCCCUCACCUUAGCCAUCCCCUUCCCUCUAUCCUGCCACACCUAUUGCUGCAUGGUCUUUCGUUGUUGUGCGGCUCCUCUGUGGUACAUCGCAGGGGAGGAUACCACGACUUGGAGGUGCCGGGGGGGAGGAGGAUACCGUGUUGAUGCGCAAAUCUAGGUGUCCACUCCUUCAUUGAAGGAUAUCCAAACACGGCCUAUUCACAGACAUGGCCACUUAACUUUCAGCUUACAUCUCUUGAUGUGUAAUAUGGCUCUGUUUGGCAUGGCUCCAACUCCAGGUUUUGCUGCUCAACUUCGGCUGGAGCUAGCUUUGCUUGGAGUUGGAGUUGGAGUUGUGUGGAUGGGAUGUUUGGUAGAAGGGUACCCAGCUCCAAAAAAAGAGGAUUUUCAUAGUUAAUUGCCAUUUUUGCCCCCUGGCCCCACAUGUCAUCCUCUGUAAUACCAAUUUUUUUCCUUUUUUGUGAGCUUAUAUUCUUCCUUGGGACUGAAUCAGCUCGUCUGCUCGCCCAUGGCCCGCGAGGCCUGGCUCGAUUCACCCUACCCAAGCUAGUAACCAGAUAGAGUCAGCAGCGCACCGGAUGGGGGCUAGCAGUGGCAAACAGUUCUAGGUCGGCAGCAGGCGGAUCACAGGACGUUGCCGAUGCACGGGAUAGAGCUUGCGGCGUGUAGAAUGGGCGCGGCGUAGGAUGGGGCCAGCUGGCGACGUGCAGGAUGGGGUGCGCGGGGUGGGGCCAGCGGCGUGUAGGAUGGGUGGGCGGUGCGCGGGACGGAGCCACCGCACAGGAUGGUAGUGGUGUUGGAUGGGUUUAGCGGCGCGCAUGAUGAGGUUGACAUGUAGGACAAUGGCGGUGCGCAAGGGGAACGAUGGCUCCAGCCCUCACGCGCGAUGGCGGAGGCGCAAGGUGAUGGUGACGGCGCAUAGUUGGAUGGCGGCAGCGGCAAGGAUCAAGGAGCAGCGGCACGUGGGCUGAGGGUUGGGUCCUGGGCUAGGGGCGGCACAUGGGUUGGUAGUCACGAGGGAGAUGAAGGUUGUGGGAACAGAUGAAGCGGGGGGGGGGGGAUAGAACCGAAACAUUUUCUUGUGUAACCGACGGUAGUGGUGGGUAAGUAUCUUGUAACUCCACGUCUAGAUACGUUUCGCAGUGUUUUGGAUCUGUGAAAGUGGUGUUCUACGAAAAUGAACUAGAACUCCAAUAACUCCAUGAAGUUAGACUGCUUCAUUUUUUUUUGGAGUUGGGGUGUUUGGCUGGCUUUAUUUUUUGGAGUUCGGGUAUUGUUUUAUUUACAUGGCUUUCCUAUAUAUCUACCGAAAGAUAAUUACUUAUAUAUCGCCUGAUGUUUGAGACUGGUGCAGUGCAAAUAGACCAUGAAGACUGUGGGGAGCAAGAAAUGCAUGCACUGACUACAUACGUGACCAUGGAGUUGGACAAUGACACGUGUCAUCAACUGAAAUGUUGGACGUGGUGGGACAAGUGGGUGAGAGUGGCUUGUUUGAAUUUCAAUCUUUAAAAGAACUUUAUCUCUUAAAUCACAAGUUAUUUUUAAAUCUAUUUAAUUUGAACUGUGGCAUUUCUUUGAAUCGAUUCAACAAAUAAGGUCCAAUGAAAUAUUUUAAAUGUUUUUUCAAAAAAUCAAAUAUACUAGCUCAUGUUACAUAUACUAAUUUAAUAUUUUGAAUAUACAAUUUCAACAUUGUAAUUAAAUUGAUUCAUGUUUUAUAUAACAUGUAAACAUUUUGAAAUAAAAAAUUUUGAUCUAGUUUUUCCAAAAUGUUGACUUAUGGUUUGAAAAUUGUUGAAUAUAGUUGUUUCAAAUUGUUGAUCUAGUUUUUGAAAAAUGUGAAAUCUAAUGUUUUUGAAAUGUUGAUAUAUGUAUUGCAAAAUGCUGAACAUCAUUUUUUCAAUGUUGAUCUAGGUUUCAAAAAAAAUGUUCAAUCUAGUAUUUAAAAAAUGUUGAUCUAGGUUUUGCAAAAUGUUGAAUAGAGAUUUUUAAAAUGGGGAUGUAUGUCCGGCACAAUGUUGAAAAAAAAACAGAGUUGGAAAUCAAUAUACAUGUGUGAGACCAGAUACACAGGUUAGCUCACACUUGACAAUAGCGCAGGUUUUGUGCAAGGCCAGAUGCUUGAGCACAACACACUUAUUUACCCAAAAGAAGAUUAACAAGUACAAGAAGUAACAGCAGAAGAAAGACCAAAGUAUACCGCAACACCUCAUCAGAUCACAGAUCCUUCACUUUCACUAGAGCAUAAUUCAUUCCUUCGAAAGUCACACCUUCCAGCAGCGUUCAAGUUCUAGAAACUCUUGCAGUUGCAAUAAACCAUCUGCCAACCCGAUUCCAUCUCACCAGAAUAGCAGCUGCGAAUCCGACACCAAAGCCCAACCCGGCGAAGAGAAACAAGACCACAUCAACAUGAUGAAAUGACUUGUCUACCUGUGCAACACCAGGAGUGUAAGGUGAAGCGCCAUAGGGUAACUUUGACAGCGGUGGCCCGCACAGUCCAGCAUUUCCUUCAAAUGAACUGCUGUCAAAUAUAUGUGCAGAACUGACGCGAUUGCGGUAUCUUCCCCACCAAUUUUUUUUGAAACUGUAGACCCGGCUGAGAUUAUCGGACUUGUAUUAAUUAAUAGAGAAGAGAGUCACAGGGCCUAAGCCAAAAAUAAAGGAAAAAAUAUAUAUUGAAAUUACAAAUUGGCGGUGUGAAACGGCGAUCAUUCGUCGAUUUGGCAGAUAGAGCCUAAGUGCCUUGCUCCCACUAAAAUCCAACAUCGCGCCUCCUCCUUGAUUUUGCCGAGUAGUUGGUCGAGGCUUUUGAAUUUUUGUUGAAAAACUCUAGCAUUGCGCUCCUUCCAGAUUUCUCAAGACACCAGAAUGAUCAGUGAUCUGAAACCCUUCAGCGGGGUGCCACUCAUUGACCCUAGUUGUGUCCACCAUUGGCUCACAGAUGAAAUUGUAGUCCAAUCUCCUCUAGGCGGGAUGUGUGCAGCCGUCCACUCAAAUAUUUUGUCCCAGACUCGUAGAGCAGAUGCAAUAAUAUUUCGUCGUGCGAGUGACAAAGCAUGCAUACUUUUUGAUUGGGCCAUCCUUGCGUAAUCAAGCGAUCUUCCAUCCACAGUCUGUUUUGAUAGGCGAGCCAUGAGGAGAAUUUGCACUUCGGUGGUGCCCAUGUUCUCCAGAUUAGGUGCUCCAUGUCCGAGGGUAUUGAAGAUUGGAACCGCACCAUGUAUGCCGAAGUUGUUGUGUAUUCACCGUGCUUGGUCAGAUUCUAGGUGAUGGAGUUUGGUGUUCCCGGGUUGAGCUAGAUUGAUCUUGUUCCGGCUCAAAGGAGAGUCAAUUCUGAGAGAUGUGUCGUUGAUGAUAUGAUGGCCACAUUGAUGUCCUAAAUCCACCUGUCGUUGGUUAUGGCAUCCUGACCGUUCUUCUCUUGUUUUUUGAAAUUUUAUACACCGACGGCGCAAUAUUUCUUAGCGCUUCCCCCUGCAGCCAUACCGAGUCCCAGAAUUUGGCCUUCUCCCCAUCUCCUAACGUGAUGGUCAUUGCAGACGCGAACAACUUUUUAUCCUUGUCGUUGUACGGUGUUGGCAUACCGACCCACGGUUUGCGUGGUUCCUUCCAUUCGUGCCAUAACCAUCAUAGUCUCAAUGCUCGUGUGAACUUCUUUAGAUGCAGUAUUCCUAGGCCACCAAGUUUAGUCAGUUUGCAUGCUGUGUGCCAUGCCACUUUACACUUGCCGCCGACAAUCUGAUCUGCACCAGUCCAGAGGAAACGCUUCCUUCAUUUGUCUAUUUCUUCCAGUAUCGUUGCUGGGGCGUUUAGGGCAGAGAGGUAGUAGAUCGGUUGUGAUGAGAGGACCGCCUUGACUAGUGUUCUUCUUCCCGCUGGGUGAGCAUCUUGCCAGCCCAGUUGGCUAAUCUUGCGUUCUCUUUGUCGGAUAAUGUCUCAAAGUGAGCCUUUUGUAAUCUGCCUAGUGUAGUCCUAGGUAUUUGACUAGGAAGGUUGCUCUUGCUGCUGGGAAGGGGGCUAGAAUCGAAUCCAGCUCGAGUCUAUUGCAACAUAUGGGUGCUACCGAGCUUUUCUGAUUGUUAGUGAUUAGCCCGUUGACUUUGCCAAAUUUGUCUAACAGCUCUUUGGUGUUCCGAACAUUCGCAGUUGUCAGAUUAAUGAAAAUUACCGCAUCGUCCGCGUAUAACGAUAGGCGUAAGCGGGCACCACCGCAUCUCCUCCACCUCAAACCAAACCCUAGCUCCAAGCCGCACACGCUAACAUCGACACCCGAGCCACCGCAACCCUAGCUAGCCACACGCCGUCGUCGAUCCGUGCCGUCGCUGCAUUUCCGUCGCCAAGAAGACCCCCAGGAGCUUUGCCGCAAGGUGAGGAAGCCCCUGGUGUGGCUCUUGUGCGCUCCCAUGCCUCUCUCCACGCGCACGAGCUCGCCGGAGUUCGGCAAGCUCGGUUGGGCCGCCUCAUCGAGCCUCCGGCCGCCACUAGCGCCCAAUCCUCCUCCUCAACACCCUAGAUCAACUCUUCGUGUCUGUAGCUUUCUCCAGGGCCAGAUCCUAUUGAAAAUUGUACCUGGAAACUCAAUUCUGAGCAAAGUCCAGCAUGUCGCCGCCGCGUGCCGCUCGCCUCCGCCGCCCGCGCACCGUCGAUCUCCUCUCGGUAGCUGCUAGCCGUACGAUCUGCUUUCGACAGCUCAGAUCCAAUCUAAUCCGAGUCAAACCAGCCGCGUACCGGUCAAACCCCAUGCUGCGCUGUUCGUUUUUCUAAAGAGUCCCUGGGUUUCGAGGUUUUUGCACCUGAGGUCCAGCGUAGUUCAAAGAUCAUUAGAUCUAGGUCCUUUUUCUUCUGUUCUAGCCCCUGAGCUUUUGCAAAAUAGUGCCCACCAUCCUAGAUCCUCUCUUUUGCGCGUUAAACCUUUGGUUUAUCCGCGUAUUUAUGUUUUAGCCCUCGGUUUCUCCAAGCUUAGCUUCUGAAAGUUUUAAAUCUUUGCCAACAAGCUCAUGCACCUUGUUUAGUGCAUAUCUUUAGCGUUUUAGGUCCGUUUUCAGUGCUUCCUGUGUCUAUGAGUUUGUCUUUACGCAUAGAUUAGUUUUAUGAUCUUAUUUCUCUCUAUUGUUACUGAUUGAUGUAAUGUUUUCUUAUUUUAUUCCUUUGCUUGCUUGUAUGUGAUCGUGUGAUGGGUCAGAAGGACUGCAACUCGAGGGAUUCGGAGGUCAAGACUUUGAAGACUAUGAGCAGCUGGAGCAAAUCCAAGAAGCCAAGUUGUGCCCCUGUUCACAACUAAACCUAUGAAACUUUUUACUUUCCUGUUCAAUAACAUUUAUGCCAUGCACUUUAAGUUACAAACAUAAUGGAUCCUAACUAAGGAGUGACUAGUUUUAUUCCCAGUAUAUUGAUCAACCCGGGCUUACAUAAUGUUGGGUAGUACAUGCUUAGUUUCUCAACUUGGGUAUGGUGGUAUUAGUGAACUUGAUGGUUAAACUUGUUUUAUUUAUGCUGUGCUUUUCAUUAACACAAGAUCACCAUGCUUAAAAUUGGAACAUGGAGAACCACCCGGGAAAACAAUACAACCACAAGAACUAAAUGGAUCUGGUCUUGGCUAAUUAAUUAGAGACUUUAGUCUGGGGUAAUCUUACCGAAAGGGCAAGAGGGGCGGUGGCAGAUGGGGUAUAACCCGGUCCUCUUGUGAAGUGAGCUUUGCUAAGAUACUAUGCCCACUAGGGAGGUUUAUACUCUGCAACUGAUCUGGAAACCUUAGCGGGUUACCGCUUACUAGGGGAUCUUUGUAAAGACCUCGUAGCGUCCCUAUGCAAUCACACCUCGGUAGUGUGGUAUUGUGCCUAGCCCGCACAGCAUGGUUGGGUCUAAAGUUCUUUUGAACUUUUACGCGACUUGUGGGUAAAGAUGUGCAACCUCUGCAGAGUGUAAAACUGAUCGAUCAGCAAUGCUCACGGUCAAGAGCGGCCUGGACCCUCACAUGAUUAAAUUAUCGGAAGUUGAAUUAAAUUAUUGUUAUUUAUUUCUGUUAUCUUUAUUUAUGUUCAUGCUUAAUGUGGGUGGUAUAAACUUACAUUUAGUAAAUGCUAAUAAAACUUGACCAACCAAUUAAAAUGCUGACUUGCUAAUCAACCUUAGCCUAUCCUUGAACAGCCUUACACUACACAUUCCUCACGCUUGCUGAGUACCAACCAUAAGUGUACCCACCCUUGCUAAAACCGCUACUCAAAAUAAGUCAACGAUGUGGAGCUCUUCCAAGAUUGGGAGGAGUACUAGGCGUACGUGUUUCUCCAAUCAUCUGCCUGUGAAGUCGCCGUUUUCGUUGAAGAUCCGCUACGAUAAUAAUAUUCUUUUUGCUAUUCAGUUUAAAAGACUAUCGGUCAUGUAAUAAUUGUAUACUCUCUCUACGUUAUGACAUUGUCUUUGUUACUCACUGAAGUCGUCGCAUGUGUGUAAUUUGAUCCCGGUGCACAUGUAAUUUAUGCAUUAGUUUUGCAUUUAAAAUUGGGUGUGACAGAGAGAUACAUGGCCUUUUAUAUUGCUUCUGGACAUGCUGAGAUAUCUGGUGUCCCUAAGAUAGGAAGCCCAGUUGGGUGGGACGGAAGAGAAUCUGUUGUUGGAAUAUCCCAAGAAAGAAGCUGAUGCGUUUGGCAUUGGGAUCUGCCCUAAAAGCUUAUUGAAACUAAGAUCAAGCACUAGUAGUGAUUUACUAAAAGGGAGAACAUCCGAAGCAAGUUGCAUGCCCGUAAGCACGUUAUGCGAAAGAUUCAAAUAAUAAAGGCUACUACUGCUCCAUGUCUCCCAGAUCCGAUUUGGUAUAUCCCCACUGAUUUUAUUAGAUGAAAGAUCCAAAUAUUGUAUAUUUUUAAGACGCAUCAAAGAUGUUGGGAAUCGAAUUAUAUUGCAAGACGCGAGCCCUAAAUAGUAAAGUCUGGCCAAAUAGGUAGCCAAAGGAUUAUUACCAUCUGCAUCCGUGACAUGCAACUCAUUGUAGGAAAGAUACAAACUGGUGAGAUCACUUAAUCUCCAAAAAUGGGAGAGGUUCACGGAACCUAUCAACUUGUUCGAGCUAACAUCUAUAUGUACCAAACUUGUUAGUUGAAAGAAGGCCAUGGGAAUAAAACCUGACAGAACAUUGUUGCUCAAGCGCACUUUCGCCAACCGUGAUUCUGCCUUGUCAAAGCCAUAUAUGGGGCCAGAAAGUUGGUUGUAAGAAAGAUCCAGGACACUUAAUGCAGGAAGACUGAAUAUAGAUGCUGGAAUCUCUCGUGCAAAGACAAUAGAAAACAUUAAGUUAGAAAGUCUCCUCUUCUAGAAAUAUCUGAAUUCAGAAAAUGAUGGCUCCUAUUUUGUUCAGAACAUGAUAAGUUAUGCCACUGAUACUGUACCAGCGAAAAAGCUCCCAAGCCUAGUUAUUUUAUCCUUAGAAAAUUGCAUGACAUGGACUCUAAAAGCCAACACUUUAUGUGGUUACACUUAAAGAGUGUUUUGUUUCACCACUCAGUCCAACUGCAGAACGUGCGGCUAGCGGCCUUCACGGAGGAGCAAACUGGAGCGCAAGAGGAGAAAAUCACCAGAAUCAAGAGAGCUGGGGUAGCAAAUCGCCCAUUUGUUCCUGUUUUGUUGGCGUGCUGUUUAUGGGUAGUGUUGUUUAUUUUUAGGUGUAUGCAAAAAGUAUUCUUGAUGAAAUAUGUUGCAUCACAUAUUCUAGAAUAAAAAAGUGAAAAUAUUGGUGCUCUGUUGAAUUUCAAUUAUAUUGCUGGAAUUCCUUCCUCCAUUUUUUUCUUUUUCCUUUUCUUCAAUUUUCAAUUAUGUUUGAUGGAAUUUCUUUGAUUCAAAUUCGACUAUAAUUUAUUGAGCUUCAUGCACCAAUCGGUUGCACCUAAAGUCUUAACCCGAUUUGGAAGGACGAUAGUUCUAUUAUACUUCAACAUAAUUAACACUCAAAUUCCAAGGAAAACCACUUCAAAUCCCAACAGCCAAGUGGAGCCACAUGGGUAUAGUGGGGAUUUAGGACCUCAUGUUAUACUUGUGCAUUUAACAAAGGUUAGCAACUCUAUUAUAUUUUAAGAGUUUAGGAAUCUAGAUGACUUCAAGGAAAAAGUUCAGAGAUCGAUAAUCAUUAGGAAUAGCCAGACUUUUGGUCCUACAUCGAUUCUUUUUUUCUUAAGCGGCUGGCACCAUUACACUGCCCGACAUAUAUUGAUAGGGUAGGAGGUCUUACAUCCAUUCCACUUGUACAGCAACUAGUGUAACUCAAGGGCUAAACAAUGUGCUCCAAAAAUGCUUGAACAAGUAAACACAAGCCUGAGCAUAUAUUGGGGCCGUUCGGUUGAGCUGGCUGCUGCUGUUAAGCAGCACAGCUGAUCAGCCGGCCAUGCAGCUGCUACAGCAGCGCAUCAGCUAGGCAGUGGCGCAUCAGCUGGGCAGCAGCGGCUGCAGGCAGCUACUUUUGUACCCAGCGAUCAAGUCAAGUUUUGAAAACAAACAAUGUUGUAAACUCAGUUGGAACUGGAUUAUAUAAAAGGCAAAAUUCAAUGAGCAAACAAAGGUCACUUUAAACAAUCAUUGAAAGAGCAAGUACAAAUAUUUUUUGAUUGAGGCUUCAGAAUAUAAUUGCAACAAAUUACAGUACAGAACCACAUUGAUAAUAUUCAGAUGACUAACCUAUUAAAAUAAGAUCACAAAUGCAUACCAUAUUUCAUGAUAAUGUGACCAGUGAAUCAUUAAUUCAUCUAAAAGACACAUUUUUUUUCAGCUCCUUCAGAAAAAAGAAAUACCGUGACAAGCAUUGCCGUCUCAGCUCCUUGAUUGUCUUUAAAAGUAACGUAGGCAAGCAGACAAACAGAGAAAUAGGCCCAAUAUAUUGACUAAAUAUAUGAUACAAGCACAACCACAUAUCUGCAGACAGUGAUAUGAACCAAAUCACCAGAAGCGCUAUCCAUAACUCUCAAACACCUCAUUUUAGUUUCCAAGACCUGGGCACCCUGAUAACAGUCUAGUCUAGCACAAAAUAAAUGGCAUGCAUAUUGAACUCAAGAGUACACAGGGCAUACAAUUAGAACAUUUUAGCCCUACCCUACAAUAGUUGAUCAGUGCUUUCUCAAGUCACAACAACAACAAAUUAGAAAGAAAUUGAUAGGUUAUAUUCAUAACAACAAAAUAGCAAAUUGAGAAAAUAUCUCCGUCAUGUCAACCCAUAAAGUCCCGCUGCAAUCCAAUCACGAACUUUACUAAUAUCAUCGUUGGCAGUAGCGGCAAACCAAUCUGAUGCAGGAUCAUUUUCAUCACUUGUCCUACUAAGAUAGGUCCCAUGAGCAAACAUGUCAGCACCAACCAUUCCCGGUUCGUUGUUGUCCAAUGCAAAAUUGUGUAGCGCAAAGCAUGCAACAAUAAUCUUUGAUUGCUUCUCCAUAUUAUAUAACGGUAUACCUCUUAGAAUCUGCCACUUAUUCUUUAGCACUCCAAAAGAUCGUUCCACAACAUUCCGAAGGCACGAAUGAUGGUAGUUAAAAAUUUCAUUCAAAUUCUCAGGACCUUUGGCAUUAAACUCCGAUAAAUGGUACCUGCCCUUGCGAUAUGACGCCAUAUAACCCUCACGCAGUGGGUAACCAGAAUCCACCAAAUAGUACUUUCCUACAUAUCAACAUUGUUAUACAAAUAGCAAUUUAGAUUGGCACUCCCAUAUGUUGCAUACUAUAAAACUUACAAACAACAUAAGAUCACCUUGGGGUGGGUGAGGGAAAUGCUCAGCUUGGUUUAAAGCCUCCCUCAAAAUAGCAGUGUCAUGCACAGCACCCUUCUUCCCCGUAGCGACAAAUGUGAACCUCAUGCCCAUGUCACAAACGGCUAAGACAUUCUGGCUGGUGAACCCCUUUCUAUUGAUAAAAUCAUCAUGUGCGUGCUCAGGGACUGACACCGGAAUGUGGGUUCCAUCUAUAGCUCCUAUGCACCCAUCAAAAUAUGGUGAGAAUUGAUGCAGCUUAGGAUGCACAUACCUGAACAGUGGAUCCAUUGGUCUAAUAAUAGUACGUGCAAAAGAGACCACGGCAUCUAACACUUCACCGAACUUCCGACUCACGGUGUCUAGUGACCUACGAAAUCUAUCCGACAUUUGUCUCUGGCAUUGUCUUGUGCCACAUGCCCAUAGGAACAUCCCUAAUGCCUCAACUGAAUCACAUUGUCGUGUGGAUUUUAGCCCAUGGUUGGACACUAAGAUUGAAUGCAACAACUGGAAUGCAGAUGGAUGGAGACGGAAAUUUUUGUAGCACUUCUUACUGUCAGCAAGGUUAAUAGCAACCCAUUGACGCCCAGUCAACUCCUGCAAGUGCAACGGACCAUCUUGCAUGCCACAUGCACUUGAGGUAGACGAUGCAUACGCAGCUAACACACCAAUGGUUGCACCCAUGUACCACCAUGUAGACCCCUCAUCGUUCAACCUUGCUGGUGAGGUGCUGGUGUUGCUCGAAUUUUCGGAGCUUGACUUUCCUUUCAUUUUCAGACCAUAACAGUGAUCAGUGGUCCCAGCUUCUGUAAUCAGCGAUCUGGAACAAAUCUGAUUCUUUGUUAAGCCUAGAUAUGCUAGUUUCAAGACGACAUAUAAAAAGCAUGCCAUGUUUUCUUAUCUAAGAAUCUCUAAAACAAAAUAAUAGCAUAUUCAGUACCCAUCUUUUAACAUGUUGUGCCCCUUUUCUUUUCUUUCAAAAAUCCUAAGUACUUAAAUAUGGAAAUAUGAUUUCAUUGCAUACCUUUACGAUCCAUUUGACCUUCACUUGUUGAUAGCCACCUCAUUCAUCGUGAAGACCUUCAGGCUGUAAGGUUGUAAACAAGAAUUUCCAAAAUGUUAAAAACAACAGUAGCAGCAUCAUACUCAAGUGGAACGACACAAAUUUAUAUGGAUUAGUAGCAUGAAUAAUCAAGGUCUAACACAACAUAAUUCACAUUACAAACAUGAUGCCACACCAUGCCAUAGUCACAGUACAAAUACACACAUUCCUAGGUAGAUGCAAAUACAUUGUAAUCAUGGACCGGUAUUACUUCCUCUUGACAUUAUCCCAAGUCCAUCGGAGCCAUGCAAUCCGGUUCUCUGAAGCGGUAAUGCUCCUAUAAGAUGCACGUCGGGCUGGUGAUCUAAACAGCUCAGUAGCUAUGAAGUACAACUCAGACCCAUUCGGUACACCAUCUUGUUCGACAAGGUGCAGCAUUUCCGUAACCUCCUCUUCCUCACGGCUGAUUAGAUUUCUUUCAUUCAUAGUCCUUUGAAUCAUGCUCUCAGAUAUACGCUCGACAUAGUACUCCAUGCUCUUAGUUCUCUUGGGUGAUGGGCUAUCAACAACAUGCUCCUUUCCGGACCUUUGCGACACACGACCCACACUAGACCGUCCAACAGUGUCCUCCAACCAGUCAACAUUUUCAUCCACCAUUGGGUCAGGGGUGUCUUCACUUCCACAGCUUGGUGUUCUAUCUUCAAUUCCACCAACACACAACAUUGGACCGCCUUCAAUGUCCGUUGUCCCGAAAAGAGUGGUUAACUCAUCAUAGAAUGGAAAUGUCUUGCCACGGAAAUAUUUGUUUGCCUCGUUCUCCUAGAAGUCAUAAAUAGGAAAUAUGUAAGCAUGAGGGCAAUCCGAGGUCAAAGCCGAAGGUAAAUGAUAGAAAGCCAUAAUUAUUAGGACAAAAAGUAGGUAACUCAAUUCGGGCUGCCCACCAUUCAUCAUCGCAAUCAAUGGUGCGGGUACUGUUGUUCCACCCGGUACCACUCUUGUCCUUUAGUUUCCUCCAAUCCUUGUAUUGCCUCUUAAAGGCAUUAAAUUUGUUCUGAAGCUGUUUGCAGGAAUAUUUCCUGCCCAUCUAUUGUUUGAAAUUUGUAUACAGGUUGUGCCAACCUACCUUGGUUAGGCCCCUUUUGUUGUAGUUGAGCUUGUUCUUCUCAUCAAUGCAAAGGUCUAGGAAUAUUUUUGUAGUGUUAUCAUCCCAAUUGGCACGACCUGCAUCCAUCUGUGUGCUACUUUGAAUUAUAUGCCUUCCUAAGUACAAGGUGCUACUUUGAAUUAUAUGCCUUCCUAAGUACGAGGUUUGUAUGCCACACACGCAGUAGCAAUGACAACAUGCAAGAUACGAAUCAACAUUUAUCACAAAGGGAACAAAAAAGAUGGAACUGAUGCUUGCCUCAUUGUGCUUACGUCUUGCAGGAGUUGUACACAGCAGGAACCGAGGGGCUUCAUGUGGAGACCAUGACGAUGUAGAGGAGUUUGCCAGUGCUGCUGCCUGUGGAAGUUUCUUUUUUUGGCACACAAGGAAUGCUCUCCUUAGCUAGAGUCGUAUUUACUACUGUAAAAAGAAUAUAUAAAGUGAGAAAAAUUUAAAAGUCAGCCUAAACAUUGUCAUAUUUUAAUGCAGGAAGUAAAUAGUAAUGAGCAAAAAAAAAGAAGAAUAAUAUUUACUGUCAAAAGGGAGGAGAGAAUUUACAGUCACCUAAUUUUUGCAGGCACUUCCCAAUUCCCACCCACUGAAUGUUACUGAGUGGAUUUAGUGGUUUCUAUCACUAAAACUAGCCACUAACAAGAUGAAAGCAGCAGCAGUGCAGAUGCAAAAUAGCAAUGCCCGUGGUGGUGAUGGCCGCAUUUGUGGCACUCCAGAGUAGCAGCAGUGCAGGUGCACCGUCCAGUUCAGUCAGAUAGAUGAGCGUCAGUUGAUUUCCGAGGGCAAGGCAGAUCAAGCUGGCAAUGCAACAUGCAGGCAGAGGUAGCCAACAAUGCAGCCCUUUCAAUUAGAGGUACUGGUCAGUGCAGCUGACAAAAGCACACCAGUAGUAUGCAAGUUCAGAGGUGGUCACUUGAGUUUCAGAUUUGGAACACUUUUGCCUCUUUCUAAAAAUGAGCAGUAAGUAAAAUUGGUGCAAUGGAUUGUUUGCCUGGCGUCUUACUGCCUAUUCUAGCAUAAUUGACCUGAACGCCCCUAAGGUUGAGCAUAGCUCAUGUUUGUUCUGAAUACAGGGAGUCAAUAAGUCUUAUAUAUUUUGUGUUUGCUAAAUAAAAAUUAUAUUACAAUACUACCAAAUGCAUAUAAAUAGAAAGAUAAUAAAUUAACCAAAUGAUAGAUCGGUCUAGUCCGAAACAUCUGUUGGAAACACGCCGGAGUAACUCCGAAACGUCUGUUGGAAACAUGCCGGAGUAACGACUCCCAGGUCGCCGGCGAGUCUCCUGGCCAAAGCACAGGGACACACACGCACACACAGGUAGACACUGAAUUGGUGCUUGCUAACUUGGCCCUCUUCCUUGGCCUUUAUGCCUUGUAUUUAUAGACUAUUACAAGGAAAGUAAUCAGGGCUUCAAUCAGCCCGAUGCACACAGCCACACAAUUGCUAACUGUCUAUUUGCCAGGGCUGUCAUGGAACAUUACAUUUCUGUAGAUGAUCAACAACCAUUACCAUGAGUUACCAUUACAACAAUAUGCUCCUGUCGUCCAACAUACACAAGAUGCACUUACAGUACAGAGCAGAAUAAUGGGAAGCCUUCACACUUCACACUAGUGUAGCUAACAAAAUUGAAGGCACAUGAGAUCUUACUGCCUACUCUACCAAAAUUGACUCAAUUACGCACGAUAUAAGAGGUUACUGCCUAAUGUAAGGCAAAAGAGAUCUUACCCCCAGGUUCUCUGUUGAGAUGCACAAAAUCUAGCAGCAUACAAAUGUAGAUCGAGAAUGGAGAGGAUUGGCGGAGCUGGGUGGACCGGCGAUGGUGGGACGGAGCGGCGGGGCGGAGGUCGGCGGGGGCGUGGCUGGCCGGCGCCGGGUGAGGGGCGGAGCUGGAUCGGGCGCGGACGGUGGGGCGGAGAGGAGGGGCAGAGAGGAGGGGCCGCGACGGCGGGGCGGAGGCCGGCGGGGGCGGGGCUGGCCGGCGGCAGGGGAGGGGCGGAUGUAGGUGGGGCGUCGACGGCGGGGCGAAGAGGGGCGGCGACGAUGGGGCGGAGUCUGGCGGGGGUGGAGCUNNNNNNNNNNNNNNNNNNNNNNNNNNNNNNNNNNNNNNNNNNNNNNNNNNNNNNNNNNNNNNNNNNNNNNNNNNNNNNNNNNNNNNNNNNNNNNNNNNNNCGGCAGGAGGCCCGAAAUUCAAUCUUCCCAUCGGAAUCUGGGAAAUGUAAGGCCGCGGAAAUGGGCCAGAGUCUGGCGGGGGUGGAUCUGUUUUGCGGCGGGGGAGGAUUGGAGCUGGGUGGGGCUUCGAUGGUGGGGCCGUGCCGGCGGGGGCGGGGGCGGCCGGAGGCGGACUGGGCGGCGGGCGCUGUUCGGGAGAUGCAGGACCUGGACAGGGAUUAAGUGCAGCUGUUCGGCUGCCUUGCUGGGCUGUUGCUGUUGGGCCGCAGCCGAACGGCUAGGCUGCACAGCAACAGCUGCAGCCGCCCAAGUAGCUUAAGCGAACGGGCCCAAAAAAAGACACGGGAGACAAUAUUCACUAGUAGAGAAUUCACCUUCUAUACGUCCCAUUUUGUCCCGGUUUAAAGUUGGCCCGGGACAAAAGGUUCACCAACCGGGACUAAAGCUCGAUCACUGGUGGGGGGCUCACCAACCAGGACCUUUUAUCCCAGUUGGAAAGGCUAGUGGAAAAAAAAACCCUGAGAGGCCUUUUAUCCCGGUUUGAAACAUCAACCGGGAUAAAAGGGUCCCCACGAGUUAAUACAAAAAGAUUGCAUCCCCUAUAUAGUCAGAUGUGCUGUGUAGGUGGGAUGGCAAGGAAGCUACGCGCGAGGGUGGAGGUUGCGGGUUCGAAUCCCACGCAGUGCGCACGCGCAUAUUUUGCGUGAAAAAUCGCGUGACUUGUGACUUGCGACGUGUGGGGGGCCCUCCCGGGAUUUCUUUUUUCUUUUUUGCAGCGGGGAUAAAAGGGGACCCGGGACAAAAGACCCCCCCCCUGUCUCGGUUGGUUUAUCUCCGGAUGGAUUUUCGGAAGAUUUGCAUCCUAGCAACCGGGACUAAAGGCCAAUUCUCUACCGGUGAUUAUUGUUACCUUGGAGAGAAUUAAAUGAAAGUUCCAGCAAUGUUAACCUAGUCAGAUUAGCUAUUGAACUUGGUAUGCUUCCAUAAAAAUUGCAACCUUGAAGAACUAACCAUUCCAACUCACUAAGCUGGCCGAUUGCAUAAGGUAUCAACGACCCAAAAUUCUGAUGGCCUAUUGGGCAAGGUGUCGGAGACAGAGAAUUAUAACCAAGAAUACGCAUGGAUUUCAAAUUAGUGAGGUUACCAAUUGCAUCCGGUAUUGGUCCUGAGAACCCACAAUUAUUUAUAUACAUGUUUCUCAAAUUUGUGAGUCCGCCAAUUGCAGCCGGCAUAGGCCCUGAAAACCAACAAUCAAUUAUCCACAUGAUUUUCAAUUUUUUUAGUUUGCUGAUUGCGGUCGGCAUUGGCCCUGAAAACCCAGAAUCAAUUAUACCCAUUUUCCUCAAAUUUGUGAGGUUGCCGAUAGAAGAUGGCAUGGAACCAUAUGUUGUGCAGCGAUCCAUUUCCAGUGUUUGCAAGUCCACGAGAUUCCCAAUUGCACAAAAUACUUCCCUAGGGAGGUUACAAUCAACCAUUUCCAAGCUUCUCAAGUUCUUGAAGUUGCUAACCAAGGUAGGCGUUAUCUCAGAGAAGUUACAUCCAUAGAGUGCCAAAUUCAAACUCAUUAGGUUCUUUUGCUGUCCAAUCCAUGAGAUAAUUGAUCCUAACUCAUUGAGUCCAGCGUGAGGUCCAACUGGCACAGGGACCUAAGUCUACCAAAUGAAGAGAGAAAAUCCACCGAUAAAUUCCCUCCGAGACUCAAAUGCUUCAAGGACUUGAAAUUAUUAGAAGGCAUUGAUCUGGCAUAAGAAAAGUUGGUCCAGUCUAGCCUCAAAGUCUCUAAAGAAUUUGGAUAAGAAAAGUUUGGCAAAUGCCCUCCGGAUUAUUGGACAAAUCGACAACUCUUAAUUUUUUUUUAUUGGAAGGGUUUGAUGGGGAACCGCCCCUCAAGAUAAAUACUAGAAAGUUGAAGCACAGUUAAAUUGAUAAAAUCCAUGAAGAUUUCUGGAAAUGGACCGGCAGUUAUAUCACCAUUUCUUUGGAGGUUGAUCACAACGAGAGAACGGAACCGCGAGAGAGACUCAUGAAUAGGACCACUCAGGCUGCAAGUGGCCAAGCUGAGUAUCUGAUGUCGAGGAACAUGUGUAGCAAGAGAUGUGCACCACUCUUCUCCACUGGUAGACAAAUCCACACUGUCAAGAUAGAGCUCUCUUAGAUUACUGAGGUUUGCCACUAGGGCAUCAAAAUCGGGUCCCCACAGAGAGUUAGAAGUGACAAUAUAGUAGGAGCUGUCGGAUGUGUCAUAAGCAUCAUCAUCAUCAUCUUCAAAGGACUGGAAAGAUCCAACGACACAAGGUUCACGAGUUUACCGAUGCCAAUAGGUAUCUUGCCACACAAGCCCAAAUUGGAGAGGUUAAGGUGAGUUUGUUGGAAAAAUAACGUGGUGGUCAAAAGACCGAGAGGAAAAUGGGAAGGAUAAGAUUGACGCCCGACUCCGACUCCCUCGCGCACGUCCACCCCGCGCCUCGAUCGGAGGUGCAACCGAACAAUUGGUUGCGGCCCCGAGCGACCCGGCCCCGAGCGACCCAACUCUAUAAGAGAAGGGGGCCGGUGGGUUUGGAACAUGCCAACGCACCAAACCCUACUCACACCCCCUACAUGCCUCCCGAUCACAGUGGCGUUGGAGUUGCUCGAAGGCCGUCGCCACACCACCAUUGCCGUCUGUGGACAGAAGAGGUGGAGACCUGAAGGGAGACGCAAUCUACUCCGAGCUAGUACACCUAUGGCACCCGUCAUCCCGGCCUCGUCCACGACCCUAAUGGCCGGAUCGUCACAAGCAGUGGCAGCUGGUUGUACUCUAACAUCUUCAUUGAGUGGUGUUCAUGUUCUAGAUGUGCAAAGAUCCUGUUUUAGUUAAGAUUAAGUAAUGUAGAUUCUUACAUUUGGUAUCAGUUAGUCAAUCCCAUCUAGACUUGGAUCCUAAGGCUGUGUAGAUUGAAUCUUAGUGUGCAAUUGAGUUGAAUUGUACUGGUUUUCUAUGUUCUUGAUCUACACAGUAGCUUUCUAGUACGAAUUGCUAUGCUAUUAGGCUUAAUCUUCUUCAGCUACAUGUCAAUGUUCAAGUUUUAGUUCACUGACUUGAUCUGUUAAGUCAGAUUAGACCAAAUUAGUUCUCAGUUAGCCUAAUUCCAUGCCUAAGCUACUAGAUCAGUUCUUAAUUAAGUCUAAAAUCAAGGUUAAUUAAGUCAAUUAAGUUAGUCUCUAUGUUUAAGUUCAGUUAUUUAGGUCGAGGUCUACUGUUUUCCCCAAACCCCACUGUCUAGCUCCAAUCUGUGCAAUUAAGUCCUCAAUCAGUAAAAUUGGACACGCAAAAGCAUGUAGAAGGAGAGGAAUUGGGCGAAUUUCAGGUCGAAUUAAGGAAAACCCAAAGAAAAUCCCCAUCAGAAAUCCUAACCCUAACUCAAGGAUAAGAACUUACCUCGAAUCACGACGGCCGCAUAGGGCAUGAUGGCCGCUGCGUGUGGAUGCCGGCGUGCACCUCCGCUGAGCCACACCGGCCAUAAGCACGCACAUGAACAAGUCAAGCCGCGGGCCCGGAUGCGCCUCGGUCUCCUUCCCGUGACCCAACCCGCGGCAUCAGAUCCUCCACGCACGAACCUGUCGACGCCGCGGCAAGCUUCAGGUUAGCUCGCCAUCACCGGUCUUGCGGCCGACCGCGCCUUCUGCUCAGUCACCCCCUACCAUGGAAAAGUGCUCCAGUGGAGCCCCCUGACGGCGCGCCGCGCGACUUGGUCGCAUGCACGCGCCGGUGGGAGGGCCCGCAGAGGCAUGGGCGCAGGGUGGCGGCGCAGCUCAUCGGCGGCUGCUGCUCGGGGUUGGGGCAGAAGCAGGCAGAGAAGAGGGGAGGGUUGCAGUGGAGACAGGCAAAAAUGGCCUAGGGUUCGGGAGAGGCGCAGCGCUCGCCGGUUUUGUCCCACCGAAACUCGCGCUCCGCCGUCGGAUGCAACGGAUGGCUUAGAAGAGCGCGGACAAGCGCAGCGCGCUGUUGGGCCAGAUUGGCGGCCCACCCAUUGGCUGCUGGGCUUAGAGUCUAGGCCGGCGCGAGGAACCCGGCAUGGGCUGUUAGCUGGGCUUACUCGGACCAUGAGAAGGCGCGGGCCCACUUAAACUCUGUGUGGCACGUGCUCUUUAGGGCCAUGAGGAAGGAACGCCGUGCGCCAUCGUUCUUGCACGAUUGGGCUGCCUGCGAGCAGGGCUUGCGAAGGUCGUUAGCUAGGCGCGGACUGGUUGUUUUGCGCUGGGCCGAUUUCGGCCACUAGCGGGCUGCUGCUUUUUUGGCUCGCACGGGCCGUCAGAUCGCUGGCAGGCCAGCGGGCCAUUUUGCGCUUGCAUCAGUUGGGCCGUCAGUUGAUAAGUGCGCACUUGGGCUAUUUCGGGCCAAUAAGGGGAGGUAGCUACGGGCCAAAAGUUGAGUUUGCGCUGGUUUUAAGAUUGAGCACGGUCCACUGUUUCUCCCAUUUGUUAUGCUAAUAAGUGUCUAAGUUGCACAUAGUUAAAUAAAAUAAUAUUCUGAUUAAAUUGAACCAACACGAAAUUUAUUUCACAAUUAUUUAUUAAGGCAUGCAAUUAAUUUCUGACCAAUGUUGAUAUUAAUUUGAUAUGCAUAAGUGUUUUAUUUAAGUUUUAAGUUAUUUUGCUUCCGCCCAACAGUGAUGCGAAAUUAAUUCAUGUUAUUUUAUUUAAGUUUUAAGUAUUUUGCUUCUUCCCAACGGUGAUGCAAAAUUAUUUCAUAUCAUUUUAAUUAUGUCUUUGCUUCUACCGAAUGGUGAUGCAAAGUUGUUUAUGUUUUUAAUCGAGCCAACGCAGAUUAAAUUUAUUACUUAUUAUUGUUAUCAUUACUAAUUGAAAUUCUCUCAUUUACUCAGACUUGACUCCAUCAAGCAUCAUAAGCUAUGUCAACAGUACAGAGAAGCUUGGAGGAGACAACUUCACUAAUUGGAAGAACCAGAUUGGAUUGGUCCUAUGCAUUAUGGAUCGGGACCACUUCAUGAGGGAGAAUCAUCCUGUUGCUCCGACUGCUCAAGGGGAUAAUGAUAGUACCCUUCCUGAGCGCACUGCUGCCUAUGAGAAGGAAAAAGAGCGGUAGGAGCGAUCAAACAGGGUGGCCCUAAUGAUCAUGGAGCGGACCAUAAACCUUGCAAUAAGGGAAGCUAUUGAGAAAAAUCCCAAAAGUGUCAAACAUUUUAUGGAGAAGGUUGAGGAGUACUUCAAAAGCUUCAGUAAGGCUAAUGCUAGCACCCUCCUGACUAAGUUAAUGAACACUAAGUAUGAUGGGCAAGGCAAUGAAAGGGAGCACAUCAUGAGCCCCGUUGACCUAAGGGAUAUGCUCAACGACUUGAAUUGCCCUCUUAAUGAUGAGACACUGCUUCACCACAUCAUGCUUUCGCUGCCCUCAGUGUUUGAACCCUUUAAGAUAAACUAUAAUGGCAGCAACAUGAAGUGGGAUAUUCCCACACUCAUCAUGAAGUGUUCUCGGGAGGAAGAAAGGCUCAGAUCAGAGAAAGGCAAUUUUGCCAACCUCAUCAGGCAUGAGGUAAAUAAGGGAAAAAAAUAAGCAAAUUGUCCCUUUUAAGAAAAUUAAGAAGCCUCAUCAACCUUCUCGUAAGAAUGAUGGGUCAUCCUCGUCUAAGGGUCCAAAAUGCCAUCAAUGCGUGGCCUAUGGGCACAUCAAGAAGCACUGUGAAAAGUUAAAGGAAUGGUGCAUAAAAAAUGGUAAUGAUGACUUUAUUUCUACAGUCGAUGAGUCCCUUUAUGUUGAUUUUUCAUUAAGUACAUGGUGGAUUGAUUCUAGGGCAACCAUUCAUAUUACUGAUUCCUCACGGGGAUUACAUGGCGCACAGACUAUAAGAAAGGGGACUCGCGCCGUUAAAGUUGCCAAUGGAGUUGAAGCUGAAGUUGAGGCUGUUGGAGAUCUCACUUUAGAACUUAGUAGUAUCUUUAGGCUUCAUUUAAGUAAUGUUCUUUAUGUACCAUCACUUAAGAGAAACUUGAUUUCUAUUUCAUCAUUAGAUUGUGAAGGUUAUUCCUGCAACUUUGGGAACAACAAGUAUGUAAUAAGUUUUGACAAUAAGAUUAUUGGUCAUGCCCCUUUACAUGAUAAGCUUUACUUGUUGCCUCUAAGUAUUAAUUCCUCUGUGACGAAUGUAAGCGAUGCCAACCAUAAGCGAAAGAGAAACAUUGAGACUUCGUCAAAAUUGUGGCACUUCCGCUUAGGCCACAUCACAUUUCGAAGGGGAGAAUGGAGCGUCUCAUUAGAGAAGAGAUACUUCCAAAAUUAGAUUUCUCUGACUUAGAUCAAUGCGUUGACUGUAUUAAGGGAAAAUUUGCAAAACAAAUUAAAAAGGAUGGAGCUAAGCAGAGUUCAGGAUUAUUAGAAAUAAUUCAUACUGAUAUAUGUGGUCCAUUUAAUGUAAGAUCAGUGGAUGGUUAUAAUUAUUUAAUUACCUUCACUGAUAAUUUCUCCCGCUAUGAAUACAUCUAUCCCAUACUCGAAAAGUCUGAAGCACUUGAUAAGUUUAAAAUCUUUAAAGCUGAAGUAGAAAAUCAGCAUGACUAAAAGAUCAAAGUGGUAAGAUCAGAUAGGGAAGGGGAGUAUUAUGGGAAACACUCCACAUAUGGACAAAUUUUGGGACCCUUUGUCAGAUUUCUCCGAGGUAAUGGUAUAGCAGCUCAGUAUUCCAUUCCUGGUGAGCCUCAGCAAAAUGGUGUUGCUGAGAGAAGAAAUCGCACCGUUAUGAACAUGGUGCAUAUUAUGCUAUGUAACUCUACGCUGCCAGUGAGUUUGUGCAUGCAAGCUUUAAAGACUGCCGCACACAUUAAUAAUUGUGUUCCUAGUAAGUCAGUCCCUAAGACUCCUUAUGAGCUUUGGACUAGUAGGAAGCCUAUAUGAAUUAUUUACAUGUAUGGGGCUGCGCAGCUGAAGUAAAGAUUUUUAAUCCACAACUUGGGAAAUUAGAUCCAAGACUGAAAGCUGUUAUUUUAUUAGAUAUCCAGAAAAGUCAAAGGGGUACCUCUUUUAUUGUCCUAAGCAUACCACUAAGUUUGUGGAGACAAGGCAUGUUGUUUUCUUAGAGGAAACUGGAUGCACUGAGGCUAGGAAAAUUGAUCUUGAGGAGAUUCGAACUUAUGAGCCGUUACCCAUAAGAUAGGAUUAUCAUACUCCUAUGCCAUAUACCACAGUUACAUCUCAGGUGGUGGAACUUCUAGUAGAAAAUGUGGGAGUAACAUCUACCUUAAGUGAUAAUGUAGAUGCACCUUUGAUAAGUGAGCAUCAAGGUGAGGAUGUGGUAGAACCUGCUGGUGGAUUGCAAGGGGAGGCAACUGAUGAGCCCGAGGUGAUUCAGCAGGAACCUGCUCAAGUAGAAGCACCACAGGAAGUAACACCACAACAUCUGAGAAGGUCAACAUGUGAGAGGAAGUACACCCGUUUCGAUGAGUAUGUGUACAUAAGUGAAGAAGGGCACAACAUGGGGAAGGUGGAUGGUCCAAACUCAUUUAAGGAGGCUAUAAUUAGUGAACACUUGCAUAAGUGGAGCGAGGACAUGGAAGAAGAGUUGAAGUCCAUGGAAGCAAAUAGAGUAUGGGACUUAGUAGAAAUUCCUGAAGGAGCCAAAACAAUAGGCUGUAAAUGGGUCUACAAAAUGAAAUAUGACUCUAAAGGGAAGAUCAAAAGGUUCAAAGCAAGACUCGUGGCUAAGGGCUUCACUCAAGUAGAAGGAGUCGAUUAUAAUAAAACCUUAUCGGCUAUCUCAAAGAAAGAUUCAUUUAGAAUCGUUAUGUCUUUAGUAGCUCAUUAUGAUCUUGAGCUACAUCAAAUCGAUGUUAAGAGUGCGUUCCCUAAUGGUGACUUGCAUGAGAAUGUAUACAUGAAGCAACCUGAAGGUUUUGUCGUGGAAGGCAAGGAAUAUUUGGGAUGCAAACUAUGAAAAUCCAUUUAUGGAUUGAAACAAGCAUGCAAAAAAUGGUACCUUAAGUUUGAUGAAGUAAUUAAGAGAAUUGGCUUCAUUGAAAAUAAGAAAGACAACUGCAUAUAUGUUAAGACUAAGGGGAGCUCUAUAAUCAUCCUAGUGCUUUAUGUGGAUGACAUCCUAUUAGCAAGCAGCGAUAAGAACUUGCUGCAUGAGACAAAGGGCUUUCUCUCAUUGAACUUUGAUAUGAAGCACCUUGGUGAUGCCGCUUAUGUCUUAGGCAUUGAGAUUCACUGAGAUAGGUCCAAGGGUGUAUUAGGACUCUCUCAAAGAGCUUACAUAGAGAAGGUCCUUGAAAGAUAUAAUAUGCACCAAUGUUUAGGCACAACUGCUCCAAUUGUCAAGGGCGAUAAGUUUGGGUCAUUCCGAAGUCCUAGGAAUCAAUUAGAAAUUGAUCAAACAAGAACGAUUCCUUAUGGUUCAGAUGUCGGAAAUAUAAUGUAUGCACAAGUGUGUACACGCCCUAACUUGGCCUUUAUAAGCAGGAUGCUUUGAAGCUAUCAGUCUAAUCCAGGAAUAGGCCAUUGGGAAGGAGUUAAGAAAGCUUUGCGUUACAUGCAAGCACUAAGAAUUACAUGCUAACGUAUAGGAGAACUGAGAAAUUAGAGAUAAUCAGCUAUUUCAGAUACUGAUUUUGAGGGUUGUGUUGGCACAAAGAGAUCCACAUCAGGUUAUGUCUUCACACUUGCAAAUGGCGUUAUAUCGUGGAAAAGCUCCAAACAAACAUUAACAGCUGCAUCGAUGAUGCAAGCUGAGUUUGUGGCAUGUUAUGAAGCUAUGGGACAAGCUGUAUGGCUUAAGAGUUUCAUCCUAGAAUUAAGAGUGGUAGACAGCAUAAGUAGGCCACUAAAAUUAUACUGCAAUAAUAAGUCAGUAGUUUUCUAUUCGAAUAACAACAAGUCAAGUGAUGCUGCAAAGCACAUUGAGAUUAAGUAUCUUGAUGUGAAAGAUAGAAUCCAAGAUCACACCAUUGAGUUAGAGCAUAUAAGUACUAAGAAGAUGCUUGUGGAUCCAUUAACAAAAGGCUUAUCUCCCAUUAUAUUCAGUGAACAUGUUGCCAGCAUGGGAUUAUCGGAUAGCUUGUGAUCUUGGAGGGUCAUAAGACAACUGCCUCCCAUCAUGAUAGGUAGUUUUAUACAUUGUGGACAACUGUGUCAUAGUGGGAUUUUAAUCAUCAUUGUCACACAUUAUCUCCCUGCAUAAUGCUGCUUUAAGAAUGGCAUAAAUUAUAGGCCUUUAGACCAAAGGGGAGAACGUUGGAAAAAUAACGUGGUGGUCAAAAGGCUGAGACGAAAACGGGAAGGAUAAGAUUGACGCCUCCCGAUCACGGUGGCAUUGGAGUUGGCCAAAGGCCGUCGCCGCACCACCAUCACUAUCCAUGGACAGACGAGGUGGAGACCUAAAGGGAGAUGCGAUCUACUCCGAGCUAGUACACCUACAACAUCUGUCAUCCCGGCCUCGUCCACAACCCUAAUGGCCGGAUCUUCACAAGCCGUGGCAGCUGGUUGUACUCUAACAUCUUCAUUGAGUGGUGUUCACAUUCUAGAUGUGCAAAGAUCCUGUUUUAGUUAAGAUUAAGUAAUGUAGAUUCCUACAGAGUUAACGAAGCCAACCUCUCGAUUCCAGUAGUAGGGAUGUUUUCUUAUGGCAUAUCUUGUGCCCCACUAACAUCACUCAUGCUAAGGUCAAGGCUAUUAGGCAAUGUAUAGCCGUAUAUAGCUGAUUUAUAGCUUUCCAUGUAUACUGAUUGUAUUCCUUGUAUACCAAACCAUAUUGGCUAUAUAAUAGAGGUCACCCCCCUCAUUAGGGUUCGUGGUGUUUUCCCAAACUCUAUCUAUCUACAUGGUAUCACAAGACCAGGAUCAAUCUGACAGGGACUUUCCUUCCGCUCCACCUCUCCCUGACGCGCCUAACCCUAGGUGCAGCUCCUGUGCGGUGGCGCUUCUCCCCUAGGCUGGCGCCCCUCCCCACCUCCCUUCCUCCCAUGGCCAAUGAUUCCUCUAUCGAGUCCUCCCUGUCCGGUGGUGGCCUUCUGUCCACUGGUGGCCCCAGGCCGGUGCCUGGCGAUGGCUCCCUGCCCAUCUCCGGUGACACCCCCCCCACUGGACUUGAACCACUGGGCGGCUAUGGCACCCUCCUUGGCACCGACGAUGGCCCUGCGUUGCCCCUUGGUGGCGGUCUUCUCCUCCACCAGGCGCCGUCGGCCAUCAUCCACCUGUGGCGGAACCGCCCAGAUUUACUUAGCUAAAGCACCAUUAAGUCACCUGACAUGCGAUCUUAUGCUUUAACCAAGAUAACUCGGCAGUCCGUUUAAUUUCGUCCGAUAAACCACUACACAGGACCGAGAAGCAGAGCUCACACGAAGGUGAGUGGUUCCAGAGAUUUCAAUAGAUCACCCAACUUAAACAAGUACCUUAAUUUUACAAACUCGGGUUCGAAAUUCCACAAAGUUUUACGGAGUUCUCAAGCAGCGGGAAAAUAUAAACCAACGGAAGCUAGCGUCAGGGGUCGGAUGUCACGAUGAGGCCGACCAUGACAUCAAUGGUCCCUAUCCUCACCGUCCGAGAAGGGAUCCCACUCGAUCGUCCACUCAGGAGGAAGCUGGGGAGGCCAAGUGCCAACAGCAGCAAACUCAGGAGCUUCAACAUCACCUGAAAAGAUUGUCACAACAAGGCUGAGCGACUACGCUCAACAAGACUUAACCGACCGUUGGGAACUACUCCACCAACUUCUAGACAUGCACGGCUCUUUGGCUGAGGGGUUGGUUUUGCCAACGCGACUAUAGUAGGUCCUUACUUUCAAGAUUUUAGACACAGGUUCUACUGUUGUUUAUCAUUCUAAGUUAGUAGCUAUACUAAUCAGGCAAAAGUUUCCAAGCAAUUUAUGACAAGCAUACAGGUUAACAUCACCAUCAAGUUCCAUUCUUACUUAGUGUAGCAUAGUGAUCAAGCAGUCCCAAACUGUGAGAGGCAGACGAAUUGAUUCGAAUAUCUUAACCAUGCAUGGUGAACCUAAUCUCACGAUAUCCGCACACCACAAAGGGUCGCUUCCUCUGUCGGUCGCACCCAUCAAUCCCUUGACCCGUGUCGAGCCCACUUCUCUUGGUACAAGGCUCCACAGACCCGGCCUCUGCCGUUCUGUGACCGCACUUGUCACCACAUGCGGCCGGAAGGGAAACUCUAUUCCAGAGACAGUGGAUCGAACCGCUCAUGUCCUGGUUCAAUCAGGUACUAGGCUUCCCCAUCCCAUACUAGAUAUGAGAUUAGUACUUUCAAACACUUGAUCGCGAACACCAUCACCUUUCGACCUUAAACCAAUUUCAUGUAGACAGACGGGGCAAUCCACCAACCACCAAAAUAGUUCACAGAGCCCUGCCCCCUCCAUCGUCCUUAUAGUUGUAACAAAAAGGAGAGCAAGCAACUCCUAUAACUCGCGAGUGACAGGGAAUCACUCGACUUUUACCGAGUCAUGUUAAGCAUUGCAACUACUCGGCCUAUCAUACUAGUGUUCAUAUCAAAGGGAACUAAGUCAUGCAUCUAUGGUUUCAAACAACUCCUGAAACGUAAAUGCACUUACAUACAACAGAAGGCAUGCGCAAGUUUAGAAAGACUGGGUGAUGCUCGGGGGCUUGCCUUCAAGUGGGGCGGAAGCAAACUAAUCUUCAACACUCUCGGGCUCAGCUCCUGCAGGCAGCUUAGCUACAACUUCAUCUUCGGGCACCGGGUGCAGCUCGUACGUGCCGUCGGCGAGGUUCAGCUCUACACGGAAUGCAAUGCAAGGGUGAGACACAGACGGUGAUUUCAACAACACUUGCAAAGAUUUAGCCCAAAAACUGUAGCAAAACUACAGGAAAAGUGUGAAACCCACGUCAUUGGAUUUUACUCAGAAAGAGGAUUCCAACCCAAGUGAUCUCACAUUUUUCUGAUUGUUCCCCGAUUUAAGAUGGAAUUUCCAAGCCUCUGCCGAUUUAGAACAAGAUAAAAGAGUCGGGUCAGGAAAAACUUGCAAUCUGACCCUUAGACCUAAGGAAUAACUGUACCGGGAUCCUUAGAUUUAACACAGAGAAGUCCUCAAAAUUUUACACAGAUGCCCUUGGUCAAAAGAAAAAGACAUAGCCGAGCCCUCGGGCGAGGCAGACAGGGGUCGGGCGAGACGGACAGGGGUUGGCAGCUCACCUUUGGUCCUACUGAUGAAGUCUUAGGGUUGGCAAGAAGCAAGCUCAGGCGGAACGACAAAAGGCGUUAAGUUUCGGGCGGCGGCGACGUCUGGCGGUGCUCCGGCAGUGGUGGUGCUUCUUGCGGACAACAAGCAAGUUUUAGCGCUGCACGAAGGAAAGCGAAGCGGUUGGCGGGGUCGGCAAGGCAGGGUGUUGGACGGAAGGGGGAGCUCCACAGAGAGCUCAGGCGGCGGUGCGUGAGCACGAAACAGAGGAGUGUGUGGUGGAGAGUGCGCUAGAGGAGAAACCAAGCAAGCAGUGCGGCAAGGGCAAUGGUGGCGAAGAGAACUCCCGUAAGAGGCUCUGGUACCCAUUUUAUAGCUGUGCGGAAGUGAACGAGAUCGAGCAGUGUGAGGAUAAGAUCGAGGGAGAAGAGGAGUGCUCUACCGUGGCGGCGAUUGGUCGGUGUCUCCAUUGGCCGGAGAAGCGGAGCUCCAGGGAUAGGAUCCUAUGGCAUUGGGCAAGGAAGACAGUGCUAGGCAAGCGCGGUUUUGCUGAGCAGAAGGAUUGGUGAGGUCGAGCGCGUGCUUGGUCGCGUGAAGCGCCGGAUUGGGUGCGGCGACUCGGUAUUGGCGGACAGGAGAGAGCGAGGUGCACUUCAGGCAAGGGCGCCGUAGGCGAGGUGACAGGGCGAGCGAUGCGAUGCGAGCAUGCGUGGAUUAGCGACUCUGCCGGGGCACACUACUGGCGAGGCGGGGGAAAGGAGUUGUCACUGCCUGCGCGGCGAUUGGCGAAGACGGCAGCGUCGCGGGGCGCACGUGGGCAGCGCGAUUGAGGUUGACGGGAGGGCCGGAAGGUGUUGGGGCGCGCGGCUGGGGGUCCAGGUGAGGCGAUGCGCACGGGAGGCGAGGCGGUACUGGCGCGGCAGCGGCCAAUCUUUGGUCACAGCGGCGGGUAGUGUGCCUGGCGCGACUGGCGAGGUCUCAGGCGAGACGAGACGGGGCGGAGAGGUCUGCAGGGUGCUUCUGCGCGCGAUUGGGAAGGAGGUGCUGAUCCAUCUUGUCGCGGCCGGCGACUGGGUGAGGCGGCGCUUGCCGGUGAGGUCACGCCAUGCGGCGGCAGUGCUCCGAAACAGGGCGCACGCGCGCUCUGGCGCUCUUUGUCCGAUGGAUCCGCGGGAUUCCUUGCCGGGCCCAUCUUCCAGCCUCUUGAUCUUCCGAUUUCCAAACUGCACCACAUUGACUCCCUUCACAAGGGUUGUAGAACACAGGCUAAGGUCCAACUUUUGUAAUUGGACUGAGUUAAAAAACGCGGUGGAUUUGGAGAUCCAAAGCUCCAAAGUUUGGAGGAACAUUGGUUUCAGGACUUAGAGAAAAGCGGCGGUUUGGCUGGUUUUCAAGGGUCAGGACUGAUUUGAGCUGCAGAUUUGGGAAUCUUCUGAGGCGAAUUGGACCAAUGUCCAAUUAACAAAGUUGUGGUAGGAACUUUGUUCUCCAACUUCUAUAAAGGGUUUUCUUGAUGUUCAGUUCAACUUUCCAAAGAUAAACCUUCCUUAAGGCGCUAGGUCAGGCUGAUUUUCCAGACUUAGCCAGAAUGGCUGAAGGAAGUCUGAGUUGACCAGACUAGGGGGCUUGUCUUAAGAUUAAACUCGGCUGAUUUAAAUCUAGGUCGUUACACCACCCCUACGCCACGAUCUCCGUCAAGGCUCACAUCCCCAUGAUGUUGACGAUGAAGACCUCCAGCUACUCCAAGUGGGUUUCCUUCUUCAAAUCCAUGUGUGGCAAGUUCGGCCUCAAGUCGCACAUCGACAGCACCGUGACGCCCCGUCCUGAUGACCCCGAUUGGGAUCAAGCGGAUUGCUGCGUCCUCUUCUGGAUCUUUGGCUCUAUCGUGGACCUCGCCAUGGAGGAUGAUGAGCAGACCGCCAGGGCCCUCUGGCUCACCAUUUAAGGCCUCUUCCAUGCCAACAAGCAAUCCCGGGCGAUCUUCCUCAGCUACGACUUCCACUCCAUGACCCAGGAGGACUCCUCCAUCUCGUAGUACUGCCAGCGCAUGAAGAACCUCGCUGACACCCUCCGUGACAUUGGGCAUCCCAUUCAAAACUCCCAGUUGGUCCUGAAUCUUCUCCACGGCCUCAACCCGCACUACUCCAACACCACCGACGACAUCGGCAACUCCCCCGCCGGCUUCCAGUCCUUUGCCCAGGCUCGUGACAUGCUCACCUUGAAGGAGCUUCGCCUCGUCAACUUGCUGCUCUACGUCGAUGACAUCAUCCUCACCGCCUCAUGUUCGACGCUCCUCCACCACAUCAUGGCUAGUUUUCAGUCCGAGUUCGCCAUGACGGAUCUUGGUGAUCUUCAUCACUUUCUUGGCAUCUCCGUGACGCGCUCCCCUGAUGGCUUGUUCCUGUCCUAAUGACAGUACACCCUGGACCUCCUCCAGCAUGCCAGCAUGGCUGAGUGUCACUCUACGACGAGUCCUGCUGACACUCAUGCCAAGCUCUCGGCGACCGACGGCAACAAGCUCAAGGAUGGCUCUAAGAAACCGCUGGAAGUUAAAUUCAACAAAAGUUCAAUUCGAGAAAAGUUCAAUUCAAGAAAAGUUAAAUUGUAUCACCUCCCCAGGACUUUGUUCUUUUGUUUUUGGUUCCCAAAGCACAAUUUCAUUAUCAGCACUCUGCAAAUCCAAGCUAGCAUAGAUCAGAUUCCUCAUUAUACAGGAACCAAAACUGGCACUGGGAAAAAAAAGGUUGAAAGACUGAACCCAUGCACAGUACAAGAAUACAGGAUCCAGAUACAGUGGUAUUUUGAAGCAUCAAAAGAAUGACGACUGUACUACUACUAUAGCAGCAAUUUGUAUCCAUUUAAGGGAAGGAAUUUCACCUCUGACAGGAUGAAGUCACCAAGCCAUCUUGUACAAUCAACAUAGUUAGAGUGUACUGCAGCAAUCAACACCUGCAAGGAAAGAAACAGGUUGGUUUGAUGGCAUGAGGAUUAAACACCAACAGUAGUUUGCAAAGGAAUAGAUCUAAGAUGAUUAUAGAUGCUAAACAUACCGGAAACUGGACAUAUUUUGUUGGAAACUUUGAUGGAAGGUCAGUCCAGGAAUAUGAUUUGUCAACAUAUUGCCAAAAUUCUGUGACAACAUUGGGAAACUCUAUCAAUGAUAUGCAGCAUGCAAAUGUAAACAUGAUGCUACUUUGAAGUAGUUUUCCAACCUUUCAUUGACCAGAUUUUCACAGUGUUGUCCAUGCCACAACUUGCAAAACGCUCAAUAUCACUAGGGUGGAAGUCCUUCAGCCAAAAUAAUGUAUUUUGGUCAGUACAUUUAUGCCUAACGUAAUGGAAGUACAAAAGCCGUAGUAGUCACCAGGACUAUAUUUAUCCCUGAUGUAAUGCUCAAUAACAAAUAGUAACAUCAGAAGCUGAAAGAGUGGUAGCUUCAGGGCACUUUGAGCAAGUAAUAUUCUGAAACAAUACCAUAAGAGGAGGCAGGAGCUACUUACAACACUCAACACUUCAUUGCGAUGACCUCAAGCUCCAGCAAAUACCAAGAUGCAGAUCCCUGUAUGGACAUUCCAUAGCCUAACAGAUUCAUCCUAUUCAAUAAUGAAUAAUGCCAUAUGAAACAGUGUCAGAACAAUUAUAACAAAGUACAUUCAGCCUAAGAACAGGUUAUCUGCUAACCUUGCUUGCAGAAAUGAUGAGCGAAGGCUUCAACGCUUGAGUCCUUAUCUCAUUUAUUGAGUCACCAUGGCCAGCAAAGCUCUGUAGAAUUCCAUAAACAGAAAUAACAAAUAAACACGUGCACAGUCUAAUUCAUAGGAUAGGAUAGUAUUUAUUGGCAUGCCCUGUCUCGUGACUAUAUGUAUAACGCCAAAAUAGAUACACUAGGUUGAACGUGUCUUGACUAUAACGGACAUGCUGAAGUAUCCAAAAACCAGAAUCUUCUGUGAGCAAAAGUUACAGUUUGCUAGUGGUAUUAAUGCAUAGCAAACAGACAAUUCCUUAAUCAAACCAAAUUCAAAUGACCUUCUGGAUCGGAUAUCAUAGAUGGUAUCUGUCAGGUAAGCAACUGAUGUACAGAUUUGUGCAAAUGAAGCUUCAUUCAAGUUUGACGUAGUAACAAAGACAAGGCUAGGGGUACUAUACCUUAGCUAACUUCUCCGUAGCACAGUUGAUGACCCGAAUGAUCCCAUUGCCUCCUGCUGCUCAAUGACUCCAUUCUUGGUGACCAGUGUGGCAUCCAAUGUAUCAAUCAGCUCUUCCUUCUUCUUGAGCAAGGCGUUCUUCUCCUCUAUCACCCUGUCCCUAGCCUUCAGUGCCUCCUCCAUCCGAACAACUCUCACCUCCAGCGUGACAAUCCUCAGCGAGUCCCUCUUGUCGUAGGUGUCCGGUGCAGUGUCCACCUCGUGCUACAGGCGACGGUUCAUCCGGUCCAGGUCAGUCAAAUAGUGCUCAAGUCCCAUUAUCUUGCCCUCAAGUAUGGCGUUGGUACCGAUGCAGUUGUCCCAACCAUUGUGAAGUACCUCCACCUCUCUGUCAUUCCAGAACAGCGCCAAGUCCUGAGCGUGAAUACAGCGGGAGGCCACGCAAAACUUCUCGUUGGGCUCUGCAUAUGCGUCCUCGUAGUACUGAUGGACUAAACUCUCGAAAUCCCUCAGCCCACGGCAAGCCCUGGUUAGGCAACGGUAGGGAGUCUGAGCCAACCUGUCACGGAGCUGCGCAUGCACCUCACACACAGCCCUUCUGGCGGCAGUCCGGUGAGCCGUUGACACUGACAGCUCAAACCCAAGUAGAAGAAUAAGCAAAGUCUAGUCAGAAAUAGCGGUAGUCAACAGAACUGUCCAUAACCAGUGGACACGGAUUAUAGCUACAGCUUUAUACACUCUGCAGAGGAUGUACAACUAUACCCACACGGAUGGAGUCUAAACGGUGGCGAUCCGUCGAAACCCCACCUAACAGCCGGAGCCCUAGUAGGUGGAUAGCUCUGUCAUAUUUCCUCGAGUCUGGAAUCAUCCUUAGCUGCAGGGCACGCCGUCACCAGUGAGCACCUCGAAGCUAUGAAACCUACCCAUGCCGGGGUGUAGUCUGGUCAAAGCAAGCCAACGCCUUGAACUCAUUACAUGAUCCUCCAAUCUGCCUAGAGGCUGAGCACUAUCCACCACUAGUCUCGAACCGAACUCUGCCCAUAACGUAAGCGAGCGGUAUCUACGUAAAAUAGUUGCUGUGACUAGUGGUAAACUGACUCAGUGCUUAAGCGGCUGAGAGCGAGCACUCUACUCCACAAGUAUGUGCCGAAACACAUGCAACAUAUAAGUACGCUACCUGCUCCUCAGUAACAAACAAGGUACCCACCACAGGUACGGGGUAUAGAGAGAGUCCAGAAUGCUCUCUCCUAGCAAGGCACUCCUUAGUACCAACCAUGGCGCUCCCGCCAAAACAUAUCAAGGAGUCACACUCACCCAAAACUCAAGCGAGAGUGUUCAAUGAAUCCUAUCACCGAAACUGUGGCAUAUGCCCAUCCAUAACUCAAAAGCAUGUAUAUGGAUAUAUGAGCGGUGGACUAGCUAGGGGUCUGUAGCUAGUCCACAAAAGUAGGUAACAAGGAAAACAGAAUACAAAAUUAUCAAGGCAUGGCUAAAAAUAUUGGCUAUGCAAUCCAACAUCAUCAAGCAUCAUAAAUAAAGCACCAGCAACUAAGCAUGCAUAUGAUCUAUGUGAUUGGGAGUGGCAUGACACCUUGUCCGUAGUUGUUUGGAUCUUCCUCGGCAUAGUCGGAGUCUUGAGGGUCUUCUGGGUCGUAGCUCGAGUCUGAACAGACCAAGAUAUGACAUAAAGUAAAUUAAAUGGCAUUACAACUAGGAAGAAACUCCAAGAAAGCCAAAUUUAGUAGAUCCAAAUAACACCAAACUAGUUACAAACAACACGGGCUCCAUUUUACGAAUUUAAUGCAACUGGUUCCAUAUUUUUCGCAGUUAAAAUGAAUUAGUUAUGAAUUUUUUAAGAUUAAAGGAUUCAUUUAAUUAUUUAAAUAAUUUUAGAAAAUAUUUAUUAUUACAGUGACAUGUGCCAGCGCUUGGUUGUGCCAUGUGGGAGCAUAAGAGUGCGCCACGUGUCUCCUAACGCCAAGCUAACGUCAGCGUUGACCGGUCAACAGGGCCCCACCAGUGGGCCCGAGCCUCGGACAUGUCAACGCCUCGUGGCUCCACGUGGCAGCCACGUGGCACUGCCACAUGGCGCACACGUGGUCGUCCCCAGCUGGCCGGGAUCCGCGCGCCACCCGCGUGUGGCCAUGGGUGUGGUGCAGGCCUGAUUGGCUGCGACACAGCGGUGACUGUGCCCACGACGUCAUGGUGUGGCGCGACGUCACGGCGCGGCUGCUGCACGUGUGCGCGGGCAGGAGGUAGUCCCGGCCGCGGCACGACCGCGGCGGCGUGCGGGGUCCCGGGCCCGCGGUGGCUGGCAGCGAGGCGAGCGGCGGCACUACAACCGUGGCUCGAAGGCUGGGCAUACGACAAGCAAACAAGAGGAAAGAGAGGGGCAACGAGGUUCACUGCAGGGAGACGGUGAAAUUGGGCGGCGUCGGGCGGUGGUCGACAGCUCAGGCUCCUCCCUCAGACGGCCCCUCUUCUUCUUCUUCUCUUCUACUUCCCCUCCUUCUCUUUCCUCCUCAUCUCCUACUCCUCCCUCCUCCUCUACUCCUUCCCCCUUCUCUCACUCGGGUGGUCGAUGGCGCAAGGGCGAAGCCCCGAGUGGAUGGCGAAGAGAGGCCCCGAGCGGCUCUACUUAUAGCGGAGAGGCGGCUGUGUUCCAGAGGGAGGUUGCGGCAGCACUUUAGGGUUUGGGGGCGUGGCGUCGGUGAUGUGGAUGGCUAGGAUGUGGUGUUGCAUGGUGCGGGUGACGUGGCGGCCAUCCGAGGCUCCCAGCACAAAAGCAAGGGUGCGGGCGAGGUCAUGGGUGCGCACGCGAGGCGCGCGUGAGCGGUACGGCCGGAGGAAGAAGGAAGAGGAACAGGGGCACCUCACAGGUGGGUCCGGUGCAGCAGCAAGAGAGAAAGAGAGGGAGAGCGGGGCGCGGGUGGCGACUGCGGGCUGGGCCAGCUGGCCGGUUAUGAGGCCUGCUGGGCUGGUCACUGAGCUGCGCGGGCGAGGCAGCUGAGCGGCGCGGGCGAGGUGGCUGAGCAGGCCAGGCCGGCUGUCUGGCUAGGCCGGGGUGAAGGUAGGUGAGGGUGAGGCGCGAGCGGGCCAGGCCGGUGGGCUGCGGCUAGCCUGGUUGGUUAGGAGGGUUAGAUAGGUUUUGUUUUUAUUUAGAUUUAGAUUUAGUUGGAGUGUUGAAUCAAAUUCAAAAUUCAAACACACACUCAAACAUGAGAUCCAAAUAAAAUCUAAAAAGAUCCAAAUCAUUCCACACAAGUUUUGAAAUGGAAUUUUGGGACGAGAAGAGAAUUUGACUACCAUUUUCAAACAAGCACACAAUUCAAACAAAAGUUUUAAAUUUUUGGAAAUUUUACUUAAAUAAAUAUUACAAAAUUCUGGAAUAUUACAAACAUAACCACUUCACCUCGUACCCCGAGAAAAGCGAUACGAAGCUUAACACUCCUCGACAUCUGGGAAAUUUGGUCAGAACGAAACUCUAGAUUUUUCGGACUGUGUGAGUCAUCCUUGAUUUCCUUGGUGGCAAAAAUUAAAAAGGAAGCUUAAGUUUUGUAGGUCUUUUGGAUUAAACCAACUUGGUAAGCUAUCACCCCAAAAGCCAUGGACAUUCAAUUCUCUCAUGAGGGCACAAGCCAUCGAUCACUUCAUUCUCACGUGGUGUCGGCUCGAAAACUCUGGGAUUAGUUCGCCAGUUCAGCUCUAUUUCCUUGAGGUAUUUCUUGUCAACGAGUCUAGCCUCAGCAGCCUGUUCCUUGCUCCUCACAGUAUGAAUAGAAUUAAUGCAUAGCAUUCCGCUAAGCUGAUUCAUGCCCUUCAGCUCACCAAUUGCCCCCCUCCGUGCUUCGACUGUGAAAUAUCUCAAGUUCCUUUAAUAAGUCAAUAGAGGCUUUUACUGGAAGUGCUAGUUGACGCAAGUUGAUUAGCUUUGUUACAUCCUGACGAAUUGUUCUCAGACAUGAACCAAAUGCAACAACAACUUGUAGGCUGUUAAGGCACCAGAAUUUCGAUGGCACUUCAUUUAUAUUGCUGUAGGAUAUAUCAAGAUAUCGGAGGCUAUUCAACCCACAUAUGCUUUGGGGUAGACUUUUCAGCUUGCAACCUUUUAGGCUCAAAAACAGGAUGUUAGAAAGCUGACUGAACCAGGUGAUCUCAACAUCCAAUUCGGUACCAAACCUAAGUGAACGCAGUUUGUUCAAAUUUUGAAUGUUUGUCAUUGUGCCCAAGGACUUACGUACCAUCCACCUCGAUUGACAUGUGGCGAGGUUUAUUUGUCAUUCCGCUCAAAUCUUUCAUCGAGAAACAUUCAUGGAUAGAAACAUACUGCGCAGUAUCAUGGAUCAGGUCAUGCAUUACGUAUUUAUCUUGAUUAGGGAACUUUGGAUCAGUUUGGAAAAGACACCUGCCUCUCAAAUCAUCCAAAUACUUCAUCCCGACAUCUUCAAGACGCUUGCUCACUUGUGGUGAAACAAAGCCCUCUGCCACCCAAAUGUCAACGAUCUCAUGUCUUUUGAAGCUAUAAUCUUUCGGAAAUAUGGAGCAAAAUGCAAAGCAUCUCCUAAGUUCAGUUGGGAGGUACAAGUAGCUCAGUCGAAGUGCUGGUAAUAUGUCGCUAUGUUUUUGUUCUUGCUCCCAUAAUUCACUGUCCUUGAUAGUCCUCCAAUGUUGCUCAGUCAGAUUACUAUUCAACAAGCGUCCGAGAGUUUUGGCAGCCAAAGGAGUACCAUGCAACUUAGAGGAAAUGCUCUGACCAAUCUCUUGUAAGCGAGGAUAUGACUCUGGGCACUCUUUACCAAACGCACAUUUCUUGAAAAAUUCCCAAAAUACACCAGCGGGCAAUCCUUCGAGCUGGAGAGGCUUACAACUGCAUUUGGACCAUGCGGUGACAUUCUGAGCAAUGUUUUUGUGUCUUGUAGUCACUAAGAUCAUGCUACCUUCAAGUCCAUUCUUCAACGGUGCAUAAAAAGACUCCCAUUGUGGUAAUUUCCCAAAUAUCAUCCAGCACCAAAAGGAACUUUUGGAUCUUCAGCAUGUGCCACAGAUCUGCUUCAAGAACACCCAAACCACAAGACAAGUCGAAGUUUGGCUGGAUGAUGAUCUCCUUUUUCAUCCUUUCAAUGUCAAACAGGUCCGAAACACAGACCCGUAUCCUUACAGUAAAGUGGCCUUCACUCUUUCAUCACUGUCGAUGAGCUGAGCCAGGGUGGUCUUCCCCAUCCCGCCAAUGCCAAAAAUUGGCAAGACAGAAACAUUGCCACAGUUAGCAGUCUCAGCAAGCCCUGCACUGCUGUUACUGUCAAAGUUAAGUCGCUUGGCUUUGGAUGUAGAUGCGAUGGCGUCAUGACUUGCUGCUUCUGUGCCUUUUCCUUUAGACCCUGCAGAUGUACUGCCCAUAGUGAGUGGCAUGCCCAUUUGUGAGAUCACCUGAUUAAUUUCGGCAGCACGAUCAAUCGUCAGAGUCACACCCAGCAUCUCCAUCACUUGAUCCCUUUCCGUGUCACGCGGUGAUGAGUUCAUUCGUUGUUGGCAUGCAUGACCUGCACUGGCUGAACACGAUCAAGACCAAUCAAGCAUAGCACUUCUUUAACUUCAGCCAUAACCUUGUGGAGCUGAUCUUUGGUGUCCCUUAUCCUUUUUACUGCUAGCAUGGACGAGAUGUUUGGCAAUAUUCAGAGAGGAUGAUGACACGAGUUGACCUGCCCUGCUCCGGCUGGCGUCCUCAAUCUUGUGCCGCAGCGCCUGGUCCUCGAACUCUCGGUGGAGGUCCUCGGCGUCGUAGGUGGUGUACUUGUGCUGCAAGAGAUGGGCCUCCACCAUGCCCCACUCGCUGCGACUGAUGAGCAGCUUGGUCUUGAGUUGGUCCAGCUCGUUUUCCAGCUGGGUCGGCGCUUGGCUCAUGCUCAUCCCGAAUGACAGGAUGCCUUGCACGGUGUCCAUGGUCGCGCGCGCUCCUAGAUCUUGGUGCGUUGGUGGAGCUGCUCGUGAAGUCGUGAUGAUGGUGCUCCUCCUCCUCUUCCUCCUGCUUGGCACAGGGGCAGAAGGGAGCGAUUACCUGAUGAUGGUGCCACCGAUUACUGGCCUUCGCCCUCCCAACACCGGACUGGUGAUUUUCACCGGAGGGAUCGUAAGAGAGAUCGGGCAGAGAGGUGUAGGAUCAAAUUGCGUGUGCACCCAACGUGGAAUGGCGCUGGAUAUAUCUAGCUACAUGGUUGCAUGCCCUGCCGAUCUGGGCAAUCGGUAUUGCAUUUGCAGAUUUGCUUCGGUUUCAUCGAUGAUCCCUCCGGCGUUGGUUUCUUCGAUCGGUCCUGUCUUGGGUUCCAUCGAACUUGAUCGAGCUGUCUUGAGGCCGGCGGAGUAACUAAGAGAUCCAUUAUUCAUCGGGAUAAGCUAGGAUCGCAGGGGCUCGUUGCGGCUGCGGGCGUGGACCACCAUCUCUUCCUGCCUGCCGCCGGCGGCCGGCGAGUGCAAGACUGGUAGGUUUAGGAGAGGAAAGGCCAAAAGGCGUGAGCUGUGAAGGAAUGGACCUGGCAACCGGGUGCGGCUUGUGUUGUAUCUUGGGCCGGUUGGGCCGAGUGCAAGUUCCGGGGCCUCCUCGGUGGUGGUUUUGUUGGCUGCAAACUGAUGAGGCCUCGUGCCUUGGCUGCGAAGAAGACGGCUACUCAAAAGCAUUUCUCCCCCAGCAGCUUGAAACGGUCGCCCGCGGACAGCAAGCAAGCGUUCGCGAGCCUGACCGUGCACUGUACAGCACAGGACAGGGAUCCAUGCUUUCCGGCAACACCCAUCGGCGCCAGGCUUACCCACCAGUACACCUGGCACCUGCUGGCUGUCCAGCUCCAAACCUCUCCAUCACAAGACAGAGGUCGUCAAUGGCUUCUUCGGUUUGCAACAGCACAGUGGACAAGAAAAGCAGGGGCAAAGCUACAUUGGGCUAGCCGAGUGAUUAGUAACUAAUUUUUACCACUUGUGCACUCCCUAACCUCCAAUUUCGUGCACCACUGUCUGGCCCACCAACAACCUGCAGCCCAGCAGUUAGCAUAGGCCAGCUUUCAGCAACCCAUCAAGCCCACGAUGCACUAUAGGUGCAUGCAGCUGCGGGCCUGCCGCAUCCGCCCGCGUGCGUUGCACGUGACAAGUCCUCACGGAGAACACGAAACAAUCGUCCGCGAAGCCCGCUCGCUCGCCCAAACGUGAGAACUCAUCGUAGAAAGGCGGCGGAAGAGAGGGAGGCGGCACUCGCGCGUCGCCGUGUCGCACCAUCUCCAGUCGCUGCGGUACGUCUCCUCGCCGGAAUCAGCACCCCCAACCUUAAGCGAUCAUCAUCAACUCCUAUUUUUUUGUUUCUCUCCAUUGUUGCACUGCACAUUCUUCUAGCCUCCCCUUUUGCUCAAGCCCACUCCACUCGAAUGGUACACAAUUAUUUUUCUCACAUGUGCUUUUGUGCCAAUCAGCUUCUUUGAAGUAAUCCGUUAGUGUUUCAAUUUCAUGGUUACUUAUUCUCCUAUAUUCAAUUGAAUUGUAGGGUUAGGGUUUGCAAUUGGGGUUUUACUUCUACAAAUUGCAAUGAAAGGGCAAAGGAGAAGGAACUUAGGAAGGAUUCAUUGAGAUUUGAGACUCAAGAAAUAAACAAAAAUCAUGUCAAGUAAGUUUAUGGGUGUUUGGUCAAUUAAUCAUUUAUUUUUCUUCCCUUGAUUCUUGAACAGAUGAACAUGAGAAGCAUUAAUGUAACUGACAUUUUAAAAAAAUGUGUUAUAUGUGUGUUUAUGGAAAGAUGGUUAAAAAGAAAAGCGCCAGAUGAUGCUAACAAUUUUUGGUAAUUCUCAUCAGCAAAACAACAAUAUUAAUGUUAAUCCAAUACCACCAGCUCCAGAAGAUAUCGAUUGGGAGGAGGAGAUCCAACUUCAUCCUGGUAAAAGAGAAGAAAUACGUUCUUGUCACCCUAAUCUUAGAGAAUCGGUAAGAAGAAUGUACUUGGCAAAUGAGCCUUGUCAGCUCGCACUCUUAAUUUUUCAUCUACUCGGAUUGGGGAUAAAAAUUGAAGGUUUAAUCUUGAAUGGUUUGAUGAAUUUGGAAACUGGCUUGAGUACAGUGAGUCUACCGAUAGAGCCUACUGUUUUACCUGUUUCUUGUUUAGAGACCCCACUAAGAAGGAGGCUGGGUACAAGUCAUUUAUUUUAGAUGGUUGGAAUAAUUGGUAUAAUAAAGAAAGAUUAAAGGAGCAUGUUGGCAGUGUUGACAGCUAUCACAAUGUAGCAACGAAAAAAAUGUGAUGAUAUGUUGAAAAGAGAAUAGCACAUUGAUGUUAAGUUACAUGAACAGCUUGAGAGUUCUAAGAAUGCAUAUUUUGUUCGACUUAAUGAUGCAAUUGAUACUAUCAGAUUGCUACUCAAGCAAGGACUACCUUUCCGGGGGCAUGAUGAAUCAAAGACAUCCUUAAACAAAGGGAACUACAGGGAAGUUUAUGAUUGCUUAGCUCAACAUGAUGCAGCUUUAGCCAAGGCAUUGACAAUUGAUGCUGCAUAUAAUAGUAUUUUGGUAUCUGCUGACAUACGGAAAGACAUCAUCAACUGUUUUGCAGAUGAUAUUUUACAUUCUAUCCUUGGAGACAUUGGGAAAGAUGUAUUUUGCUUGCUAGUUGAUGAGUCUAGAGAUGUCUCUUUCAAAGAGCAAUUGGCAGUGGUGUUAAGAUAUGUUGAUAAAUGUGGAUUUGUGAACGAGAGCUUUGUUGGUGCUAGCAAUACGCAAGGUGAGUUCAAUGGCUUAAAAUCUUUGAUCAUGAGAGAAAAUAGUAGUGCAUAUUAUCUCCGUUGCUUUGCCCAUUAACUUCAAUUAGUGGUUGUAGCUGUUGCUAGAAAGCAUACAGGCAUUGCUGAAUUUUUUAACAAUAUCUCUAUCUUAUUGAAUGUGGUUGGUGGAUCUUCAAAGAGAAGGGACAUGAUUUGAGAUAUCAAUCUCAAAGAAGUUAGUAAGGCCUUAGGCUGUGGGUUACUUAGUAUCGGGACAGGAUUGAAUCAAGAACAAUGUCUUCAAAGACCUAGAGUCUCACUAUAAAUCUCUUAGAAGUUUAGUUAAAUUCCAAAUAAUUAUCAAAGUGCUUGAAUUUGUGGAAAAGGAAGGCAGGGAGGGAAAGGCAAGGGUGUUCUUAGAAAAGUACACUCAUGAACGGGAUGAAUGAUACACGAGUUCAGCGUCACCUAGUCAAGCCGGAUUCCAGAUUCCAUCGUACUGACACUUGCUGCGCUGCUUUGCUAUCUAUUAAUUCUCCUCAAUCUAUAGUAACAGAUAACAACUCUGUCCGCAGCAUGAUAUGGAAAUUUUCUCACACUGGCGGGUACACGAUGGCUUCAGCCUAUAGAGUGCAAUUCAUUAACUUCACCAAAAAAACACAAAUCUGCGCAAUCUGGACUUCUUGCCCCUCUCCUAAAUGCAAAUUCUUCGUGUGAUUAAUCCUUCAUAACCAUGCUUGGACUUUGGAUCGGCUUGCUCAAAGAGGAUGGCCUCAUAGCCCAGCUUGCCCCCUCUAUAAACAGAUAAUGGAAUUCUCUCUUCACCUGCUGGCCAAGUGCAGAUUCACUAGGAAAAUUUGGAGUCCUCGUGGCUAUUUAGACAAAGCAGCCAGUACUACACCCACUGGAAUGGGAACAAAGCUACAAUACCUUGGAAUGGUGGACCAACAUUGAAAUGGACCUGAAUUUUCAUUUCUGAGAAUUCAAGCCUACGCACCUCCGUGAUAGUUCUAGGAGGCUAUCACGUGCGAAUCCAUGUCUCAGAUAGUACAAAUUCAUACCAACAUAGAAAUAUAAAGCAACAACAUAGUACCAUAUCAUAAAUAUCAUAAGUAACAAGUACAUCUCUUCGGUACAUGCCAGAACAUGUCCAUCAGGAUUGAAUCAGAAAGGUAAAAUAUCUAUGCAGCGAAAGCGUAAGCUACGGCGAACUCCAUCUCCAGAGGCGACUCGAGCGAAGGACCAUCCCUAGUCUUCCUAUCCAUCAUUGUCGAAGUCGUAGUCGGGCUCCGACCCUAAAAAGCCACCAUCUACUCGAGAAGCGGGUAGGCCAUGUCAACUCCCAAAAGGAGCAAGCUAAGGAAAUGGGGGAAUUAUACUAUAUGCAUGAGUAAAACCUAUAUAUGGUUGUAGAGGUGUAUGCAACAGCAGCAUCAAUCAAGGAAGCAGCAAAGCAUUACCAUCUUCGAGGUCAACACCUCAAAUAAGGAAGUUGGCACAAAUCACCAGAUCCUUCGCCCAUGGGUCCAGCAUCCAACACACUAGUCGAUGUGAGAGCUCCCUUCCCUCACAUCUCAAUGGCAAACUCCAGCCUAUCUCAAAAAGGGGAGGUAGAAGAAUAAGCAAAGUCUAGUCAGAGGUAGCGGUAGUCAAUAGCACUGUCCAUAACUAGUGGAUAUGGACUUUAGCUAUAGCUUUAUACACUCUGCAGAGGUUGUACAACUGUACCUGCAUGGAUGGAGCUUGAACGGUAGUGAUCCGUCCAAACCCCACCUAACAGCCGGAGCUCUAGUAGGUGGAUAGCUCUCUCUUGUUUCCUCAAGUCUGGAACCUUCCUCAGCUGCAGGGCAUGCCGUCACCAGUGAGGACCUCGAAGCUGUGAAAUCUACCCACGCCGGGGUGCAGUCUGGUCAGAGCAGGCCAACACCUCGAACUCCUUACACGAUCCUCCAAUCCGCCUACAGGCUAAGCACUAUCCACCAAUAGUCUCAGACCGAACCUCGCCCAUAACGUAAGUGAGCGGUAUGUACGUAAAAUAGCAGUUGUGGCUGGUGGUAAAUGACUCGAUCCUUAAGCGGCUGAGAGCGAGCACUCUACUCCACAAGUAUGUGCUGAAGCACCUGCAACGUACAAGUAUGCCACCUGCUCCUCAGUAACAAACAAGGUACCCGCCACAAGUAUGGGGUAGAGAGAGAGUCCAUAAUGCUCUCUCUCGGCAAGGCACUCCUCAGUACCAACCAUGGCUCGCUCCUACCAAAAUACAUCAAGGAGUCACACUUACCCAAAACUCACAUGAGAGUGUUUAAGAAAUCCUAUCACCAAAACCAUGGCACGCCCAUCCAUAACUCAAAAGCAUGUAUAUGGAUAUAUGAGCGGUGGACUAGCUAGGGGUCUGUAGCUAGUCCACAAAAGUAGGUAAGAAGGAAAACAUGAUAAAAAAUUAUCAAGGCAUGGCUAAAAACAUUAGCUAUACAAUCCAACAUCAUUAAGCAUCAUAAAUAAAGCGCUAACAACUAAGCAUGCACAGGAUCUAUAUGAUUGGAAGUGAUAUAAAGCACUAGCAACUAUACAUUGGCUUGCCCGUAGUCGUUUGGAUCUUCCUCAACGUAGUCGGAGUCUUGAGGGUCUUUCGGGUCGUAGCUCGGGUCUGAACAGAACGAGAUACGAUGUAAAGUAAAUUAAACGGCAUUACAUCUAGGCAAAAAUUCCAAGAAUGCUAAAUUUAGAAGAUCCAAAUAAUACCAAACUAGUUACAAACAACACGGGCUUGAUUUUAUGAAUUUAAUGCAAAUGGUUUCAUAUUUUUCAGAGUAAAAAUGAAUUAGUUAUGAAUUCUUAAAUAUUAAAGGAUUUAUUUAAUCGUUUAAAUAAUUUCAGAAAAAAAUUAUUAUUAUGGUGACACGUGUCAGUGCCUGGUUUUGCCACAUGGCAGCACGAGAGUGUGCCACAUGUCUGCUAAUGUCAGACCGGUAACGGUCAACGUUGACCCGGUCAGUCAACGAUGACCUGGUCAACGUUGACUGUCAACUGGGUCCCACCGAUCAGCAGUGGCCCCACAGGUCAGUGGGCCCUGCCAAUGGGCCACCAGUGGGCUUGGGCCUCGGACACGUCAUCGCCUCGUGACUCCACGUGGCAGCCACGUGGCCAUCUAGUCGACAUGGCACUGCCACGUGGCCGUCCCCAGCUGGUCAGGAUCCGGUGUGUCAACUGGAUCCUGUGUGCCACCCGCAUGUGGCCACGGGUGUGGCGUAGGCCUGAUUUGUGGCGACGUGGCGUGGCGGGGCGUGGCGGUGACUGCGCCUAUGACGUCGUGGUGCAGCGCGCCAGCUGUGCGUGCGCAUGGGCAUGGGGCAGUCCCCGACCACGGCACGACCGCGGUGACAUGCAGGGUCCCGGUGUCCUAGGCCCACAGUGGCUAGCGGCGAGGUGAGCAGUGGCGCUCCUAUGGCGGCUCGAAGGUCAUAUGACAAGGAAACAAGAGGAAAGAGAGGGGUAGCGAGGCUCACUGCGGGGAGAUGGCGAAGGCGGGCACUGUCGGGCGGCGGUCGACAGCUCUGGCUCCUCCCUCAGAUGGCCCCUCUUCUUCUUCUUCUCCUCUACUUCACCUCCUUCUUCCCUUUCCUCCUCUUCUCCUCCUCCUCCCUCCUCUUCUGCUCCUUCCCCCUUCUCUCACUCGGGUGGCUGGCGGCGCAAGGGUGAAGCCCUGGGUGGAUGGCAACAAGAGGCCCCGGGUGCCUCUACUUAUAGCGGAGAGGCGGCUAGGGUUCCGAAGGGAGGGUGCGGCGGCGCGCUUGGGUUUGGGGGCGUGGCGCUGGCGACGUGGACAGCCGGGAUGCGGCAGCGCACGGUACGGGUGGUGUGGCGGCCAUUCGAGGUCGCUAGCGCAAAAGCAAGGGCGCGGGCGAGGUCACGGGUGCGCGCUCCCAUGUGGGAGUGUGUGCCAGCACGGACGGGGAGGCGCGCGUGAGCGGUACGGCUGGAGGAAGAAGGAAGAGGAACAAGGGCACCUGAUGGGCGGGUCCAGCGCGGCGGCGAGAGAGAAAGAGAGGGAGAGCGGGGCGCGGGCAGCAAUGUGCGGGCUGGGCCAGCUGGCCGGUUAGGAGGCCUGCUGGGCUGAUCACCAGGCUGCGCAGGCGAGGCGGCGGAGCAGGCCAGGCUGGCUGGGUCGGGGCGAAGGCGGGUGAGGGUGAGGCGUGAGAGGAUCACGCCGGUUGGCUGCGGCCAGCCUGGUUGGGUAGAGGGUUAGACGAGAUCCAAAUAAAAUCUAAAAAGAUCCAAAUCAUUCCACACAAGUUUUGAAAUGGAAUUUUGGGAUGAGAAGAGAAUUUGACUACCAUUUUCAAACAAGCACAAAAUUCAAACAAAAGUUUUGAAUUUUUGGAAAUUUCACUUAAAUAAAUAUUACAAAAUUAUGGAAUAUUACAAACAUAACUGCUCCACCUCGUACCCCGAGAAAUGCGAUACGAAGCCUCAACGUCUGGGAAAUUUGGUUAAAACGAAACUCUACAUUUUUCUCGGACUGUGUGAGUCCUCCUUGAUUUCCUUGAUGGCAAAAAUUAAAAAGGAAGCGGCUGCUUGGGUGGGGGCAGGGAAUACUUGUGUCCCACCUUACAUUGAACAACAGAGCACAAUACUUGUGUCAGUAUAAAAAAAAACUUGUGUAAGGCCAGCUACACAAGUUAGCUCGCAUUUCAUAAUUAAGUUUCAGAUUUCGUGCAAGGCCAGAUACUUUAGCACUGCACUCUUGAUGUACCGAAAGGAAGAUUAACAUAUAAGUACAAUACCGAAGUAAUGACUAUGGAAAUAGGCUUAGAAAUACAACAGAAGCUAGGUACAGUGCAAUAAACCUUAGUGCCUCAUCAUAGCUCCCUUAGCUUCCAGGAAAGUAUAAUGCUGUAUUUGCAGAGAAAAAAAAUAUCACCUUCUAGUGGUGAUCAAGUACGCGAGACUCUUGCACUUGCAAUAGAAAGAUCUGCCAAACCGGUCCCAUUUGACCACAAUAGCAGCUGCAAAGCCAACGCCGAAGCCAAGCCCAACGAAGAGAAACAAAACCACAUCAAUAUGACGAGAUGACUUGUCCCCAUGUGCCACACCUGGAGAGUGAGGUGAACUACCACAAGGAAAUUUUGGCAAUUGCAGCCCACACAAUCCAGCAUUCCCUUCAAAUGAGCUGCUGUCAAAUGUAGAGAACUGACGUGACUGCGGUAUCUUCCCCACCAAGUGAUUGUAUGACAAGUUUAGGGAGCCAAGAAAGGUGAGAUCAGUUAGCUCUUGUGGAAUGUCCCCUGAGAGUUGGUUGCAGGACAGGUCUAGUGACUCCAAAUCAGUCAUGCUUCCAAGUUGGGCUGGAAUUUUUCCAGUGAAGGCAUUGUGUGACAGACUCAGUACGCGUAGUGAUACAAGGCUUCCAAAUGUUUCAGGAAUAGUACCCUCCAAACUAUUUUUUGAGAAGUCAAUUGCUGUUACGGUAGUCAGCAUCCUUCCAAAUGGCAUAUCUGCCCCCUUGUACAUGAUCUCAACAGAAUAUUGAUAUAAAUGUUCUCCGUUAUUGAUAGUUAUAGUGUCUAGAGUUCCGAGAGGUUUCCCAGAACUAUUAAACUCUGCCAUCAUUGACUUUAACUGC
rnacentral:lncRNA from 1 species